rnacentral:lncRNA from 1 species
GACAUGAAAAUGUAAAGACUAGUACAUAUGACAUAUGAAUAACACUCAUAGGAAAACAACUUCAAAAGCGAAGACAAGCACAAAUGUGAAGACUAGAAAUAUGAACCCGAUCCAACCAACCAAUAUAUUAUUAUAAAUAAGGCCACAUUUAUUCUACCCCCCUAACAAUCCUAGUCCCACACACAACACAACAUUGCUUCACUUCAAAAGAUUGGACCAGCUGCAAGAAUCUCUUCUGUGAGGUUGUCAUCACCCUUUCCAAUUUUGUAGUUGGUGAAGGUUUCAAAAUUCUUCUUGAACAAUCCACCCAGCUUCAACAAUGUCGCAUUGUAGGCGUUUUUGUCUGACCACUGCAAUCCAUCAAAAAUACCAAUUAUUAAUAUCCCGUUUCUAAAUUACAAGUGUUUUAUUACCACGCAAGGUGAAUAAACGAACUGUUUUAGGAUAACUUACCGCAUUUAUAGGAUCCAGAAUUUCUGAAGGGACACCCUCCACUUCAGUUGGGGUCUGAAGGCCAAAAAUCUCACUCUUCUUGUAUUCUGCCCCCAGGAGGCUUCCAUUGUGAAUAGCAUCAAUUAUUUUUCUAGUAUAACUUAGUUUGAUACGAUUCCCGGUACCAUAGCUGGAUUAAUUUGACAUAGACAAGAACAUCAUGUUUAGCGCGAAAAAACAAAGAAACUCAACAAUAUUGCAAAGAGAAGCACUAAAAGCAUACCUGCCACCGGACCAACCAGUGUUAACAAGCCACCCUGUUGCACCAUGACUCUCCAUCUUUUCAGCAAGCAUUGCAGCAUACUUUGUAGGGUGUAACAUUAUGAAUGCUGCACCGAAACAAGCAGAAAAUGUUGCUUGUGGCUCCUUUAUACCAUCCUCAGUACCAGCCACCUACAUAAAAAUGGUUAGAAUCAUAUAACUGAAGCAACAUUGGUUUAGCAAAUAGUAAAAAUUAGUGAGAAUGAAAUUUAUUACCAGAGCAGUAUAUCCACUGAUGAAAUGGUACAUGGUCUGCGCCAGGGUUAGCUUACUCACAGGUGGUAGCACACCAAAUGCAUCACAUGCCAAAAGAAUAACAUUCUUUGGAUGAGGUCCAACACAUGGUAACUUUGCAUUUGGUAUGUACUCUAUAGGAUAGGCUGCACGAGUAUUUUCUGCAAUAAAAAAUCACCGCAUGUAACUAUCAGCAGAGAUAUAUUUUCUUUUGCGAUGAAGCACUAAUACACACACUAGACACGACGCUAAUAAUAAUUUUGAAAGAUGAAUUAAUUGAAUAUAGUCACAUGUGUCGGACACAUCUUCGAUCAGAAAUGUCAGUGCUACAGAGGUUUCUUGUAAUAGAUCAUUACAAUGUACAAAUCUAAUUAAAAAAAAUCAGCAGCUGACAAGUAGAGGUUUGACUUGUUUAUCUUUGAAAUUAAAAUAUUCGUCUCUUUAUUUAACACCGUCCUAUAAUCCUAUCCAUAGUGCCGUAUUACAGGAGGUUUAUAUUUUAAUUACAAGUGACCUUUCACAAUAACAUAUAGAUUACUUGUUACAUUACAUAUGAAGUACAACUUGUAAGGAUGUACGAAGUCAACUGUUAAUUGGCAAAGACAAAGUCACAGCUUAGUCCUCUUUUGUCAGCUAUAUUGAACAAAUAAUUUUAAAUGAAGCCAUCUUAGUCUUUAUACGCAACAAAAAUUGAUGAAGUCAACCAUUAAACAAAAGAGUUAACAAAAUCCAAAUACUAAUCUUAAUAAAAAAAUCGUUGAUUACCUGUAACUGAUUUGUCAGAAUAAUCAACUUCUCUAGUAUGCUCAUCAAACACCACGUUUUCCAACACUGGCAAUGCAAAAGAGAGAACAAAUCAAAAUAAUUUUCAAUGUUUCGAAAAUUAUAUACGCGGUUGGAAUAUAGACCGCGGUAUAAAAGUUUUUUAUAUUUGUCAAAGAUAAACAUAUACCUGUACCAAACCUAAUUGCAUUCCAGAUAUCAGGCUCUUUCUCCCGGGAGAGAUCGAUGCAUUUAGCAUAACAACCACCUUCAAUGUUGGAGACACCAUUCUCACUCCAACAAUGUUCAUCAUCUCCAAUCAAAUAUCUAUUAUGAUCAGUAGAAAGAGUUGUCUUUCCAGUACCUAUUUUAAAAAAAAAAAAUCCAUUAGAAUUAUAAGAAAAUGAAAACAAAAGCCAUAACUAAUAUCCAUGGCUAAGUAUAUAUGAUAUAUCUAGUGGAGUAUAGGACAAGGAAGGGAACAUAUCGGGGAGCGCAUGGCUGGCUGGAAGAGGUAGCUACAUUGAAUACUAUACCUGAGAGUCCAAAGAAGAGAGCAACAUCGCCACCUUUGCCCAUAUUAGAACCAGAGUGUAAGGAGAGAAUUUGGCGCUUAGGCAUGAGAUAAUGCAUGACACUGAAAAGACCUUUCUUCAUUUCCCCGGCGUAUUGUGUGCCGAGGAUAACCAUUUCCCUUCUAGCAAGAUUAAGAUCAAUGCUAGUGGAAGAUGUCAUGUAGUGAGUGAAACGGUUACAUGGAAACUUUCCGGCAUUGUAUAUAGUGAAGUCCGGAGUACCAAAAUUCUCCAGCUCUUCAGGACUGGGUCGGAUACACCUGUAACCAACCCAGUUAUCGACUUUUUUUUUACAUAGUUGGGAUGUUUUGCAUUAUUAUAGUGAUGCUUUUGCAUACCUUUUUAUUUAUACAUAUAUGAAUUAUAUACAAGGCUUUCAACAAUGUAGGAUACUUAUCUGGUGGAGCUUAUAUACCUACCUUUUUGUCUUCAAGGAACAAAAGAGAAACCAAACAACUAGUGUUGGCAAUUUUUUGUUAAGUAUUCUUUAGUUUACACUUACAUGUUGUGCAUGAACAAUGAAUGGUAUGCUCUGGCUGAUACAAUUCUGACUUUGAUUCUGUUCUCUGGAUCCCAAUUCAAGAAUUGGUCGUUCACAAACACCUGCGGUUACAUAGUCAUCGACAUUGUUAUUGUUUAUUUCUUACUUUUACUAAUAAGAUACUUGUGCAUUCGCAAAAGUGACUUUCGUUUUUAUGUAUGUUUAAAACAUUAUUAUAUCGAACGAAAUUUCGAGGAAUGCACUACUCUAUCUUGUUUGCCUUGAGCCAAGAUGACAUUAUAAAACUGAAAUUUAUUGUAAGAAUAAUAAAAUCAACUUGACCUCCCAAACUUGUCCAAUUGGAAUGAAUUAGUUUGAAUUAAUCAAAAAUAAAAUAAAAAUCCUCAUCUAAACCAAAAAGUUUAAUAAAUUUGAUCUUUAUCCAAAAUUAAAUUAGUCCAUCUCAACUUGUAGCCACCCUUAUUAUAAAAAUGGAAGUAAACUACUAAGUCUCUUUGUAGCAACAAAAUAAAUUCCUAAAUAAUCUUUCAACAAAAAGAUAACAAUGUUAACCAAUGAAUUUAUAAAUAAUUUGUUAAUUGAGAUAAGAGAAAAGAUAAUUAACUGAGACAAAGGAAGAGAUAGAUGCUUUUUUUAAUGGAGGCAAUCAACUCAUUGGUCAUAAUACAACAACACAUAAAAGGACAUGCCUUAGCACAGCAUAGGCAUGGUGCUCUAUACUGUGAAAGGAAUUAAAAGCAUAUAUACUUAUUCUCAGCAUGAUGAAUUCUGAGGCUGAGUAAUUAUUUUCCUAAAGAAUGGACACAUAUCUUUUAUCACUUAGCAAUAUGCAAAAUGGUGACAAAAAAUAUCCCCAUAUCCUACUAAAAUACAAAGCACCGCAAAGUAACAUCAUCAAGAUAAUAUUGUGUCACAUAAAGGGUCAAGUAAAACCCACUUGUACAAAAUGACAACAUGCACCAUUUCUAUGUCAUUAUCAUCUUAACUGCCAUGAAAUCUAAAUGUUUUUGGCUUGAAAAUAUUAAAAAAUGAUAUCACCAUUUUUUGUGUGAAAGUGAUGUUAUAUAAUCAUCACUUUUUAAAUAAAAUAUUAUUAAAAUUAUUAUAUAUUAUCACAUUUUUUUUGGAAAAAUAAAAGAAAAAAUAGGAAUCAUCACCUUGUCCAAAGAGUUCAAGUAAUCAACUGCCCUUUCUCUAUUCACCAUGAAAGUCUCCUCAUCCAUCUCAAUGUUAGGAGAACCCCUACAAAUUACAAAAUUUGCACAAUAUUAUUAUAGCAUUAAAUAAUACAUAAUAACCUAUGAAGCUCACACAGCAGAGACACGCAUAAUCCAAAAAGUAUAUGUAAUGAUAUGUGUCGGACGCCAAACAUAUCUAACAGAGACACGCAUAAUCCAAAAAGUAUAUGUGUUUCCUAAUAACAAAUAAAAUUGAAAGACAGAGAUAGAAGCAUCGAAUCAAAUAUUGUCCAAAGUAUGUACUUACUUUCCCCACCAAAGUUCAUUUUCAGUAACCUUAUCCUUAACCACACGCUUGUCUCUAGGAGAACGACCUGUCUUGGCACCAGAAAGUGUUGCCAUUGCUCCAUUGGAAGUGAUGAAUGAUCCUUUCUCAUACUUUAUCGCCUGCUCAUAUAGUUCUACACCAAAUCCAAACAAAACAGAAAACAACAAAAUCAAUUAUACAAUUUCACAUUAAUUAUUGCUACCAAUUAUAUUAAGGUAAGAAAGUGACAAUUUUUUACAUUAACUAUUGUCAGAUUUAUGAUUGAUAACUUUAUUAUCAUGUUGCAUUAUCUUUCAACUGUUAAAUGUAUAUUAAAUAAUAAUGACUUUGAUCAUAAAACGACAAGAUUUAAAUAACUAGCAAUAUUUCAAAUAAAUUUGUUAGAAGGUGACGUUUUAAACCAUUUCGUACACUACAUGUACAGAAUUGAAGAUUAUAACUAUAACUAUCAUCAUAAAUAAAUUAGUUAGAAAAACAUGACCAAAUAAAAAAAUCAUAAAGUAAAAAUUUAACUAAGGGAGGUUUAGAAAUGAAAUGAGUAUAGUACCAGCUGGGGAGAGAUUGUAGAGAACAUGUGUAAAUUUCAAAGCACUGUCACUAACAGCAAUGGUUGGAGUAGGAACAUGAUGGUGGUGAACAUGGUCAACCUUCUGGUUCUUGGCUGGAUCUCCCUUCACCACCUUUGGUCCAGUUUCUCUUGUCAAUGAUGCCAGUGAUGCACUGUUUCAAGAAGAAGAAAAAAAUGUUAACAUAUUCACAAUUUAUUUAAUAAACAUAUAAUUUACACCGCAAAAAAAAAUGAAAAUUAAUCUAAUUCAAAGUUCAUUUCAUAUAUCGUAUCUAAAGACGAUAGGGUGAUAAAUAUCAUUUAAAAUUCAGUGUCUCAGUCUAAUUGAUAUGAUCAAUCCAAAAAUAUCGAUUUUUUUAGGGAAAAAUAUCGACUAUUUUUUAAAAUUGAUUAUCGGGGAAUUUAUUAAAGUAUUUAAUGUGAAUAUUUGUUUUGCUAUUUUUUUUAAAGAAAAAAUUGAUUUUCUAUGCAAACGUGUGUGUAUGGGAGAGACCCAAGAUGAAACGCUGAUUUGGUCCCACGCAAUCAGAGCAUUUGACACCGUCAGAUCCAUCUCAUCAGUUUCUGAGUCAAGGCGCCACAUAAAAUGGGACCCACAAUCCCACCUUUUAGGUUGCCUAAACGGAUUUUCCGCUCGUCUUCAAUUGACUUAACGCUAUAUUGCAAUAAAUAAUUAGAUUUAGUGUAUUACACGUAUUAUAAAAUUUACGCCUUUUUUUCUUCUCUUUUUUGUAUUAAGAAGAUAUUUCUACGCAUAACUCAUAACUCCGAAGACUAAUUUUAGAGUUAGACACAACUAUGAUGUAAACUUGUAACAAAAAAAAAAAAACUAUGAUGUAAACUUCGCAAGAUUAAUACUUUAAUUAUAAGCAUUUUUUUUACAGUACCAAAAAAAAAAAAACACUUUUUUAAGGAAGUUAUAAACACUUUUAGCAUCUCCAUCAAUUAGUAUAUAUUAUAACCUUUAAAAAAUCAAUUAUAAUAUUUGAUCAUUAAAAAAUUAAUUGUAGUUAUAACUACGUAAAAAUCCCACAUAAAUAAUUUAUGAUUUAUUGAUGGUAUAAAGUUUCUUAAUACAGUAUGAUCAUUCAAAAAAAAUAGUUUCUUAAUAUUUUGAAUUAAAAUUAGACUCAAAACAAACAAAAAAUUAAUCAUAAGCAAUUGCUUUUACACGUUUUAAGUGUAAUUUUUUACCGUUUGACUGAAACGUGUAAAAACUUGAAAUUAAAGUGAGAUAAAUGCAGGCACACAAUUUAAUAAAAUCUAACUACAUCACCGCUUUACCACUUUUUCCCAUGACCAUGAAUCAAGCAAUUAUUAAUUAAAAAUGUGACAGAGAUAGUACCUAAUUGAUUGGAGUUGCAAUUUCUGGCGUUCUUGAUCAGAAAUCUGAGCAAAUGGAGUUGAAGUUCCUGUAUUAGGUGUAGAGGGUGCUGAUUUCUUCUUCUGCAGUGAAUGAAGUUCAUCAAUUGUUUUUGCAUUUACGGUGGGACCACUAUCAUCGUGACAAAUCCCGUUCACACUUUUCUUUGUCGUAAUUUUUGGAAGCCCAUUGCUCCCGUUCUCUGUUGCAAUACUUCCAUUUCCAUUUCUGUUUGAUGCCAUUUUUUUUCAAUUUUUUCUCUGCCAACCAAAAAAUAUAAUUAAAUAUAUCUAAUAUAAACAAUGCUUUGUUUGACACUUUCCAUGGUUCAAGAUCAAAGAUUCAAAGUGCAUGUGUUUGACAAAGUUUUGUCAAAGCUUUAAGUACACUUUUACAAAAUCACGGUGGUUUAACCCAAUUAUUUCAAACAUUCACAAAAUAUAUAUAAAGGAAAAGAAAAAAAAAAAAAACAUGACACUGAUACUACACGAUAUUGAUGUAGUGGUUACAUCCGAUCAUUUUAUCAGUAUUUAUGUGUCGUUGUGGUGUUUACAUAAAUCAUCGUUUGCAUGUUUGCUAUCACGGUGAAUUUGUCAGAACUACGUGUAAAGAGAACAACAUUGUACAGCAAAAUAAAAAUAGAACGAACCAAAGAAUUGUAGCUAGGAUGCUGCUGAGGAAAUCUGGAAAAUGAGAAAACUAAAGAGAAACAAAGGAAAUUAUCGUAAAAACGACCAUAAGAAGUGCAAUAAUGAUGUAAUGUGAAAGACAAAUAGAUGAUGGAAAUUUGCAAUGUUGGUGAUGUCCUUUUAUAGGGUGCAGUAAUAGCCUCCACUUAACUAGAGUUAGAUAUAAACUAUGGUUAAGGGUAACCAUGGUUAAAUCCUAUCCCUCUUGUCAUCAGCGGUCAAUACUCGACUCAUCAUUAUUCGGGAAUAAGGGGCAGCUGGUUAAAUGACUCUGUAUGUGAAUGACCCAAAUAGAGAAGCCAAUCCUCUGUUUCUCAUAUCCAACGUAGCAUACACUCAUUCACAACUCAUGUUACAAUAUGUUUAUUAAAUAAACAAGAUCAUGUUACCCUAUAAACAUUUUUCAAUCUUCUUUCUUUAUAACACUUGGAAACUUUGUCAAUAACAGCGUAUCCAUUUUUUAUACUUAUCUAAAACAUGAAAUUAAUAAUUCUUCAAAUACCCCCUCUAAAAUAAAAAACUUCAAAUACCCAACGGUUCUAUAUUUUUUUUUUUGUCGGUGAAGUUAUGAUAUGAUUUAGAGCUUUUUUUUUAAGUUAACCUAUAUACAAUUUUUAAAAAUUUAUUGACAAAGACUAGUUGAAAGGGGAAUUGAUUUAUGACGAAUUUUGUUUAAAAAAUCUAUUUCAUGACCAAUUUAAAUUCAUCCUUUUUUUUAAAAAAAAAAUUAACAGCGUAAAAACAUCAAAAAGAAUAUAAGAUACUUCAAAAAAAUUGAAAUUUGUUAUAGACUUUAAUCAUAUGAGAGGGAGAGAGAGUCAAAUUUCACGCAUAUAAUGUUAUACUGUUCAAUGUCAUUUUACUUGAUUUAUAUAUAUUUUUAAUUUGGUCACUAAAUUAUUUAGAAGUUUAUAUCGUAUAGAUCAUUAAUGUAAAUUUUUACAAAACUCUAAAAUCAUUUGAUAUAUCAUUAAGAUGCACCAAGAUUAAUGAUGUUAUAUAAAAGUGUAUAAAUCGUUAAUUUUGAUGUUUCUCAACCACAUAUCAAAUGAUUUUAGAUUUGCGUAAAAAAAUUCAUUAAUGAUCUAUUUAAUAUAAACUUACAAUCCAACGAUCAAAUUUGAAAAUAUGUAUUGAGUAAAACUCUCAAACUUACAAAUUUGUAUAUACAUACUCUAACCUGCCUUGUAAAUACUUAGAAAUACAUUCAAAAGAUAUAAAAUUUAGGUGUAUUGUGAUCAUAUAGUUUACUACUCUUUUAGUUAUUUAUAAAUCUUAUAAUCCUCUAGGUUAAGGUUCGGAAGUCAUCUAGGUUAAGGAAAGAAAUUAUAGGACUAACUUGCCUUAGUGUUUAUUGUUGUAAAAUGUUGGAUUAUAUUGAAAUCUUUCGGUAGUGCGACAUGAUUGCACUAACUCCAUAUUAUGGAGCGAACAAGUAUAAUUUUUUGUGUCCUUUCUUCUUUUCCUUAACUCUUUACAAUAUGCACUUUAUAAUUUGUCCAAUGAUAAAAAGGAUCUUACCUAUCCUCGAAUAAUAGAAUAUAUUAUGCCAGUUUAUCAAAAAUAAAUUGUAUCGAACCACAUAGAUUGUGCUUAGUUUCAAUCGUACUUAAAUUUAAAGAAAUUCUAAAUCAAAUUUGUAAAAAUGUUUUGGUAGUAGGAUCACAAGUAAAAUAUGAUAAGUUUGAGAAAGUUGUGUUGGAAUUAGACUUAGAUAACUUCUCAUCCAAUGGUUCCUCUUAAUCGAUUAUAUAUUUUUCGAGCUUCACAUAUAACUCUACCUAUCCAUCAACAUACAACUCCAUUCCUUGAUGACAAUGCAAAAUCCAUUGAAUAAUCCACUUCUAAUGCUCGGUGGCAAAAUAAUCGAUUGAUUCAAUGGCAAAUGACCGAAUAGUUAUGCAUGAAUAUAGACCUAAUUGAUAUUUCUAGAGUAUUAGCACUUAUAUGUGGCUUAAACCAUAUAUGUUUGAUACAAAGUUGAUUCCUCACACUUACUAAAUCAAAAGAGCAUUUGUUAAGUGCUCGUCGACAAAAGUAUUAAGAAUAUAUUUAAACCAAAGAUUAUAUUGAAUGCAUAAAUCAUAUACAACUAGCCAAAUUAAGAGUAAUACAUAGAAUCUUAGAUAUUUACAUCUAAUCCCAACACGAAAGAAAUUUUAGUUACAUAUGGAGAGCAUAACUACAAAAACAGGUUAAUUAAUGUUGGAAAAGCACGAAUAAGCUUUAAUCCAAGCUUUCUAGCCCUCCAAUGUUGAACACACACCUCCCUCUUUGUUCUCUCUCUUAAAGUAUUAUAUUACAAGUGAUAAAAUGAAUAUUCUGACUACACUCUUUGGAGAUGGAGUUUUUGCAAGUGUAUGUUCGCUAGGUGAAGUGGUGCUCGCCGAGCGAAUCGAGCUUUCUUUUUUGGACGGAAAAGUUAAUUGUCCUUUGUACUUUUCAGAAACCUUCUUAUUUCACCUAGCGAAUGGACUUUAACAUUUCUCUCUAGAUAUCUCUGUUUUGGCUCGCUUCCACUUCAGUGCAAUCAUAUCAAAAACCUACAAAAAAGCGUUCGAAAAUUUGAACUUUUACUUACACUUGGUAUUUGGUUAAUAAAAGUUACACUCAUUUAAUAAAUGAGUCAAAUUUGAGUAACGAACUUUUACACAAAUCAAAUUCAAACUCUAAGUGCAAGAUUCCACUCGUUUACACACCCCAUUAAUACGUGUACAUAAAGUUAGUGAAUUUUCAUUGUUUCAACUAAUUAUAUUUUUUGGUAUAGAUCGUGUAUUUUGUACACGCAAUUAUAAAGACAAAGAUCGUAAGAAAAAAAUUAUGAAGACAAAGCCGUCAAGCAAGGUAUAUGAUACCAAUUGAUAGCCAAUAUGAUCUCUUAAGAAUUUUAACUUUCUUGCAUCUCUAAGACCAAAUUUGAACUCGAUAAAUGAAUUGAAUCUUCUCAUCUAAACUCUCCUUUUUUUUCUUCUUCUUAAUCUCAUUGCAAAUAGUAGUUUUUAUCUUGGUAGUCAUUCUCUAUAUCAUUUUGAGGCCAUAAUCCUCAAGCCUGCAUGAUAUUUCAUUCUUUUGACAUGGGUUUGAACUACCUUUCAAAUGAGUGACUACAAUAAUAAAAUAGACUUAAGACCUACUAUGAGUGUUGAGACUAAUGAGUGUGUUUCUUACUUCAACUGACCCCUCCGUUAGUAGGCGUUGACUAGAUAUCGUGUUUCCUAAACCAAGAUUGCAAUAGUAUGUAAAGUGAUCUUACAAAUAAGCUAGCUAUAUUAAACUUAAAUGGUUAAUAGUGUUUUUCACCCCUGUAAUAUAUGUCAUUUUCGAUUUUCACCCUUAUAAAAUUUUUGGUUUGAUUUGCACUAUUGUAAUUUUUUUUUCUUCGGAAAACACCCUUAAUAGGCCAUUCAAAAACCAAAAUUUCUUGAAAAUGGCCUAUUAGAGGUGUUUUCCGAAAGAAAAAAAAAUUACGAGGGGGCAAUUCAUCCCAAAAAUUUUAUAGGGACGAAAACAAAAAGUGACUUCUCUUACAGGGGAGAGGAAGACUCUGCCAACAAACCCCCACAAAGUGCAAAAACAUCCCCAUGUGACGUUUUUCAGGUCCCGGGAUUCCCCAGGACCCCGGAUCUACAACGUUGAUGACCCAAAAGUCAAGGAUGGGAUAUGCCCGGGAUUUAAGCUGAUUUGAUAUUUUGUUCCAAACAAAUCCCGGAACAAACAAAAAAGACAAACAAGGUCCCACAAAGACAACAAAAAAAACAACGUUGCCCUAAGACGACAAAUUCCCGAAAGAAAAAAAAAAAUAGAUGGGAAAAUGAAAAAUCACUUUUUUCAAUAAAAGGGAAAAAAAAAAACGGGGUGGGGGGGAUUUGGGGCCAAAAUUUGCCCCUUUGAUUUUUGAAAAAAAAAAAAAAAAAAAUGGACCAAAAACCCCCCCCCUUUUUUUUGAAAAAGGGAAGAAAAAAAAACAAAGGUUUGGAGAACCCCCCCCAAGAGAAAAAAAAAAAAAAAAAAACUUUUUUUUUCUUUAAAUAGAAAAAACCCCGCCAAAUAAGGGGAAUUUUUCCUUUUUAUUUCUUCCAUUUUAACAGCCUUUUUUUCCAAAAAAAAAAAAAAAAAAAAAAUUCCCUAAAAAAAAAAAAAAAUAAAGAAUGCGGAGGGAAAUCCCAAUUUUCGGGGUGCAACCCCGGCCUUUCCCUUUUUUAGAAAUUAAAAUUGGGGGGGCCUAAAAAGAGACAGAGGUGGGGAAGAAAAGAAAUUCGCAGGGAUUUUUCCCUUUUUUUAAAGUUGGGGGGGAAAAAGGGGUUUUUCCACCCCGGAAAAUAAAUGGGUUUUUUUUUUUUUUCCCCCCCCAAAAAAAAAUUUUGUGGGGGAGGGUGAAGAACCCGGCAAAAUUUUUUUUUUUUUUUUUUAACCAGAAAAACCCCCCCCAAAAAAAAAAAAAUAUUUAAAAAAAUUUUUUGUUUUUUUUUUUUUUUAUUUGGGAGAAUAAAUGGGGGGGGGGGUUGUUGCGGGGGGGGGGGAGCAAAAGAAAAAAAUAAAAAACAAAAAAAAAAGAGUUUUUUAUUUUUAAAGAGUGGCGCCCCCACCCAAAAAAAAAUUUUUUUAUGGGGGGGGGGGGAGANNNNNNNNNNNNNNNNNNNNNNNNNNNNNNNNNNNNNNNNNNNNNNNNNNNNNNNNNNNNNNNNNNNNNNNNNNNNNNNNNNNNNNNNNNNNNNNNNNNNUUGUUUGUUGUUGGUGGCGUUUGUUGGGCGUCUCCUUGCACUCAACGAAGGCGCAGCGGGAGCGGAGGGAGAGGGGUGAGGUAAGAAAGAAGAGUUAAUUCUCAACAAAAAAAAGGGGUGGGCGCACACUAUUAAAUAAAAAGAUAGGAGGGUGUAUAUUUGUGUUUUUUUUUCCCCCCCCCGGGAAAAAAAACAGCUAUUUUGCUGGUUUUCCCCCCCCCUAAAAAAAAUUUUUUGGUGUUUUGUUGGGCCCACACUUGAUAAAUUUUUUUUUUUUGGGGAAAACCCCCCCCCUAGUGGCCGCCUUAAAAAAAAAAAAAAAUUUUUUUAAAAAAGGGUCUUUAAAAGGGGGUUUUCUUGGGAAAGAAAAAAAAAAUAUUGGGGGGGGCAUUCCACCCCCAAAAUAUUUUUUUUUGGGGAAAAAAAAAAAAUGACAAAAUUUUCGGGGGGGGAAAACACCCUUUUUCCCCCCUCACUAAGGGGGGCAAAAUCCCCAAGAAGGCUUUCUUGCCCCCCCCUGUUCCUGGUAGCCCCCCCCAUCCUAAUUUUUAAAAGGGAAAAGGUCCCGGGUUGACAUCAAAAAUUGGGAGGCCCCUCCGGUUUUUUAAAUUUUUUUUUUUUUAAGGAAAUUUGAUUUUUGUUUUUAUUUUUGGAAAAAAAGCCUGGAAAAUGGAAGAAAAAAAAGGGAAAAAUUCCAUUUUUUUGGCCGGGUUUUUUUCGGAAAAAAAAAAAAAAAAUUUUUUUUUUUUUUUUUUUUUUUUUGGGGGGGGUAUCAAAACCCUUGUUUUUUUUUCUUCUUUUUUCAAAACAAAAGGGGGGGGGGUUUUGGGCAAAUUUUUUUUUUUUUUUUAUCAAAAAUCAAAGGGGCAAAUUUUGACCCAAAAUCCCCCCAACCUCGUUUUUUUUUUUCCCUUUUAUUGAAAAAAGGGAUUUUCAAUUUUCACAUUUAUUUUUUUUUUUUUUUUGGGAAUUUGUUGUUUUAGGGCAAAGUUGUUUUUUUUGUUGUUUUUGUGGGACAUUGUUUGUUUUUUUUGUUUGUUCAGGGAUUUGUUUGGGUCAAAUUAUCAUAUCAGCUUAAAUCCCGGGCAAAUCCCAUCAUUGACUUUUGGGUCAUCAACGUUGGAGAUCCGGGGUCAUGGGGAAUCCGGGGACUUGAAAAUCGUCAAAUGGGUAUGUUUUUGUACUUUGGGGGGGUUUGUUUGCAGAUUCAUCCUUUUUGAUGUUAGGGAAUUUGCAUUGUAUCAGUAUACUCUAUCAAUUUGAAAGAAAGAAAAUCAUUUUUAUUAUUUACCUUAAUAGGCCCUUCAAAAACCAAAAUUUUUUGAUUUUUUUUUUUUUUGAAAAUGGUCUAUUAGGGGUGUUUUCCGAAAGAAAAAAAAAUUACGAAGGUGCAAAUCAAACCAAAAAUUUUAUAGGGGCGAAAACCGAAAAUGACAUAUAUUACAGGGGUGAAAAACACUAUUAACCCUAAACUUAAAUGAGUGCAAAAUCCUCAAGACUGCUAUCUUGUCACACCAUUGCUCAUGAUAGCGCACGCAAUCAUAAUUCAUAAAUGAGAAAUGAUGAUGGUUUGACAUCAAAAUUUGGAUGUCACAUGCGAUCUUUUAAUUUUUAUUUUUUUACUUAUUUUUUUAAGGAAUUUUGAUUUUUGUUUAUAUUUCUGAAAUAAAUGCAUGUAAAUUGAAAGAAAUAAAAAAAAUAAAAGAGAAAUAUACAAUUAAUAUGACAGAUAUUUUUCAGUAAUAAGAAGAUAUAAGUUAGCCGGCCCUAGUUUUUUAGUGGGAGAAACUCCAACUUCUCUCUAAACUUUCUUUCUCCUUCGUUCAUCGAGGAGAGGUGGUUUUAGGUCAUUUUUUGACCUAGAAUCACCCCUCUACACCUUUUUUCCCAUUUUCUUUCAAUCUAAAUAAGUGGUUUUCACAUCUAUCAAGUUUUUCCUUUUGUGUUUUUUGUGAUUUCGUCGUCUAAGUGCGGCGUUGUGUUGUUCGUCGUCUUGUGCGGCGUUUGAUUUUGUGUUUUGUCGCGGUGUUUGUUUAGUUCCUCUUGAAAGAUCUACAUCAGUCAAUUACAAAUUCAACCAAUGAUUUGGACGUCAACGUUGCAGAUCCGGAAGCAUGGGUAUUUCGGUGACUUAAGUUUUAUCAUAUUAUUUGUAGGCAUUUUGCCGUUGUAUGCUAUUAACUUGGGUGCUGUGAGUUUGUUUGCAGAUUCACCCUUUACGUUUUUAGCGAUGUUUGUAUUUGAUGUACUCUAUCAAUUUGAAUGAAUGAAUAUCGUUUUGUUUUUGUCAAAAAAAAAGUAAUAAGAAGAUAUAAGUAUCCUCUCUCUUCUCUUUCUCUCUUGUGAGCCGUCAUCAAAACCUUAGUUUAUAUUCCUUCAUUCAUCAAAUACAAAGAGGGGGUGUAUUUAUGGUCUAAUUUUUAUUUUUUUUUUUUUUUAUCAAAAAUCAAAGGGUCAAAUUUUGACCCAAAAUCACCCCAACCUUGUUUUUCUCUUUCCCUUUUAUUGAAAUAAGUGAUUUUCAAUUUUCACAUCUAUUUCUUUUUUUCUUUCGUGAUUUCGUCGUCUUAGUGCAACGUUGUUUUAUUCGUCGUCUUUGUGCGACGUUGUUUGUCUUUCUUGUUCGCUCAGGUAUUUGUUCGGAUCAAAUUAUCAUAUCAGCUUAAAUCCAGGGCAUAUCCAAUCAUUGACUUUUGCGUCAUCAACGUUGUAGAUCCGGAGUCAUGGGUAUUCCGGAGACUUGAAUAUUGUCAUAUAUGUAUGUUUUUGUACUUUGUGUGAGUUUGUUCGCAGAUUCAUCUUUUUUGAUGUUAGUGAAUUUGCAUUGUAUCAGUAUACUCUAUCAAUCUGAAAGUAUGAAUAUCAUUUAUUUUUGUAAAAAAAAUAAAAAAAAUGACAGGUAUUUUGAUUUUGGACUACUCAAAUAACUCCCAUGCCAAAUUAUCAUUCAUUGUAGAUCAUACCAAGCAACGAUGGUGGUGCCAGUUGACAAAUGAAAAGCGACGACAUUUGCACUAUUAUGAAAAUAUGGUAUUCUGAUUUUUUUUUUUUUUUGUUGAAUCAAAGUGACCUAAUCCCCAAAAUAUAGUAUUUUGAUAUGUAGAGCCGUGGAAGACUCAAAUAUAAAUACUUUUUUAAUAUUUUUUAACAAUAAAAUUUAUUAAUAAUCAAGUUCAUACAAGACGAAUAGAUACAUGCAGACAAACAGAAACAUGUAAGAAUUAAACAACAUAGCAAAUGACCUCGUGUAUAGGUAGAACACUCAAAAGAAGAUCCAUACACGUACAUCAAAAACAAAAUAAAAACACAUAAGCAAAUAAAAACUAAUUACCAAAAUCAAAGUCAAGCCCCCCUGGGCAACAUCAUAAACAAAACUUGAAUCAAAACCUCAAACUCUAUGACGAGUGACCACAAAAACUACUUCCAAACACAUACAACCUACUUCUCACACAAAGCCCUCCUCCAAAAUAACCACAAAAAACGACCAAAUACUCUUAUAACAACACCUAUGCUUCUGUUCCCAAAGUGGAGCCCAAAUAAACACCUAAAAAUCACAUAUUUAAACGCUAAUUCAGAUUCCACCACCGAUCAAAAAACAAAGCAAGGCAGCCCCCCCCACUCAAUACCUCUAGAAGAAGACAAAAUAGCACUCGUCAAUAGAAGAAGAAAAGUUCUCACCUAAUCGCAGUCACAAUCAAUGACCAUUGGGCACCACAAAACAACCCACAUCCAGACCAAACAUCCUCAUACAACACGUCCCCACUUGAAAAAUACAAACCACCCUAAAGAACCAACGUGAACAGAGAGUCCAAAUCUAGAACACAAGUUGUCCCUCCAACACCCUAAACCAACACUAUUUCGAACCACCACCAACCUCUACUUCGCUAGAGAAGACACUAUAACAAGCCGAAAAUCUUGAAUCUAGAAUUUGAAUUUCGAUCUCGAAGCAAAAGCGAUCGAUCCACAAAAACCCAGAAACAUAUCACUAGGGCAGUCAACAGUGACACACACAUAACCAUGUCAAAGAUGGGUCUAUAUCGAAAUCAACCCAAAAUCGAACCACAAACAAAUCGAAAAACACCCAAAAAAGUAAAAGAGCUAACGACGGCUGAUAUGAGCCCAAUUCAGAGGUCACCACGGGCAGAAAGUGAAGGAAAGAGCCCAACAAAAAAGUAAUUAAUUUUAUAUAAUAUUUAUGGUACAAUUUUAUUUUAUAUUUUAAUUAUAGAGGAAAUAUGUUUGUUUAAAAUUUUUAAAACAUUGUAAGAAAGAUGAAAACAUUGAAAAAUGAAUUGGGUUUCAUUUGAAACGUGGUGGCAUGGCCAUGGUUGGUAUUUUUAAAUUGAUUAUGUUUUUUUUUUUGAGAUGAUUGAUUAUGUUUUUGUAGUGUUGUUGUCUUGAUAAAAAAAUGUUUUGUACUUUCCCUUUGCAUCUGGUCAGAGGAUAUCGAGAAGUAGUCUAUUGAACCAAUUAAUAAAUACUACUAAUAAUAAUACUCCUAAAAGGAUAUCAUCAGUGACGUUAAAUAAAAGUCAUUAAAAAUAUAAAUUUGAUUUUGGAAAAAUUAUAUUUUUAAUGACUUCUAUAAAAUAAUACUAUCAAUUUUGAAAACGCUAAAAAGGUUUAAUCUAAAUUAUAAUUGAAAAGUAGAAAUGUAAAGACUUAAUUGAAAAGGUUUAAUAUUUUUUUUUUUAUGCAGGGGUUCAAACCUCAAAUCUUAUAUAUAUUAUGCAUUAUUUAACUAAACUCACGAGGACCGCGUAGUGUAUGUUUAUGAGUAUGGUACCAGGUUCGAUUUAUAUUUCAUUCAUAAAAUGUUACAAAAUGUUACUACCAUAUACGACAUAUCUUUCUCCCUUUUUAAAAAUUUGUCUUUAUCUUUCAUUAAUUUCUAUAAGUUGUUAUUUUCUAUGUUCACACACUCAUGUUUUGGAUCACAGCUGUAAAUGAACUUCUUUCAAUGGUUAGUGGUAAUUUGGAAGGCAGACAUGAUCCUACUCACGUGAAAUUAAUGCACAUUAAAAUUGGAUCAAUGGCUAUGAUGUAAUAUAUGCUGAAAAAAAGUACAAAGGACUAACAAAGAAAGUGAAUAUUUAGUAAAUCAAAGAGGUUACAUUACAUAAUGGUUAUGGAGUUGAUAACUGAGGGAGGGGAUAUGUGGUAGAGGUCGCAUUGUGAGUUGUGAAUCUUUACUUUUAUUUUCUCUGUUUGCUUUCAUUUUCACCAUUCCCGUGUGACGGAAAACUUGAGGUGAAGGAAAUCUGUCUGGAAUCAAAUACUAACACUUGUAAAGAUAUCAUUAUUUAUCUUCCUCUAAGAGGAUUAUUAGUAUUACAUUGUGAAUGUCCUUGUAAACAUAUAUCGAUCCAUAAGAACAUUACAAUAUGAUACUCGCGAGUUUAACUCAAUUAAUAGAACAUUACAUAAUAUAUAUAAAGGUUGAGGUUCAAACCCGAACAAGUCACUUAUUUACCUUAAAAAGUGAAUAAUAUAACCACUAUAUUACUCAGAAGAAGAAAAAAACCGUUGUAAUAUGCAGAUGUAUAUGUUUAAAUUUGAAAUUCUUCACUUAUUUACUUUCAAUGAUGAAGUUCUAAGCACUAUAUUAUUGUUUGGGAAAAGAAAAAAAAUUACCUUAUUCUAUUGAGAGGAAAAAGGUAUUACGUUGUGUACUUGUAUUCGGUAUGGCAAUAUUUUGUUCCAUUUAGGGGAGGUUUUAUUUACGUACUAGUAGUAUGUCAUAUCUUCUUGGAGCAAUAAAGUACUAAAUACAUUAUACUCCAUCUCUCUGAAAAUAAUAUUAACCGUUUAUGUUUUUGUCAUUUUCACAUAUACCAAAUUGUUCAUAUAAAAAAUAAAACUAAAUGGUAUAUUUAAUAUAUCUAAGAUUGAACAUUUUAUUAAAAUAUCUAUUAAAUAUAUUUUUAUUAAAAUAUCUGCUUUUUUUUUAGGGGUAAAAUAUCUGCUUUUGUCUAUUUUGUUUUUGUCAUUUUCAUAUAAACAAUUAAUUUAACUUGAAAGAAGAAAAUUCAAAAUUAGAUGUUUAGUAUUUUUUUUUUUAUUAUAAGAAUUCAAACUCGGACCUUUAUUUCUCAUCUCCUUUAAUCUUUUAGCUCAACUAUGUGAGCUACCCAUCUUUUUAAUCUCUAAACUCAACUACAUGAACUACUUAAUAUUUUGGGGCACACCUUUCAAAGAUGUUUAUAACAAUUAUUUAAAAAAAAAAUCAUUUUAUUUGACUAUAUUAACAAAAAAAAAAAAUUGUUCUUGUAUGUUUAGCUCAGGGACCCCACUUAUUCACCUUAAAAAGGAGAAUUUCUAACCACUUGACCAAAAAAAAUUACAAUUACAAAAUUAAUCUUAUUAGAAUUAAUAAUUAUCAUAAAUAUUUAUUAGAGUACUCCAUUCGAUCUUAUAUGUGAAUUCUGAAAAAUGACAAUGUAAUAAAAAAAACAUAUAUUAUAAUAUUGUGAAAAAUUAUAUAACAUUUCAACCGCAUAAAAUUAAACUUUUAUGAUAAAUUACUGAUUAAUUAUGAAUUUUUAAAGCGCUAAAAACUCAAAAAAUAAAAAAUGGAAAUUUCAGCUGAGAAAUUGAAUUUUGAGUUGAUUGUUUUUAGAGAUAUCUAAUAAAAUACAUAGAAAUGAUCUACAAAAUUUUAUAGCAUUUCGAAGACGCCAUGGUUUAUUUUGAUUUUUCAACAAAAACUUGCUAAGUUUCAAUUUUGAUCGGAGUAAACAUUAAACUCUUGAGUCAAAUCAUGUCCUUUAAUUUUGUGGUCAUGGUUAAAAUAUCGUAAGAACCUUCAUCAUGAAAUUUUUAAAUAAGGGACGACAUAAUUAUGUAUUGAUUAAGAAAUUCUCAAUUACAGGGAACAAAAAUUCAUAAUUAAUCCUCACUUUAUCGAAUUUUUUUUUUUUAUGGGAAACAAUAUUUUAACAUUCUAAAUAUGCUUGCUAAAACAUCAUGAAAAAACUCAACCUCUAAAUCACUUCUCUGAUCUUCGUGUAUAUUAUGUGGUAAAAAAGAAUGUGAAUAUCAAAUUAUAUGGAUAUAAUAUGAGAAAUAUGUUUUUUUUAUUUUACAAUGUCAAUUUUCAAACUUCGCGUAUAUUACACGAUCAAAUUAACUCAAAAUAAUAAAAUAAUCAUGCAAAUUAUCAAGCAAGUGCAUGGAUGGCUUUUAUGAAAAUAACAUGGGUUAAUGGUGCUUUACCCCCUGUAAUAUAGGUCAUUUUUUGUUUUCCCUCCUGUAAAUUUUAUUUUUUUUAGAAUACCCCCUAAUAGGUCAUAAAAAAAUGACUUUAUUUUUUAUUUUUUUUUUCUAGAAUUUUUUUCGUUUUUUUAUGACCUAUAAAAAUUUACAGGGGGGUAAAUCAAAAAAAAUAUUUUACAGGGGAAAAACCAAAAUGACCUAUAUUACAGGGGUAAAGCACCAUUAACCCAAAUAACAUUGAUUCUCUUUCUACCUUCUUUCCAAUUUAUGUAGGGCUCACCAAACUCAGUUCUUGCAUUCCAAAUAAGGGAAAUCCAAUUCCAAUGAUUUUUCUUGUCCUACAUGGAUCUUUUUAUGCAAAAUUAAGGGAAGUCCCCUUUUAAUUCUUUCUACUUUAUUUUUAGGCAAAAUUAACAAACACCCCUGUCUUGGACGCAUAUGUACCGAUACGUAGAAAAAUAUCAUCAAGUGUUUCACAUCAAAUGUUUUUUUGAAGAAUACAUCAAAAUAUUCAUAGUUUUUAGCCGGAAACCAACAUUGACAUCUAUCCAGCUCAAUAAUUAGGAUUAUGUGGUAGCCAGUAGUGGAGUCAGAAAAAAAUGUCAGGGUGGACCACUAAAAUUAACUAUUGAAAAAUUGUUUAAAGUCUCACAAAUUAAACCUAUAAUUGAAUUAUUUAAAUUUUUCGGGUGGACCACUAUACCAAUUUGCGGAAAUUUGGAUCAACCGAUACCUAAAACCGACAUAAAUUUGUAUAAAAUCUCACAAAAUAGACCUAUAAUUGAAUUAUUUAAAUUUUCGAGUGGGACACUACACCUUUUUGUAGAAAUUUGGAUCAACCAAAACAUAAAACUGAUACAAAAUUGCUUAAAAUCUCGCAAAUUAGACCUAUAAUCGUUGAUUUUUUAAUUUUUCCGGGUGGGCCGUGGCCCACCCCAGCCCAUGAAGGGCUCCGCCACUGGUGGUAGCCAAGUAUGUUGUACUUAUCCUCUCAAAAAAAAAUGAUGUACUUAUAGUUAAUACAUCUUAAUCAUUGAAGAAGAUUAUUGCGUAAUUUUAUUCAUAUAGUUGACUUUAUUUAAUGGAAUAAGAUUUAAUUAUUGUUGUAAUGGUGAUUGUAUGAACUUCGACUUUGUUCAGUUCGAUUUAGACAGACAUGUUGAAUAGUUCUCACCAUUUAUUAAUAUAUUUCAUCUGGCUUUUUUAAAAACAAAUGUGGAGAUAUUUUCUUGACAAGAAGACACCAAGGCUAAGAGCACCCUACCUAGUAGAACAACCUAAAGAACUUGGGCCCCACCCAAACUCUCAAAGCACAAAUCAAAUCCAUCUCCAACCAACACACCGAACCUUAUUGGUUUCAACAAGGACGAGCUCCACCUUCCACUUAUAAAGUAAUUACCUGACAAGACCCACUCCCAACCUAACCGCCUGCAAAUAUCGUACCAAACUCUCGCCACAACUCAACAUGACACAAAUAAAGAUCCACCGGCUCCAACCCUUUCCACAUAUCCCACACCAACACUAACUAUAACCUAACAAUUGAAAAAAUUAUGACGCGAAGGGACCUUAUAUAUGAGAAACUUCCUAGAAAAGACCUGCAGUAUAUAGGGGUCCCAACCCUUCAUCAAUUAUUUAUAUUCUGAUUUCACUUGAUACAAAAAUACAAAUUCAAAAUAGGAUCAACCUAAUCUUCUUCAACCAUCCUACAAGAAUAUAAGUUUAUUGGAAAAAUUACAUGUUGCUUUACAUCAAACCAAAUCCCUCUAUCAAUAACUCUACAUAAAAUGACAUAACACACAACCAUUACGUGAAGUGAUUAUAUUUGAAAAAAGAUGUACUAAAUUGGUUGAUUUACCACACGAGUUUUGCCCAAGUUAGCACAUUGUUGAUCAAAGUUCCUCAACUAAACUCUCGUCUCCUUAUAAAUGCAUUUCGAUUCCCCCAAAGCUAGUAGAAAAAUUAUUCAAGAGGUAUUUUUGAAAUAGUAUAUGCGAGGGAGUGAGAAUAUCAAAAUUAUAGGGUGCGAAUAACAAACGUGAAAUAUGUUUAGAAAUUAAGAAUAGUUGGGGUCAUAAGAUUAUAAAUUUUUUACAAAAAAAAAAAAAAAAAAAAAAAAACUAAAGAUGCUUUACAACAUGUAUCUUCGAAGAUUUGACUAAAAAAAAUAAAAUAAAAAAAAAACCUUGUAUCUCCAAAGAUAUUAAGCUCAUACAUUAGUUAAACUGAAAAAUAUUUUUGUAAUAACCAAAGUGAACUACCAACCAACACAAUUAUAAAAUUAACAUAGUCUGAAAUGUAGUUAAAGCAUGUUGCUGACCUUAAAUUACAGUAAUCUUUUUUUUAAAAGCUACAGCAUAGGGUUUGCAGCUUAGUGAAUAGCAUGAUCAGAAGGAGAACAAGUAAGAACACAAGAAAUAGCAAGCCAGUUUAGAAUUUGCAUCCAAAUGAUCCCAAAAAAUUCAUAUUCAAAACACAAAUUAUUAACAUAUUCAUUUAUCUCCGGAAGUAGCACAAUUGUUUCUAAUACUUUUUAUAUGUUAUCAUUACAUUUAAACUUUGAGGUUAAGUUCAUUAAGGAAUAAGCAAAUAUGGUUGCUCAUAUCCUUAUAAAGACAACAAUUUCAUGGCUGGUGAAUGUAGUUUUGAGCUUGUUCAUCCUUAUAUUCAAUAUGUGUUGCGUGAUGAAAUGAGUUAUAUAUGCUUAUUUUGGUAUAAAAAAAAAAAAAACUGGAAAAAGAAAUACUCAACUUAGAUUAGGUCCAAACAAAACUGAAAAAACAAACCAAAUCAAAGCAGAAUUACCCAUUCUUUUGAAUUUUGAAAUCCAAUGAAUUGAUGAGUUAUAAGUUGUUGUUUUUUGAAAUAUAUGAUAACCAUGGACCCAAAAAAUUACACCAUGUUAAUUUUUAUGCUCAUUACUUACGGAUACCACUUGUGUACCAUUAAGGUACCAAUGUUAUAUAACAUUGACCAAUAAGAGUGUGCCACAUACCAAUGUUACUUUAUAAAUAUUUUAUUUGAUAUAUAUUUUUUAAAGUAUGUGCCACAUGUCACAUCUUAAUUGGCUAAUGUUAUAUAACAUAAUGAUACGCAAGUGGUAUCCCAUUACUUACACCCACCAAGACUUAACCUAGGGCCAAUAUGAAAAUACAUUACAUUAAUGGCUUCACACGGUCUACUUCUAUUUUCCGAUUCAAUCUUUUUCUCAAACAACACUACUCAAAACAAAACCCUAAAUUUAUCAUCUCUCGUUGAUCUAGUGUCACCACUUCAAGCUCCAGUGUCGCAGCUGUUAGUAUCUCUUUAUGUUUCAAGCCUUAUAUCUUUGUGACUAAAUUUAGUUUUCUACUUUGUUUUCACCUCCUUCCGUUUAUGAAGUUUUAAAUGGUGAUAUUGCAUGUUGCAGUUGUUUUUACGUUUCUACGCACCUUCGUUUGGUUUUGCAUGUUUUCCUAUCGAUUAUGUCUUUUUUAUAAAGUUUGCUUUGUUCCUUGAAAGUUGAUUUUAAGAUUGAAACUCUGUAUUCAAAAGAUGUUGUAUUUUCAGGUGAACUGAACAUCAAUUUAGUUUGGUUUGCUACAACUACUUAAAAAGAGUUGAAAAUCAAACCAAAUUGAUAUAGAUUCAGUCGGUUUCGUCAUUUUUUAAAUUGAAAACUCAACCAAACGUUACACCAAAGUUACCAAACAAUGUGUCUAGAAUUGUGUUUGAAACCUAAAACAUAUUGACUUUUACUUUUUCCAGCCUACGCUUUACUCACACACCCAAUUUUUUUUUUACCAAAAUAUUUUUGCUCGAAUUCUUUAAUCCAAACCAUGUUUCAUACUCCCUCCGUCCCAUUUUAAUUUAAUUGAACCCUUGGCUCAUUUCACACUUAUUAAGAAAAAGUGUAAAAGUGAAAGAGAGAGAAAAAUGAGUUUGAGUGUCCUUAUCAACUAUUGGUGCAUUCUCUUUAUCAUAAAUGCAAAGUAGAAUAUAUUGAAUUGGGAGUGGUGAAAGUAAUAUUAAUUAGUUUUAUAAUCGAAAAAAAAGUAAUUAAUAUUGUAUUGAAAAGUGAAAUGAGUCAAUUUUUCCUGAAACAAUAUUUUUUUGAAAAUGGUUCCGGGGUAUUAUAUAAUCUGAAUACUUGUAUUGCUCAAGAAGACAUAAUUUUUUUGUAUGAAAGGUCAACGGUUAAAGCUCAUUGUAGAAGAAAAGAGGAGAGAAAGUGAGAUGGGAUGAGAAUUUAUGAAGAAUGAGUGAGUAUUUAAGCAAUUUCUAUGGUUCACCCAAUAUAUUUGAAGUGUAAGUGUGUUUUCUUGCGCUUUCUCCACCAAAAAUCAUCAAGAGUAAACCGAUCUAUUGUUGGAUCAGAUUUAUUAACAUGGCUAGUUUUGAAAUUUGAGUCUUCUGUCGUGGUUCUCGAUUCAUAUAUGUUGUUGGAAAAUAGUAAUUUUUGGAAUUGGAUGAUUUUCGGUUUGUAUUGUGGAUUGAAAGUUUAUGAUUUUUCUGAAAAUCCAAAAACGUUUUCAACCUCAUGGAUUAUGAUUAACAUGAAUAAUAUGCAAUUCAAUGAAAAAAAGGCCAUAAUUGUAUGAGAUUCAAUUCAAUAAAAUAAGGGUAAAAAAUGGUUUGUAUGAGAUUCAAUUUAAUCAAUUUUAAAUUUGCAAAGAGGCACCAUGAAAAGAGAGACGAUGGCGAGCAAUGGUUGAAAGGAAGUAACAUGCUAUGAUUGUAGAAAUUGAGAAGAAACAAUGUGUUUCCUUCUUCUUCUUCUUUAUUGAAAAAUCAUUCCAUAAUUAUUAAGGUUUUUUUGUACGUAGAUGUAAGUUGAAGGUUUCUGAGAAUUACAUAAUAUCAGGUAAGAAUAUGUAGGGGUGAAUCCAUGGCUAAUUAGGAAAUGUUAAAAAUGAGUGAAAAAAUAAAUGGGUUAUAAAAAGGGUAAAAUUGGAAAUAUAAGUAUUUUGUAGGGGUUAAGGUAUAAAUGUAUGGGUAUAGGGUACAAUUUCCUUUAUCAAAACAUACAAAGCAUUGGGCUUUGAUAGCAUAUAUCACAGCUUGGGCCUUACAAAUGGAAAAAAAAAUGAAAAUUGCUUUUCAACACCUUGAUUUUCUUUUUGAUCGGAUCGUAACUUUCGAUCAGCUAUUUUUAUGUGUUAAAAGCCGAUCGAGUGUAACUUUGGCAAUGUAUUUUCAGCAAAGCAAGGUGCCUAAAAAGCAAUUGUCGAAAAAUAUUUUUCUAAUCCCAGCAUGAGUAUGUAUGGUAACGACAAGUUGGGCAUCCACUUGUUUUCUUUUUCUGAAGGAUUGGGUAUCUACUUGUUGCGAAGGCAAAACUGAUAAAUAGAUGAUGCGUGAAACUUGAGAAAGAUCUUACAUUAAAAAAUGUUUAUGAAAACACAAGCAUUUCGUCAAAGCUAAGCUUAAGCCAAGUUCUCAUAUUUUUGGAUCUCACGAGCUGAACAUGAUUUUUGUCUACCAAAAGUAUGACCAAGUUCAAUUUAUUUGCACAUGAAGAAGCAACCUAUCAUAUCCCAGCAUUUGUUACUUGUAUGGACCAUCCUCGUGGCAAUAAGUUUAUGAUUAGAUAUAGAUGUAAAAGCUUAGAAGAAUUUUUCUUUAUUAUUGGGAUUUACAAUAUUUUAAAUUUUCAAUAAAAAAAAAAAAAAAGUAGUCCCACACUCAUGAGCAUCACCUAAAAGGGUUCCAAAAGUGGGCGCAAAUUAAGGAAAAUUCCUCAAUAUUCCUCAAAAGUGAAAGAAACGGCCUUUGGUCCAGCCAUAAAGAUUAAAAUUAUGACUGUAUUCAAUGGGAAUUUUCCAUAGCUUAAAAAGUUAAAUGUCAAAUUCUUAAUAUAUAUCUCACUGUUUCUUUGUUUCACGCAGAUGUUGCUUCCAUAUUUUGCUACAUAUAUAUUUUCUCAAUCUUUCAUAAAUUUCUGAUUCAGAUAGGGGGUGUAUUUCACCGGUAGUACUGCUAGUAAAUAUAGAUUUUAUAACUAAAGGAUUCAUUGAAUCAAAUAUGGAUUUUAUAACUAAGUGAUUGAGUUCCUCUGAAUUUAAUUAGUUAACAUAUUUACUUUAUAUACAAAUUGUUUGAAUAUGUUCCCUAUAAAGAUAAAUUGUUUCAAAAAUCCAAGUUUAAAUUCUUGUUGUAACAUUUUUUUGUUGGACUUUGUUUUUUGCUUCUCAGAGAUGACUUUGGUUGUAACAAGAUUUUACGGUAACAUUUAAUAAAAGAAAAAGAAAGAUUUUACGAUGAUGAUUGUUAUUUCUAGUGUUUGUUAUCCCUACAAUUUUUGGGGGAAAUGAACUAUGAUAAUCCAGAGUUCGACUGAGAGGUAAGUAACGUCUGAUAAAAACUGUUCUGCACAAAAAUUAAACUCAAACUCUUCUAGACAAUUUAUCAGCAAUUACUUGGUUACGAUGACGACGAUAGAAUCAUAUAAAAAUAUCAAUUUUCAUGUGAUAUAUACGAUGUAAAAAUAUUAACAUAGUCUCUUGAGCUGACACUAAUAAUAUAUAAUUCUUAUAUAGUUAGUUCAAUGCAAGUCAGUUAAGGGUGUGUUUGGUAACACAAAAAAGCUAGCUUAUAACUUGUUGGACUAGCUUAUAAGUUUGUUUUGAUAAAAUGAGAUGUGUUUGGUAAAAAGCUUUUCUCACUAGCUUAUAGCGUUUUUUAAGAAGCUAAUCCAAGUAGCUUUUUAGCUUAUAGCUUGUAGCUUUUUAUACUUUCUUCCCAUUUUAACCUUUUCUUAAUUUUAUUUUAUUUUAUUAUAAUAAAAAAAACUACCCACUAUCUUCUUAAACUAACCAUGUUUACCAUGUAUGGCUUUUUAAAUUUUCUUGUCCACUUUUUGUUUUUUUUACUUUGCUCAUAAUUCAUAUAAUAUAUAAUUUUAUAUAAAAUUUAUAAUAAAUAGUGAAGCAAGUUUAGUUAAAUAAAAUUCAUAAAAAUAAAAUAAAAAUUGUUAAAUAAAAAAAUUCGAUUGAAUUCAUAAAUAUAUUUAUUAUUUUGGAGAUGAAAAUAAUUUGAAAUAUAUUUAAAUAUUUAAAAAUAAAUGCGUUAAGUGAUAAAAAUUAUAUAUCAUAUAAAACAAAUUAAUCAAGCAUGUCCUUUUAUGUCAUUUUAUAUUUAUAGUCACUUCAACAGCUAAUUUUACCAAACAUUUUUAAUUUUAAUCAGCUAACUUUUCAGCUAUAAGCUAUCAGCUAUCAGCCAUCAGCUAUAAGCUAGCUUUUCAGCUAUCAACUAACUUUUCAGCUAUCAGCUAGCUUAUAGCUUUUUUUUACCAAACACACCCUUGUGGAAAGAAUGUGACUUCUAUAAAUCUAAUAUGACAGUUGUAAAAUGAUAAUUAAUAUUAGUAUAAUAAUAAUAAUAAUUUUCUCCUUUUCAAGCCAGAAGCCAAACUAAUGAUGGAGAUGUUGAGAAAGGUCUCGUGACAACAAGGUGAAUAAAGUACUAUUAGGGCAUUAGUUUAACUGAUUAAAAUAUGUUAGAUGUGGAGGUGCAAUAGAAUUUUACUACCUUGCUGAAUACUAAGGUUAAAGUGUGCAGAAAUAAUUGCACAGUAGGGUAAUUAUCGUUUUUUAACUAAGAACUCAAUGCUGCAAUUAUUGAAUUCAUUCAGCUCCAUCCCAUUCCAAAAUGGUUAAUAAGUAGGCUUUUAUCUUUUUUUAAAUAAAAUUGCAACUAAAGAAACACACCAACUUGUACCCAAAAUAAGAAAACCACACACAACUAAUAACCGUUGAUUGAUAUAUUAAUUAUAUAUACUAAAAAUAAGCACACCCAUAUGUUUUCCGUUGAAGAUGCAUAUACUUUUCAUAUCCAUUAUCUUGUAUGAAUGAAUUUCCCACAUUUAAUGCAGAAUGGAGUAGAGCACAUGUACACUUCUAUAUAAUAAUGAUUUUGUUGGAAGUAUAGAUAUAUAUAAGUAUAAAGAAAUGAAUAAAAACUGAAUGAUGACUUGAACUAUUAUUGAUGAGGAAUAGAAUAUGUAUACAAAAAAAAACUGAUAAGGUUGAACACCUAACCAACCUACAAGUAAGAUAACUACAAUAACAUAAUAAAAGGAACCCCUAACAAACUAGCUAGUGAAUUGUUCUUUUAUCCAAUACCCCCACAAGUUGGAGUAAAUGUCAAAAACUCCAAAAUUGGACGUGAAAUGAUGAAAAUGUCAAUAACCAGAUUAAAAAAAACAAGAUAAGGUUCUUUUUUUUUUAGAGGCGGUAAGAUAAGAUUCUACUAGAAUUUAUAAAGAGAAGAUACAACUAUAAUUUUAUAAAUCGGUUUUAUACGGAUGUGUUCGAUCCAUUAUAGUCAAUUAUGGAUAGCGAUGCGUAGCAAUCGAUCCUAAAAGUGGGAUAACGCGAUAGCGUAAACAAUAUGAUAAAUAGCGGUCAUCGUAUUUUUUGUAUAAAUUACAUGAAUAAUAUUAUAAAAAGGAAAUGCUAAUGAGUGCCCUUGGAACAUCAUAGAAAAUAUGGGGGUUAGGAUUGGAUAAGGACGCUCUAGCAAUACUAUAAGCAACCUUAUUUGCUUGCCUCCGAACAUACGACACUACAAAGUCGGGUUUAUCUAACAAUAGAUUCCUACAUUGUGAUAUGAUAUCUCGGAACUCAUUGCUAGGAACAUUUGAAACAGAAAGUGCAUCAACUAGGGACUUGUAAUCUGAUUCAAAGCAAACAAUGUGCAAUCCCUUUGAUACUGCCAUUUUGAUAGAUUCAAGCAAACCAAUGGAUUCUGCUUCUAGUAUCGUGGCGGUGAAAUGUGACACAUCUGAUUUUUCAAAUAAUAGUUGACCUGAGGAGUCUCUAAAGCACAUACCGUAUCCCAUGAUAGAGUUGUCGUUGAAGGUAGCUGCAUCGACGUUACACUUUAUCACACCAAUCGGAGGUUUUGACCAAGUAAAGGUAUGAUCUAAGUUGUGUUCUUGAAUUUUGGCUCUUUGCAUACAAGUCCAUUCAUGGAGAGCAUCCUUGGCACGGUUGACAAUGAAGGUGGGAGAGGUGUCAGUGGACUCCCAAAGUUUAGUGUUGCGGCUCUUCCAUAGGCUCCAAAGGGUCAUAGCGGUUAGUGUUUGUUGUUGCGUCGAUAGCCUGCCAAGUAAGUCAAACAACAUUACAGUAAAGUCAUUAGCCUCGUGGAGUAGCUCAUAUACAAUAUUAUCAAUGCCAAUUAUGCUCCAACAAGCUGCAACUUUUGAACAAACAAAAAAUGUAUGCAUCUGCGUUUCAGCCAAGAGAUUGCAAGACAUGCAAGUAUCAUCACAAGGAAUACCACGGUUGAUAAGAUUGGUGCGUGUAGGAAGACAUUGGUGACCUAAGCCCCAAAGGAAGGAUCGAACCCGGUGUGGAACUUUUAGGUUCCGUAGGAACUGCCAUGGAACACUACCUUGCAUAGGGACGGAUGCAUGAAGAAGGUCGAUACAGAUUCGGUAAGCGGACUUGACCGUAUAGGACCCAUCUGUUGUUACCUUCCAAAUGCGAGAAUCUUCUCUUAAGCGUGCAUAAAUAGGAGUGGUGAGAACAGCAGCUGCAUCCGAUUGAUUAAAGAUAGAAUUUACCAUUGCAUGAUUCCAAGAGUUCAAACCCGGAUUCAACAAAUGAUUCACUGUGAGAUCUUCAUAAUAAAGUGGUGGACGAGUAGAAGGCUUGAGGGAGGGGAGGUUACGGAUCCAAGGCAUAUUCCAAACAUUAAUUUUCGUACCGUCACCAAUUUUCCAUCUAUAACCCAAAGUAAGAAAAUGUUGAGUACUCCAAAGAUUCCUCCAAGUAAAGCUUGGAUUAUGACCGAGGGAGGCAUCCAAGAAAUCCCUUCGUGGGAAGUAUUUGUCUUUGAGGACACGAGUAAGUAAGGAGGUAGAGUCGGUCAAGAGUUUCCAACUUUGCUUACCAAGCAUAGAGAGAUUAAAUGCUUCCAUAUCACAAAAGCCUAGAUCUCCAUGACUUUUGUGUAGAGUACUCACAAAUUUAUAAUUUAUAUAACACUCAAAUGUCAUAAAACAUUCAUAAAUCAAAGCAUCAAAAUACAAAAGACAGAGGAACAAUUAUUAACAAAAAAAAAAAGAAAAAGAGGAACAAAUAAAAAAAAAAAUCAUAAAAUAAGAGAAACAAUAAAACAAAAGAAAACAUAGGAUGAAAAAAAUUGAGAAAGAAAAAAAUGAAAACAAAUAAAGAGAGGACAAAGAAGAAGAAAAUAGAGAAAGAGAACAUAUAUCAUGUGAGUUGAGAACAUAGAAAAGAGAGAAGAGAUCUCUAAGUCGUGUUUUCCAGUUUGUUGUGUUUCGAGGCACAAAUGAGAAGAUAGAAAGAUUUGAAAAAAUGUUAGGGUUUACGAAANNNNNNNNNNNNNNNNNNNNNNNNNNNNNNNNNNNNNNNNNNNNNNNNNNNNNNNNNNNNNNNNNNNNNNNNNNNNNNNNNNNNNNNNNNNNNNNNNNNNNNNNNNNNNNNNNNNNNNNNNNNNNNNNNNNNNNNNNNNNNNNNNNNNNNNNNNNNNNNNNNNNNNNNNNNNNNNNNNNNNNNNNNNNNNNNNNNNNNNNNNNNNNNNNNNNNNNNNNNNNNNNNNNNNNNNNNNNNNNNNNNNNNNNNNNNNNNNNNNNNNNNNNNNNNNNNNNNNNNNNNNNNNNNNNNNNNNNNNNNNNNNNNNNNNNNNNNNNNNNNNNNNNNNNNNNNNNNNNNNNNNNNNNNNNNNNNNNNNNNNNNNNNNNNNNNNNNNNNNNNNNNNNNNNNNNNNNNNNNNNNNNNNNNNNNNNNNNNNNNNNNNNNNNNNNNNNNNNNNNNNNNNNNNNNNNNNNNNNNNNNNNNNNNNNNNNNNNNNNNNNNNNNNNNNNNNNNNNNNNNNNNNNNNNNNNNNNNNNNNNNNNNNNNNNNNNNNNNNNNNNNNNNNNNNNNNNNNNNNNNNNNNNNNNNNNNNNNNNNNNNNNNNNNNNNNNNNNNNNNNNNNNNNNNNNNNNNNNNNNNNNNNNNNNNNNNNNNNNNNNNNNNNNNNNNNNNNNNNNNNNNNNNNNNNNNNNNNNNNNNNNNNNNNNNNNNNNNNNNNNNNNNNNNNNNNNNNNNNNNNNNNNNNNNNNNNNNNNNNNNNNNNNNNNNNNNNNNNNNNNNNNNNNNNNNNNNNNNNNNNNNNNNNNNNNNNNNNNNNNNNNNNNNNNNNNNNNNNNNNNNNNNNNNNNNNNNNNNNNNNNNNNNNNNNNNNNNNNNNNNNNNNNNNNNNNNNNNNNNNNNNNNNNNNNNNNNNNNNNNNNNNNNNNNNNNNNNNNNNNNNNNNNNNNNNNNNNNNNNNNNNNNNNNNNNNNNNNNNNNNNNNNNNNNNNNNNNNNNNNNNNNNNNNNNNNNNNNNNNNNNNNNNNNNNNNNNNNNNNNNNNNNNNNNNNNNNNNNNNNNNNNNNNNNNNNNNNNNNNNNNNNNNNNNNNNNNNNNNNNNNNNNNNNNNNNNNNNNNNNNNNNNNNNNNNNNNNNNNNNNNNNNNNNNNNNNNNNNNNNNNNNNNNNNNNNNNNNNNNNNNNNNNNNNNNNNNNNNNNNNNNNNNNNNNNNNNNNNNNNNNNNNNNNNNNNNNNNNNNNNNNNNNNNNNNNNNNNNNNNNNNNNNNNNNNNNNNNNNNNNNNNNNNNNNNNNNNNNNNNNNNNNNNNNNNNNNNNNNNNNNNNNNNNNNNNNNNNNNNNNNNNNNNNNNNNNNAAUUUUCAAAAUGUAAAAAAAAAAAGGUUUUUAAAAAUAUGGUCAAUUUGGAAAUUUCCUAGUAAAAUCAAAUAGUCGCUGAAGCAUCCGAUUUCUGCUCCAUUCUGACGUUAUAGCACCUGAAGUGGCCACUAUUUGAUUUUGCACUGCUAGCGGUUCAUCGCCGUUAUGCCACGUGCGACCGUUAUUGGUAGUUAUUGACUACUUUGGUUUGACCCAAUAUAAAAACGUCAUAUAGUAUCAAGUUUAUGAAUAAAAACCUUGUGUGCCAUCAAAGCUUAUCGAAUCGGAUCACCGUCCAUUUAUAUACACGCACCAAGCUACAUUGAUAAAAGAUAAGGUAUGAUUAGUGUUUAUAAUGAGAUGUACAAAAAAGAGAGUUUAUAAUGAGUUACUGUAACACCCCGUUUUUCCAACUUAAAAAUUUCAUAAACAUUUAUCAGAGUAAACAACAUAUCACGGGAUAUCACACUUCUUAAAAAUCUUAAAUAGAUAAAUAAUAAUUUAUCCUUCAACAUAAUUCAUCAACGUCAUAGCAGCGGAUAAAAUCAUCAUAAAUUGUCUUGGCACGCAGGCCUCAUAAAAAUCAUCUCAUAAGUUCAGUUAAACAACAUAAAAACAUAGCAUAUACGCAAAGGAAAGAGAAAUAGCCACUAAAGAUCCCCUCUCGUUACGUAUCAGAGCAACCUAAGACUCAGUGAGGAAAGGCCACUCACGACAGCAACCUAUUCUUGAUCACCUGCAAGUUACUCAUACGAAGAACAACAUUUCCAAGCAGAAGGGGUGAGAUUUCACAAAACAAUAAUAUUAAGCAUAUAAUUCAACAAUUAUAUUUAACAACAUAAAAACAUCUUAUUAUUCAUCAUAGAUAAUAAUAUAUCAUAAAUCACUUCGUUAACAAUUCAUAUGAGUAAUCACAACUUCACAACUUAUCAUCUUCGACUCGACAAAUGCAACUAUCCAACUUAGACCUCUUAUAUGCAUGUGGUACCAAUACAGGGCAUCAAGCUCUCAUCGCUAUUUGAGUAUUAAUAUACUUCCAGGGCAUCAAGCCCCCAUCACUAUUUGAGCUAAAGCUCCAUCCUGUUGAGUACAAAGCUCCAGGGCAUCAAGCCCCCAACAGUGAAAUGCUAAUGCAUGGACUUGACCUCUUAAACAUCUUAAUUCGACAACCUCUUAUAUAAUCCAAUAAUUUGGAAACAUCAUCAUCUUCAUCAACUUAGACCGACUCAUGCAGCAUAGUUAAAUAACAAUAGCAACAUAGGCAGUAUACAAAACAGCAUGACAUAUUGAUAUCAAAUGCAAGUCAACAACAUCUUAAAUAUUCAAUUAUACUUCAAAUAAUGUACAUAACAUUAUAUCACAUCGUAAUCAACAUCAACAUAUCUUAAACAACUUCACAUAUUAUAAUUAACAUCAUCAUUAAGUCUUAAUACUACCCCAAGGUUCAACUCUCAACAAAUCGUGCAACAAAGGUCGCAAAAACCUAACAAGUCACUCUGUUUCUAGGUCACUCGCGAGGCGAGGGCCUUUGCUCGCUGUGGCGAGUUCAGGUCAGAAUCCCACAAGUUUCAUUCUAAAUCUUUCCAGGUCCAAUCUCAUCCUACAUUCUUUCCUAAUCAUUAUUAGACAUGUUCAGGCUUUCAAAAGUAUCUAAGGAUCAACUCAAAAUUCAAAAUCACGAAAUCUUGCAUGCUCUCUAGUCAAUCUCGCAAGGCGGGGAAAGGUUGCUCGCGUGGCGAGCGAUGAAGUUCAUCACUCGCCGUGACGAGGAUCGUGGCUCGGGAGGCGAGCGAUGAAUGUCGCUACGGGCAGAAGUGCAGUUUUUCACAAAAAUCACCAAUUCUCAUGGUUUUAAGCCUAACAUUGAUUCCAGAAUUCAUCAUAAUCAUUAUCUAAGGUCUAGGGACAAUUUCUACAUCAAUCUAACAACUUUUCACCGUUUAAUCAUCAAUUCUAUAGUUUUGACCUAGUUUCCGAUUCCUCUUAAAUUCAUCCUAAAUCAUGUUAAACCUAACCAUUGAAUCACAUACUUAAUAGAAUUGCAAAGUUAGUCUCACCCUUACCUUAGAAUGUGAAAAUCGCAGCCCCUCUAGGUCUUCUCCCUUAUCUUGGCUUUUUCUCCCUUUUCUCCAAAAACGAUCGUACGUACAAAUGUUUUUCUCUAAACUAGGUUUCCCUAUUUAUAUAUCCUCCAUCUAUCUUAUCUUAUUUCUCUUUCUCCCCCAACACUCUCUAAAAUCUCAAAACAACCCCUAAACUCAAUAUUUAUUUUAUUUUCAAAUCUUAUUUUAUUAAACAAUAAAAUAAGUCACAACUCCUCAUAAAUCUCAUAAAAUCACCUCCAUCAUAUAAAUCAUAUAAAUCACACAUAUAUUAUAUAAAUAUAAUAUAAACUCAUCUUAAUAAAUUCUAGACUCAAUUAAAUAAUUAAAUAAUUCGAAACGGACGUUAUAGUUACAUUCUUCAUACUCUCACCAACCGAUUUUGUAAGAGUAAGUUAGGACUAAUAUAAAGUCUUACGGUGGCUACAAGUUCACAAUAUUCGACUUCAAACGAGGAGGGAGAUACAAUGGUUUAUUUCUUUGACUUCUAUGAAAUGGGAGAGUUGUCAAGGAAGAUACACCAGCUAGUGGUAGAUCGACAAGUUUUAGGGAAGUAGGCCAAUCAAAACCACUAAAAGCUUUGAGUUGAAUUGAUUUGGAUAGGGUCAUUAAAAAUGAUGGAAGAAGCAACUAAUUGACCUUAGUUUUAAAGAACCGAAGUAAGAAUACAAAAAUUGUGCGUAGGGAAUGCAUCAAAAAAGUAAACCCUAUCUUAUCAGAAGUUUCAUUCUUUUGAGUAAGGAUUCCAAUCUAAAAUUUGUGUCAAAAAGUAAACCCUAACUAUUGUUGUGCGUGCUUGAGUCCAACAAAAAUGAUACUUAUAAAUCAUAAGAAUGAUAACAAGUGGAAGAUAUGAGAUGUGGCAUUUCUAGUUUGUCGGUGGUCGAGGGGAAGGCGACCAUGGGGGAAGAGGGAGGUUGUUGAGAAGUAUGGUAGAGCCCGAUAAAAAGAUAAAUAUAUUGAUUUAAAAAUUAAUAGAAUGAAGAAGUAGAUUACAAUGAACAUUGUAUAUAGUAAUCCUAAAAUAACUAAUAUCAUAACCAACUAACAACAAAUCACAACUAACUUUUAACUACUUUAAACAAUGUUAAACUAAGUAUACCAAACCUCUAAUUGUAUUUAAUAGAGUAGAUGGUCGAAAAAAUAUUAUGAGCUUCAGUUAAGAGUAUUUUCUUAAAUCAUUCUUCUAUGAUAAAUGCUCUUAUUCAACAUGAGGACUGUCAUGUCCUUCCUCAUAUUUGUGGCAUCCACCGACUGAUGAUUAUAUCAAAGUUAACGUGGAUGGUUCUUUCUUUGGCAACCAAGGUAAUGCGGGUUUUAGUGGCCUCUUGAGAGACUCUAAUGGGAUUUGGAUUCAUGGUUUUUCUGGUUCUUGUGGUACAACAUCUAAUAUAUUUGCUGAACUCUCAACCAUUUGGGUAGGUCUUCAGUUGGCAACGGACAUUGGUCAUAAAUUUAUUAUUUUUGAGUUUGACUCUAAAAAUGUUAUCGAUUUGAUUGAAGAUGUUCAUAACUCUAAUUUUCAUCCUCGUUGGACUAUUCUUUCUCUCAUUAGAAAACUCUCAUCUCCUCUAUGACACACUAUUUUACAUAUGCCUUGACGGAAGGCAAUGAAUGUGAUGAUUGACUAGUUAAAUUUGAGGCUACAAAUGUCACUCAUUAACCACAUGGACUUCUCCUCCGUCCUAAUUAAUUCUCACUCUAUUACCCAACUCCUCCGAAGUCUUUAGACAACCAAGUUGACCAGUUUGUCUUUCUUUUUCCCAAUGAUAAAAGAAAAAUAUUUAAAAACAAUGUUACUAAAUGAAUAUAAUUCUUAAAUUUUAUGUAUUUAAAAAUUAAUUAUAAACUAUAAAUGCUUACGAAUAUGGUUUGAUUAGUUUAUUAUUUUUGAUGUUAUUUUGCAAUAGAGGAUCAUUUUUUAAUAUUUGAACAUGACCUCUGAUUCUAUCAGAAUCGCACUGUUCUUUACUUUAACCUUCUUUUCUCUAACUUUCAUUCCUUCCAACUUUUUUUUCCGAUCUAAACAAAGCCUAAAACCAAACACUCCUAAUAAAGAUCAUAUAUUACUGAAAUUAACAUACGAAUUUUGAAGAACUAACUUUAUUCCUUAGUCAGAGUUUCACAGAUUUGUAUUAUGUUUCCAUAAAAUCGCAUAAGUUCACCAACAAAAAUUCGUUACCGACAAGCAUAGCAUUGAUGAUUGACGUACCAUCUCACUAUUUGUUUGUUAUAUACUUUGCUCCCUUUCUCUAAAAAAGAUACAUCACUUGUGCCACAAACCAACAUAAAUCCAAACUUCAUAAACAUGAAAACCGUUCUAUUGAAAGUUAUGUUACAUGAAUGAAAUCUAUGAAAGUUAUUUUAAUUCCUAUCCAUAAAACUCCCUAAAACAUUUCCUAGACAGAAAAACAAUGAUUAAGAAUUGCCUUGUAUUUCAGCAAAUGUUAACAUCCUCUUUGGAUUCACCAUUAGUAGGGUAGUUUUUUACUUUUUAGAACUCAUCAUCAUCUCACUAUAACCUAACAUUUUGGAAGUUCUUUUUGGUAUAAUCCUACUUUUCCAACACAACUUUGCAUUUUAAUAGUUUUUGUUCAGCACCAUGGAAGCAUAACCCCACUACAUAGUGCGUUACAAAUGAAGAACACUAUGCUAAAUCUAGACAACCUCUUCACUGACAAUUGUUCUUAAUCUUAUGAUAGGAUAUUGAUGCAAUUGCAGUGUCAGAUCAGAAAGCAGAAUUUCACAUGCAUUGUCUUUGGAUAAGAUUAGAAAGUAAAAUUCCUAAAAACAGGAUUAGACAUUAACAAUUGUCAUUAUCUUUUCUAACUAAUCCAACCGUCAUUUUCAUUAACUAAUUAAUUGAGCUAACAGCUCUUACAAACACACAAAAAGUGCUGUUAAUUUAUACACUAAUUUUUUAUCCUACAAUAUUGAUUCAGACCUUUGAACAGAAGCUAGUAUUAUUAAUUGAUAUUUUGAACACAGAAUCAACUUAGGAUUCUCAAUUUAAUAUAUCUAUACUAUUCUCUGAACAGAAUACUCUUUUGGAUCGAUGUGAAUUAAUUGCAUGAAUAAAUUUUGGGUUUUUCGAAAAUUAUAAGAGUAAGAAGUAAAAUGACAAAGCACAAGAAAACAAAACCUCAUAGCCCAAUCAACUUCAUGUGGGUUCAUUCUGCCAUGCUCUGCUAACUAUACAGGAAAAAAGGGUAUAAUCGUCUGCUAACUUUUGUCACUAUUAUCGCAUAAGAUUUUUAAGUCGGUCCAUCAAAAAUAAAAAUUUAUAUUAUAAUAUUUUUCCCUAUGCACAAAAAUAUAUAAAAUUUAAAAAUAAAAUUACAAUUAGUGUCUUUUUUUUUCUUUUCUUCUAAUUCUAAAAUCUUGCAUUCUCAAAGCCAUGUAAAUCACUAACUCUAUUCAUAGACUUUCUCAUGAUAGCAACUUUAGCCAAUCUCUCAGCAGCUCUCCAAGCCGAUGUCGGCGUAAGUGGCUCUAAUUUAUCCUCAGAGCGACUAUUCCUCCGCCUUCGAUUUUGCCCUUGAGUUCGUUGUUGCUCUCGACGCUUUUGAAGCUCAGCUUGCUCAACUUCAAGCCAACGCAAGUAUUCCUCCUCGACCGGCUUGGUAGAUUGCAAAAGUAGAGCUCGAGCCGAAGAAAGCAAAUGAUAAGCUCCAGACACAUCGCUAUGUUGAGCGAGCCGAUUAGACUCGGCUACGGCUCGUAUAGUGACAUGGAAAUUUCUCAGCCCUUCGAUCUGAGAAGAUCGAACGGCGUGGGGACGAGGAAUCAACAUUGCUUGCUCAAAGGGUUUCCCAAUCUCACGAGUUACUGUGUCACGGUAAGAAGAUAAAACUGUUAAAACAUGGUGGGACCCAGCUGACACAGCCGGCACUUUAAGCUCCAAUAAUAACUCCCUUUCUUCUUCAGCGUAUAAAUCACCAAUUAUAAUUGAACCCGGUUCAAUUGGAGCGGGUUUACCCGCGAGUGAGUACACUGCCGCAAUCUCAACCGGACGCGCGCGUGAAACAAUCUUUAACUGAAUCUUAACAUCCUGAGCCACCACGGUUAAUAAACAGUUUAUACACUUCGAAAGAAUUUCAUCUGGUAGCGCGUGUGUACACUCGCUUUCUUUAGGAAAACGAACCGCGUGAAUUGGAACCUCCAUGUUCGAAAGGCGCGUGGAUGAAACCAGUGAUAUUUUCUGAAACGACGCGUUCACGGCGCGUGAAUCAACAAUAUCAGAGAGAACAACGAUGCAGGCGACGGGGUUUUUUUCACGGCGAUCUUCAAGAACUUUUGCUGCCUUUUUCAACGCAUCAUUCUUCGCUGGAACAGCGUCUCUAAUUUGAUCAAUAGCGGCGAGUGCUUCGACAAUUCGACGCGCCGAUCUCUGUCCACCACCGGUCAUUCUUUUCAACGGUAACAAUCUUUUCGAUCCACCGGAAAAUGCCACAAUCGAUAAACGAUCAGUAGCAUUCAAAGAAGAAAUCACAAGUCUCAUCGUAUUCUUCAUCAAACGAAGCUUCUGACCUGACAUAGCUCCACCAACAUCAAGAACAAUAACAACAUCCACCGGAGCACGACGCAAAACCUUCACCGGCGCUGGCGCCGGAGUUUUCAACUUCAAAACAACAACAUAAGUCUCAUAAUUCCGAUUCGCAGCAACAACAGCAGUUUCCGGCAACAAACACACCUCAAGAUUCUUCCUAACCACCGGCGAAGAACGAUUAACAUUAAAACCUUGAAACUGAACAUUAUCAUCAUCUUCAUCUUCUUCAGUUUCGUUUUCCGAUUCAGGAAUAGGAUUGAAUCUCGAUAACGAAGUUGGUGACAUAAGAGGUUCAUCAUCAUUGUAGACUUUGAAAUUUCUUGAAUCUCUGUUUUCGUUCUUUUCGUGUUGAAUUGAAAGCACCGGUAGUUCCUUCCAAUUCGUACCACAAACUGGACACACGUGCAAAGGUUGCUUCGUCACGUGAGUUGAUAUACAAGGAAAAUGAAAAGUGUGAGAACAUUCAGCUGUGAAAAUUGCUGUUCCUUGACCACUUUUCACACUUUGCAUACAUAUUCCACAUCGAUUCUGCACAAAAAAUAAACAACCAUGAUUAAUAUUAAACAUCAGAGUAUAAACAUUAAACAUGAUUAAUUUGAUUUAGGAAUAAGAUUAGGAUGAAUUUUGUUUUAACUUACUUUGGAUAAGCGUAGAGUGUUUUUGAGAAAUGAGAAACUUGAAGGUGAUUUGGGUGAAUUGGGAUUAGUGAAUGAUUUAGGGGUUUUUGGGUUAUGAUUAUUGCAUUGGAGUUUAGGACUAUUAGGAACAGAACAAGUUGUUGAAGAAAUUGAGGUUUUGCAACGAAGAGUGGAGGAACCAGUUGAGGAAGGUUGAGAUUGAGUUCUAGGUGUUGAUGGGUUUGAGAAAAAACCAAACUUGGAAGUUAUUCUAGGACUUUGAUUUGUUGAGGAAUUUUCACAAUGUUGAUGAUGUUUUUUCUCUGUUGUUAUUUUUGGUUCUUUGUCUCUAGGAAUUGAUGUGCAAAAUGCUUUUCUCCAACCGGUAACCAUUUUCACUCUUGUGUGAUUGAUUGAUUUCAAAUGGGUUUUGUUUUUGGGUAUUGAAGGUGAAGAGUGGAUGAUAUAAUGGGUUUAUGAGAAAAGAAGUGUGUUAGAGAGAUAUAAAGAGGAUGAAGAGAAAUGGAUUAGAUUCAAAGAGCCUUUUCAUGUUUCUCUUUUUCUUCUUUCUAAUUCAGUUCCUUGUUGUCUAUUUAUCUAUGUCUUGACCUAGGUCUAUUUUUCUAUAUUUCCGUUUUGAGACCCCCAAAAACGGGUUAGGAUCCUCUCCAUUUAUGUGUUUCUCCAUUUCUUCAAUUUGGAGAGAUAAAGACACAUAAAAUCUUAAAAAAAUAAAAUAUAAUUAAUGAUGGUGGGACCCAUUUAGUGGUAGGACUCACCAUCUAUUUCUUGUGUCUAUCUCUCUCCAACUUGCAAAACUCCAUUUAUUUUGCCAAAUGGAGAGGAUCUUCACCCCCCAAAAACACUACCCCAAUGAAAAAAGCCUUUUAGGCCACACCAUUUAUUUGGAUGAAAUGGUAGGCCAUUUUUAAUUUAUUGUAUUGCACAUAUUUAUAUUUUUACUUUUGGUUAAGAAAAAAUUACAUAAUUAAAGUGAACUAACCUUUAAAUUUGAUUUUAAGUGCUUGUUUGGUUUGGUGGUAAGGAGGGCAAUAUCACGUCCCUAGGCACAUUUUGAAGAGGGCAAUAUUCAAACCAUUGUUAAACACUAAAAUAUAUUAAUUGGUUAUGCAGUGACAAUAAUUAAUUUUGAAUAAUUGAUUAUAUAAAAUUGAUUUAGGAUAAAAGCGAUUUGAAUGUGAAAGUGGAAUUAACAAUGAAUUUAAGAUUAAAAUCAAUUAUAGAAGUAAAAAUGUACAAAUUCUUAUUUCAUAUAUGAUAAAAUCAAUUCUACCACAAAGUACAUUUUUAACUCUUCAAAAUUAAAACUAAACAUGUGUUAAAUUUAAACACCUGUCAAUAAUAAUUUGAAAAAAAUUGUUUGAACACCAUAUUGUGUAGUUAGCUUUUAGAAUCUAAUCAAUUUUGUAGAAUCCAACUUUCUUUGGUUUGAAUAUGUUUAAAAGUAGAUAAUUUUGCAGUCUGAUGAAAAUUAUUUCACCAUCAUUAACGGCGUACUCCCUCCGUCCUAAAUUGUAUGUUGCUUUAGGAAAGAAAAAUUGUUUCAAAUUAUAUGUCGCUUUACAAUAUAUUAAUGUUAUUCUUUCUAUUAUAACCUUAACUAUUUAUUAAUCUUUCUUCUUUCAAUUCUUUCAUUUAUCUUUCACAUACUUCCUCCGGUCCUAUUUAUAAGAGAAAUUUAGGUCAACAAAAGUGAAUGUAUUUGGACUGAAUUUUUAAAUAGAUACAUCAACUUUUGUUGACCCAAAAUUCUCUUAUAAAUAGGAUCGGAGGGAGUAUUAUUUAUUAAGGACAAUUUUGUAAAUCAAUUCAUAAUAUCUCUUUUGCACACAAUAUUAAUUGUGUUUCUUAAUAUGUGUGAAAUGCCCAAAACGUCAUGCAAUUUGGGACGAAUGAAGUAGUACACCAACUUAAGUAGAAGGGUUAAGGAGCGUGUUCACAUGUACUCCAUAUUGUGCAAUGAUAAUCUGGUCUAGACAAAAAUAAUGAAGACAACUUCUCUUACUAUCUUAAAUGACGUACUUCCUCCGAUCUUAUAUAUAAGAAAAAAUUCUUUUUUUAAAUACAAUGAAUAAUUAUGUAUCUAAUUUGCAAUGAAGAUUAGAUACAUUAAUUAUUAAAUAUAUUUAAAAAAAUAAUAUUUUUUAUGUGUAAGAUCGGAGGGAGUAUUAAUUAACAAUAACAACCAUUGUUAACAUCUAGAAAAACACAAACUUUUUUCCAUAGUUGGCAAUAUUAUUAUCCGGGUAAAGUGAAAAAAAUUGUCAUUGGGAUUAACAUUAGUAACUGGCAAAUAGAGGUCAUUAACUAGAGUAAGUAAAGGUAUAAGUCAACCCUUUUGUCUUGGAAUUGUACAUCACUAUCCUAUUCCCACGUUAUGGUCACCACCGACCCAUGCAAACAAAUCUUGACCUAAAAAUGUUCAAAAAAAUCACAUUCAUUUUCUUUUGCUAUGCACGAUCAUAGUUUACCUUACCCCAUGAAUCAUGAUUCAUCCCUUUCGCCUUAAUCUUCGUCAGUUUUUCUUUUUUCCACUAAACAAAAAACCAUGUCAAGGAUUAUGAUUCUGAUUCUUUCCUCAAUAUUUUAUUUAACUUAGGGUAAUAAAUUGAUUGAUGGGUACCUGCAUGAAUCACUGACCAAAAUUGAAAUUUCAAUGAGCUGUAUGUAUGGUAAGGGUACUGUAAUGUACUACUAGCAUUAAGUUGUAGCUGAACUAAGUUUGAUACCUAUGAUCUGGUUCGUUUUUAGUGGGCUCCAUUUCGUUGGCAAUUGUGUUAUUACAAUAUGGUGUGGGAAAUUGUGAUGUUCAGAAUAUAGACCAGUUCUUCUCUAGGGAAGGGUGUAUUAGUCAUUUCAUCUCUGCAGUUCAUUUAUUACUAUGACAAUAAUUAUUGAUUUUUGUGUUAUAGUCGUCGAGAUAUAAUUGAAUAAAAUAACGGCCAUAAGAUGGGUAUGAUAGUUUUUAGUGUUUUUAAAUAGCACAUCAAUCCCUAGGACACGCCCAAGCAAAACACUGUAGAAAAUUGACCUUAUAAUCUUUGUUCACCCUAAACUACUCCAACUUAUUUUAACGUCAAAAUUAAUUCAUGAUGCCAUUAUCAAAUUGUUGAGCCCCCCUAUUGCAGCACAUAAGCUAUUUAUUGUUGAAUUUUGGCACUAGGGAUAUUGAUGACAUAAUAACGCAGUUGUAUUCAGCGCAGCUUUUAUUUAAUGGGAUUCAUGACGUAUUUACCAAUGGUUCGAGGGGUGAUAAUAAGUUGGGGGGGCAAAUACUCCGUAGUACUAGACUACUAUUAUUGUGUACCAAAAACAAAUGUAGUUUUUUAGCCAAAAUUAUUAAACAUACGAUGAUUCCGUGGUUUGGAAUGAACGAAAUUAUCGGAAAAUAUUAUAAAAGAAAAUUAGGUAAUCAUCUCAAUAAUUCGGGUAUAUAUAACCAAGUUUACAUGGAAAUUAGGGUAGCCGACUUUGCAUGAAAAUUAGAGUAUUCUGUUUGUAAAGUAUUAAAUAAGUAUAGAAAAUAUUGUAAAAAAAAAGGCAACAUGAUAGAAAUGAAAUAAAGGCAUGAAAUACAAAAUAUUGUCAAAAAAAUCCAAAAAUAGAAGGUAUCAAACGUGAUCAUUGAUAUGCUCAUAGUUUCUAGAACAAAAAAGUAUAAAAUAGAAGACAUCAAACGUGAUCAUUGAUAUGCUCAUAGUUUCUAAAACAAACGUGCAUCAUCAAAUAAGUGUAGAAAAUAUUUUCUUCAAAAAAAAAAGGCAAGAGAAUAGGAAUGAAAUUGGUGCGAUGCAUUUUUUUAGAUGAAAUUUGUUAGGUUAAAUAAAUAAUUGCAAACCUAAUAAAACUAAUGAGCGGAAAAAAAUUAGAUUAAAUUGCUGCAGACCAUACAAAAUUAAUAAAUAAGAAUUUUUCUAAAUAAAGAAUAUAAAUAAUAAUACUAUAGUGAUGAAAUAAAUAAACUAAUUUAGAAAAAUUCUAAAAAAAAACUUGAUUUGAUUUGAUUAGUUAGGAUAAUAGUAAAACAAGAAUCCAAUAUUUUUGGGAGCAAUGGAAUUUUGACCUUUCACCAGGAUCGGGCUAUUGAAGUCUGAAUGUUUAGCUGCUGAGCACAUUUUAAGGAAACGCUGACUUGCUUAAAAUUGCUCAUAAAAACACAGGUCUAUGAGGGCAGGCCUUGCCUCACUGUGUAAAGUUUGAACUCUGAUUUUCCUGUAAAGUUUCCAUCAUCAUCAAAGUUUUUCUUUUAUGAUUUGAUUUGAUUAAAAUUUAUAUAUUUGUCUUUCACCUUCUAUAUAAUACUAUAGAAAAUGUCUGAGCAUAUGAAGUAUCAGAUUUAUAAAAACAAAUCUAUAUUACAAUAUCUGUUUUAUUUUCGGAUAAAAAUUUAUUUAGAAUUAAUUUAUUAUAAGCGUAUGGUUUUUUAGAUCAAAAAUAUAUAAAUAUAUAGAUUUAGUGCAUGAUUUAGUGAAUUGAUUUUAUAUGAAAAAGAGUUGAAUAUAAAAUGAUAUAUUAUUUUUUGGUAAUUAGAUAAAAAAAAAAGAGAAAGCAAAAAGAAAACUAAACUACGGUCUUAAGAACUGCACUCUAGAUAUAUUAGCGAGAAGUAAGCUUCCAAACUCGGGAGGGGGUUCUCCAAGUAGCACCAAGAAGAAUUGUGACCGGCACAAUGCUUAGUUAAAAUGUCUGCACACUCACUUACCUAUUGAAAGGUGUGGGUAAGAUGCACAUUCCAAGGAAGAUUAAGGAGAUCGUUAAUAUUUUUAAUGAUAGUUGUAUAAACACGUCAAACAUUAGGAGGAGCUUGAUUCAAUUUCAUGGCAUGCAGACAACUUCAAACCAUACAUGAUUGCAAGUAGUUCGAAAUAAUAUAUAUUUAAAUGUAUGUAUGUAAAAGUGGAUUUAACAAAAUUUACAGUUAAAUCUUAUGGUUAAAAAUUGUUGUAGAAGUCAAAAACUAAACAUUCAGUUUCAAAUAAUCAAUAUACAGGCGAAUAAAUUUUUCUUUAAAUCAUCUAAAUAUAAUAAAAUAAAAUAUACAACAUUUAGAAUCAUUAUUAUCUUCUAAAAUCGAAACUAAACAUAUGCUUAAAUGCAUCUUUUCUCCAAAUAUUUUGGGUCAACUCAUAGUUUUGGUUCAUCAUUUAAAAAAAAAACUUAAUCCAUACUUCAUCCGGUGAUAUUUAUAAACAAAAAACUAUUGUUUAUGUUCUUUUUUUAAAGGUAUUCUUUAUGUUCGAUGAAUACCUAAUGUAUUUUUGUAUUUAAUAUAAGGCUUAAUUGCACUUUUGGCCCCUAUCUUUUUUAGCCUCCUAACUAAUUAAAAUACAAAACAGCCCCUUAUGUAUUGGAUCUUUGACAGUUUUAGCCCCCAAUGCCACUUUUGACUUAGUCUUAACUGACGUGACACUCAUAAUGGUCGACAUGUGACACCUCUCACUUAAGGGAUAUGUGUGAGCAAUACAUGCAGUUGUUCCUCGGACGAUCUUGCCACAUAAUACACUCUUGGAAAGAGAUGAAGAACUAAUGGUUCAUGGUUCAAGCAUUCAUGACAAGAUAAGUCUCAUUGCGAGAUAAUGCAUCUUUGAAACAAAAGCAAAAAAUGCAUCUUUUUUUUUAACUAGUUCCACUUCCCACCGGGGAUGUGUCUUUAUCAAAUUCUCCAUCAAUUAUGUGCAUCUUAAUUUGUUCACCACUUCUUCUACUACUAUAUUUGGGGAUUAAAAAGGGUUGGAAGUAAGAAACUUAAUGUACUUCUUUUUCCCCCUCAAAACAUAUAUUCUCUAAAGUAAUUACUCCUUCUAUGAUAUAAACACUUGUUUAUUUAUGGAAUUGCAUUCCCUAAGAGUCAAGAAUGAAUAAGUAAAGGUAUGUGGCCAAAAUCUCAUAAUGCUGUGAGAAGGACUUUGAGGGUAAUCAACCAGCACAUAGGGUCACUUAUAUUGAGAUGUCUUCAAUUAUUCAAAUCUAUCCAAAAAAUUUAGGUAAAAAAUGAAUGUGCCUUAUAGCUAUUAACUUAGCCAUUUAAUAAUUGGUAUGCUUGUGGUAGGGCCAAUGCCUACUAAACAAUGCAAACUAUUUCCUAAUUUGAUAAGUGGCUUGAACCUGUCCUUGUAAAAAGAAAAUCUCAAUGUUCUUAAAUAUUAAUUAAUUAGUUUACUGAAAUGAAGAAACACAUUGAAAUUUAUAGAGUAGGAUUUUCUUAAAAUAGGAAUUUUUUUGGUUACUGUCCAUUAUUGAUCCACACAGUUUUCUUUUUUAUUUUCUUCUUUUUCUGUUAAUCAAAUGGCAAAAUUAUGUUUUUUAUUUUUUAUUUUUAUAAAGUGGUAAGAUUAUGUUUAAAAUGCCAUCUCCUUCUUUUCUUAUUAACGAAAAAUGCUAAUAAUGUAUUUAUUUGGCAAGUGUUUCAUUUAUACUUCCAAAUGCAAUUUUGUCUUAUUAACUUUUAACCAAUGUCUCUCUAUGACAAACGUUAAAAUUACUUUUUCUUAUUAAAAAAGUGAUGAUCUCAUGUCAAUAUUUAUUUAUUUUUUAAAAAAUGUCAAUAUUUAUUUGAAUUUUUUUAACAUUAUACUUUAUUCAAUAACACUCAUUUUAUGGAACAAAUCUUCGUAGAAGGUCAUGAAAGAGAAUUAAAACACCAAAGGGCGAUGAUUAUAAAAGCUUAAUUAGUCUUCAUUAAACAAUUUUAAUGUCAGGUUCCUAAUGGAAUUAGAGGUACCUGACGUGGGAAUAAGCUUGUAAAUUAUGGUCACUCUGAUAAGGAGUCAAUUUGAUUGAAGAUUUUACUACUAUUUUUUAGGGAGGAUUUCUUUAGGGACCAGCUUAGUCAGUAUGUCUAUGAUGUUUGUCUUUUCUCUUAGUUCACGAAAAAACAAUUUUGAUGUCAUUCCCAGAAGGUGGUCAUUGGUGUGGCCUGUGUAUCGGAUGCCAUGAGUGAUAUUAUUGUCUAGAGGGCAUUGCAAGCAAUGUCUCUUUUAGUUAGACACAUCCUAUUUUGCAUCAAAGUAGGUGGUAUCAAAUAAGUCUUUUUUUUUUUUUUUUUUAUUUUAAAAUUCAGUAUCCGAUCCAAGAAUCGACUAAUUCGAGGGGAUCAAUCCCACCGCCCACUUGCGGGGGCCCCGUUUAAAGCCAUACUUGCUCUGUAUGAACUUAGCCCAUCAAAAUUGGCACCAGAGGGAAUCGAACCUGAGACCUCUGGAGGAGCAAACUCCAAGAUCCCAAACCAACCACUAGGCCAACCCCAAAUGGGUUACACUUGAUUAAAUGAGUGUGGUUAGUAGCUCUUUUUAGAAUCGGCUAUAAUUAGGCGUAGAUUGUAUAUGGUUUGUAUUUGAUCUCUGGCUAACCUCUUAGUUAGUUCUUAUCCAUAAACUUCUAAUUAUAGGAAAAAGAAAACACUCAUUUUAUCUUUGCUAAUUAUGUAACAAAUCAUAUUACGCACCCAACGAUUAAUACUAUGCAUAUAUAGUGACAACUUGUUGUUUGCAGUGAUUUUUGGUUUGAUAUUAAAUCUAUCUAAUCCAACAACAAAUAUGAGUGAACUUCAAUGCAUUUGUGUUAAUCUUAUUGAUAAAAGAAUGACUAAUUAGAAGAAGAAAAAAAAUCAACGCCACUUAAAACAUUGAUGUAUUGUGUCAAAGUUACAAUCCAUUAUCAUUAAUAACCUUACUAAAAUUUGAUCAAAAAGUAUUAACCUUACAAUUUACAAUAGCGAUCUUGUGCACAAUUUACAGUAUUUCAUACAACUGCAAUGUCAAGUUUAAAAAAAAUUCAAGUGUAGUAAAGUUUCACAUACAUAAAUUUGAAUGAAUGAAUGAUAUGUUUGUUUAUAUAAUUAGGGUUACACAAGGUGGAAAAAAAAAAAUAUCAGAAUCAUUCCACGCGUAAGUUACGAAACUGCUUCUUCAACAAUGACCAAUAUGAGAUAUUUGCCUUUCAAGUUUCUCUUAAAGUUUUUUGGUUGAUUACAUGCCAUGGACAUUCACAAUAAUGUUUUUAUCCCAAAACACGUGAAUUGUAUUUCCAACUCUAAAAUCUAGUUCAUCUCAUUUGUGGUUCCCUACCUUGAUUGAGAUAAAUAACAUCUUCUUCUUCUUUUCUCCUGUAUAAAGAGUAUAUUUCACUUGAAGAUAAACCACUACAAUGAUUUCUCAAACUCUCAUUUGAAGUUAAACCACUCCAAAAAUUUCUACAUGUCGAAAAGCAGACUAAAAAUUAUGAUGAAACUUCCGUGUUGAUUUUCUUUAAAAGCCCGUUUGGUGCGCAGGAUAAAGAGACAAAAUAUGAUUAGUAUAUCCUAUCCUGUCUUAAUCCAUUGUUUGGUGCGCCCAUAGGAAAUGAUAAGUUUAACAUAUUUCUAAUUAUAUCCUAUCCAUCCUUUAUUAUUUUUAUCCUUAGUUUUUGGUGGGUUAGAAUUUUCCUAUCAUGAUUAGCAUUAAAAUCCUUAUUUUACCCUUUCUCUCCAUCCAUCGACCUCAACCUCUUCCUCCAUAACUCUUCAAGACCAUCUCUUCUAUUUAUCACAGAUCUAACCCCAAUUCGAACCUACAAUCACUUUUUUUUUCCAUCUGCUUAAUUUUUUGUUUGUUUCUUUAUUGAUUAUCAAUUUUCUAUUCGUGUCAAUUUUGAAAAGAAAUGAAACAGGCUGGAGUUACACAGGUUGGAGUUAUACAAGAAGGAAGAAGAUUGUAAACGAUUUAUUUUUUUUAAUUCAAGAAGCCGUGAUUUUUUGUUUUAAUUCAAGAAGCCAUGAUUUUUUUUAAUUGAAUUAUGUAAUUGAAGAAGAAGACGGCACCCCUAAGAAAAAGGAAGAUGAUGCCAUUUUUUUUUAAGAGACAAUUUUUUUUUUUAUAAGAUCGUAUAAUUAAUAAUAGCUUGAUUACAUUUAAUUAAAAAAGUUAGAACAUAUAAUUAAUUACAAUGAUAAUUUUGUCAUUUAAUUGUGAUGUAUAUGAUAUUAUGUUUGUUAUCAUGUGUGCAUCAAACAUAUGAUAGGAUAAAUGUUUAUCUUGUCUAUAUCCUUUUAUAUCCUUAUCCAGUUUUUAUCAUAUUUUAUCUCUAUCCUAUCUUAUGCACCAAACGAACCGUAAAAAUUCUUCGGACCGUAACAUUGAGUUUGAUGAAGCGUUAUCUUCACCUUUCAAUAUUCCUUCUUCAAGAAUAAUUUUUCAGUCAACUUCAUCAUUGUUCAAAGUUUCUUUCUCAUAUAUCUAAACAAGUUUGAUAUGCCCAUAAAAAUAUGAAAGCCGCAUCUCUGACCAAAAAUUUGAAGGCAUAAAAUAUGAGUUAUUUUUUUAUUCAUCCAACAUUUAAAUUAAUCAUAUUUAAUGUCCAUUCACACUUAAAUCCUUCUUUUUAAUAAUGAUGAUGAAAGAAGUCCUUCAACUAAGAUUAAGAAAAUAAAACAUCCUCACAUGGGUAUGACUGACUGACCCUUUGAAAUAUUUUUAGAUGACCAAGAUUUUUUUUCUUUAAAGAAUUCAAAAUUGCAUUGAAAUUUAGCAAGAUUUGAAGAAACUCUUCUGCUAUAAGACUGAGUGGCAUAGCAUUCACAUAGGGUCAAGCACAUUACCACUCCUUAUGGACUUCCAUCGUUAAAUUUUAUUUUAAGGGACAAUUAGGAACCUAAAAAUGUACAUUAACUCAACAAAAUCUCCAUAUAUUUUUUAAUACAUAUAGGAGAAAAUGUCAAAUUUUGUUUAAUUUACAUGCAGUGUCAUCUUGUUUCAAGUUGCAUGUUGAAAGCAUUUUGGCAGUAUUAUAGGAGUGAAUAUCGAAAGAAUCCAUCAAUCCAAUCAUUCAAAAUAUGGUUGUACCGUCCGAUAUAUACCUCCAAAAACGACAGACACCAAUGAUAGGACCAAACAAAUUGCUUGACCAUGACAUUUCUAACUAAUUAACAUGCGAGAGAAAUAUAUUCUAUGAUAAUACUAUUGUUCUUCCCUUGACCCUUUUAUUUUGUUUCCAUUAGGGCGCACAUGAUUUACGGUUAGUGUUGUUAAUAAAAAUUAUUAUUAUUAUUCUCAUAAACUGUCAGUGGAGUACUACUAAUUUAAAUUCGUAAGAAAAAAUAGACAAAUUAUUUAGAACUUCUAUUUAAUUCAUGAUCGGAAUUCUCAAAUAAUUAUUUAGUCAAACUUUACUUAUAUUAAGAUCGACCUCUCAAUUACUAAAGUUUUCUUUCCUGUCCUAUACAUUUCCCAACUUUAGUUCAUGCUAUUAUUCUUCCCUUGACCCUUUUAUUUUAGCAUUGUUGCUAUUUUAAUUUGUUUUUAUGUUUAAACUUUGAGGUAAAAUUCAUUAUAAGAUAAACGAAUAUAAUUACUCGUAUCUUUAUAAGAUGGUCAUUUCUUGGAUUAACUACCGCAAUUUCGAGUACUACUUCUUUAAUGCUACGCGUUAAGUUUACUUUGAGAAAAGAAAAUCGAAGGGUUAAAACUAACAAAUAAGAACAAACAUAAUCAUCUAGGUUCCACCUAAUAUCUUGAGGCCAAAAAACAUUUAAUUAAUGUUUGCACAAUGAAAGAUUUUUUUUUUCAAAGGAUGAUGAUUGGUUGUGUGACCAACAUUAUUGGGGUACAUGCCAUGACUCAUAAAUGCUAGAAUCCUUGCCAACCGAUUAUAAUUAAUAUUAAUCUCACAUUGCAUAUAAUUGACCAUUCAAAAUACUGUACUACUCAUUCAGCAUAUGGGCAUGCAUGGCAGCUUGAAUUAUUACCUCACAAGUAUAUCCCCGUUAAAAAGCCAAAACAAAACGCGUUUAACUCAUAUUACACAAGGUCUCUUAGGUUAAAUAAUUGAUUUUGGAUUUUAAUUUAAAUUUAAAAAAUACUGAAACCGUUUGAAAAUCAAGUGUGAGUAAUAAUGUCUCACAUUGAUUAGAAUCGGAGCAAAAAUUAGAUAUAUAAGUGAGGAGACCCAAAAACCCAUCGUCUUAGAGUUUUUGGUAAGAGUGUGAUGUCUCUCUCUUAGCGGGUCCUAGACGUUUAACCCAUUGUCGCUCCAAGCGCUCCCCAACCUCCCCAACUGAUGUUUGAGUCUGGUUAGGCUUGUUGGGGGAGUGGGAGUGGAAUCAUAUUGUGGGCCUUCCUAGUGAUGUGGGUGAGUCACACUUGAGAGGGGGUUGUUGGAAAUCAAGUGUGAGUGAUAAUAUCCCACAUCGACUAGAAAUAGAGCAAACAUUAGAUAUAUAAGAGAGGAGACCCAUAAACCCAUUGCCUUAAGGUUUUGGAUAAGAGUGUGGUGUCUCUCUCUUAGCGUGUCCUAGAUGUGGGUGAGUCACACUUGAGGGGGGGACUGUUGGAAAUCAAGUGUGAGUGAUUAUGUGCCACAUCAACUAGAAAUGGAGCAAACAUUAGAUAUAUAAGAGAGAAGACCUAUUGCCUUAAGGUUUUGGGUAAGAAUGUGGUGUCUCUCUCUCUUAGCGGAUCCUAGACAUUUAGCCCAUUGUCGCUUCCAACGCUCCCCAGACUCCCCCAACAAACUGGUAUCAGAGCCUUCUUAGGCUUGCUGGGGAAGUGAGUGCGGGAUCCCAGUUGGAUCUUCUUAGUGAUAUGAGUGAGUCACACUUGAGGGGGAGAUUGUUGGAAAUCAAGAGUGAGUGAUAAUCUCCCACAUCGACUAGAAAUAGAGCAAACAUUGGAUAUAUAAGAGAGGAGACCCAUAAACCCAUCAUCUUAGGAUUUUGGGUAAGAGAUUGGUGUCUCUCUCUUAGCAGGUCCUAGACAUUUAGCCCAUUGCUGCUCCAAGCGCUCCCCGGACUUCUCAACAAAAACGUUAAAACUCUUUAACGAAAAAUUUACGAUUUAUAUAACCCUAUUCAAGAAUAAUUGUCUGUUUGAUAACGCAUCCCAACUUUAUUUAUUGUGUCUCAAUGUAUUUUGACCGUGAUUUUUCUUAAGCUACUAAUACUAGUUUCUAAGUUUCAUGCAUUUGAAUGAUGUUCCACCGUGAAAACAAACAAAGGCGAAGUCUUUGCCUAACCGAUAUACUAUGGUAUAAAAACUGAAUUUCACAGUUCUUUUCAACCAAUCCUUUUUUAUGUAAAAAUCAUGUCCUAUAUAUUUUGAUAGAGAUAGUAUAAAUACUAUGUACUAGAAUGAUAAACAAUAAAAACGGUUGUUCCUCCAAUUAUAUGACAUUGAUUCAAUCCAUUGAAUUUGAUCAACCACACCAAAAUGUCAUAUAAUAUUGUGUGUAUUUAAUUUCUGAUAGUGGCACAAGUGACAUGUGCCUCACAUACAUGACAUUCCAAACGGAGUGGUAGUUGAGGAGACGCGUACAAUCAUUAUUAUUGAUGAAGAAGAUCACGAAAUUAAUUGAACAAGAUAUUUGCUACCCUAGCUUAAUUAACGGUCGAUGCAUCAUGUUCGUGUGUGCAAUGUAGCAGUCUAGGCCAUAAGAAUGUAACAUACCACGAUGUUGAUAUGUGUCAAAGUGCUCUAGAUAAUGAUCUAAUCUUCAUGCAUCCUAAAUACAAGAUCUUCUUGAGAAUUUUUCUUAACGGUUUUAAUAAGAUUCCUUUCAGAUUUUCAAUUUCAUUAAUUAUUUCUCUAUCAUAACACUGUAAAUUACUUUACCUCAUUUUCUAUAUUUAAAAGUAUGGGUGGGUCUUUGCCGUUCGGUUUGGUUUUGAGUUUAAAAUUCAUCUGAUCCGCAUGAUGAAAAACAUGCGGUUUAAUUUGAUUUAAUUGAUUUUUUUUUAAAUCGAUCCAAACCAAACUAAUGCCGUUUGAUUUAGUUUAGCUAGUUUGAUUUUUUGCAAGACAACAUAUAAUUUAAAUAAUCUGUCAAUAAUUUUGAUUAUAUUAGUUACAACAAUUAACUAGUUUGCAACGAUUAACAAUUAUUUACUUUAUUUUAUAUAAAUUUGAAAUUAGUUCGUAAUCAUUUACUUAAAUUAAUUGAUUAAUGAAAACGCCCAAUUUAUCAAGGUAGAUGAUUAAUACAUUCAUUAAUGAAAACGCUCUAUUGAGAUAGAGGAAUAAUUAGUAUUUACUUAUUUUAAUUUAAAUUGGAAAAAAAGAUGUUUUCGUAAAUUUAUCUCAGUUGGUAGGAAUAAUGCAUAAUAUAUGCAAGGUUUUGGUUCAAAUCCUAGACACAAAAAAAAAAAAAAUUGGAAAAAAGGAUUUGCUCAAAAAAAUUGGGGUAUAGGUGUAAACACGCAAUUAACAAAACAAUAGAAAAGCUUNNNNNNNNNNNNNNNNNNNNNNNNNNNNNNNNNNNNNNNNNNNNNNNNNNNNNNNNNNNNNNNNNNNNNNNNNNNNNNNNNNNNNNNNNNNNNNNNNNNNNNNNNNNNNNNNNNNNNNNNNNNNNNNNNNNNNNNNNNNNNNNNNNNNNNNNNNNNNNNNNNNNNNNNNNNNNNNNNNNNNNNNNNNNNNNNNNNNNNNNNNNNNNNNNNNNNNNNNNNNNNNNNNNNNNNNNNNNNNNNNNNNNNNNNNNNNNNNNNNNNNNNNNNNNNNNNNNNNNNNNNNNNNNNNNNNNNNNNNNNNNNNNNNNNNNNNNNNNNNNNNNNNNNNNNNNNNNNNNNNNNNNNNNNNNNNNNNNNNNNNNNNNNNNNNNNNNNNNNNNNNNNNNNNNNNNNNNNNNNNNNNNNNNNNNNNNNNNNNNNNNNNNNNNNNNNNNNNNNNNNNNNNNNNNNNNNNNNNNNNNNNNNNNNNNNNNNNNNNNNNNNNNNNNNNNNNNNNNNNNNNNNNNNNNNNNNNNNNNNNNNNNNNNNNNNNNNNNNNNNNNNNNNNNNNNNNNNNNNNNNNNNNNNNNNNNNNNNNNNNNNNNNNNNNNNNNNNNNNNNNNNNNNNNNNNNNNNNNNNNNNNNNNNNNNNNNNNNNNNNNNNNNNNNNNNNNNNNNNNNNNNNNNNNNNNNNNNNNNNNNNNNNNNNNNNNNNNNNNNNNNNNNNNNNNNNNNNNNNNNNNNNNNNNNNNNNNNNNNNNNNNNNNNNNNNNNNNNNNNNNNNNNNNNNNNNNNNNNNNNNNNNNNNNNNNNNNNNNNNNNNNNNNNNNNNNNNNNNNNNNNNNNNNNNNNNNNNNNNNNNNNNNNNNNNNNNNNNNNNNNNNNNNNNNNNNNNNNNNNNNNNNNNNNNNNNNNNNNNNNNNNNNNNNNNNNNNNNNNNNNNNNNNNNNNNNNNNNNNNNNNNNNNNNNNNNNNNNNNNNNNNNNNNNNNNNNNNNNNNNNNNNNNNNNNNNNNNNNNNNNNNNNNNNNNNNNNNNNNNNNNNNNNNNNNNNNNNNNNNNNNNNNNNNNNNNNNNNNNNNNNNNNNNNNNNNNNNNNNNNNNNNNNNNNNNNNNNNNNNNNNNNNNNNNNNNNNNNNNNNNNNNNNNNNNNNNNNNNNNNNNNNNNNNNNNNNNNNNNNNNNNNNNNNNNNNNNNNNNNNNNNNNNNNNNNNNNNNNNNNNNNNNNNNNNNNNNNNNNNNNNNNNNNNNNNNNNNNNNNNNNNNNNNNNNNNNNNNNNNNNNNNNNNNNNNNNNNNNNNNNNNNNNNNNNNNNNNNNNNNNNNNNNNNNNNNNNNNNNNNNNNNNNNNNNNNNNNNNNNNNNNNNNNNNNNNNNNNNNNNNNNNNNNNNNNNNNNNNNNNNNNNNNNNNNNNNNNNNNNNNNNNNNNNNNNNNNNNNNNNNNNNNNNNNNNNNNNNNNNNNNNNNNNNNNNNNNNNNNNNNNNNNNNNNNNNNNNNNNNNNNNNNNNNNNNNNNNNNNNNNNNNNNNNNNNNNNNNNNNNNNNNNNNNNNNNNNNNNNNNNNNNNNNNNNNNNNNNNNNNNNNNNNNNNNNNNNNNNNNNNNNNNNNNNNNNNNNNNNNNNNNNNNNNNNNNNNNNNNNNNNNNNNNNNNNNNNNNNNNNNNNNNNNNNNNNNNNNNNNNNNNNNNNNNNNNNNNNNNNNNNNNNNNNNNNNNNNNNNNNNNNNNNNNNNNNNNNNNNNNNNNNNNNNNNNNNNNNNNNNNNNNNNNNNNNNNNNNNNNNNNNNNNNNNNNNNNNNNNNNNNNNNNNNNNNNNNNNNNNNNNNNNNNNNNNNNNNNNNNNNNNNNNNNNNNNNNNNNNNNNNNNNNNNNNNNNNNNNNNNNNNNNNNNNNNNNNNNNNNNNNNNNNNNNNNNNNNNNNNNNNNNNNNNNNNNNNNNNNNNNNNNNNNNNNNNNNNNNNNNNNNNNNNNNNNNNNNNNNNNNNNNNNNNNNNNNNNNNNNNNNNNNNNNNNNNNNNNNNNNNNNNNNNNNNNNNNNNNNNNNNNNNNNNNNNNNNNNNNNNNNNNNNNNNNNNNNNNNNNNNNNNNNNNNNNNNNNNNNNNNNNNNNNNNNNNNNNNNNNNNNNNNNNNNNNNNNNNNNNNNNNNNNNNNNNNNNNNNNNNNNNNNNNNNNNNNNNNNNNNNNNNNNNNNNNNNNNNNNNNNNNNNNNNNNNNNNNNNNNNNNNNNNNNNNNNNNNNNNNNNNNNNNNNNNNNNNNNNNNNNNNNNNNNNNNNNNNNNNNNNNNNNNNNNNNNNNNNNNNNNNNNNNNNNNNNNNNNNNNNNNNNNNNNNNNNNNNNNNNNNNNNNNNNNNNNNNNNNNNNNNNNNNNNNNNNNNNNNNNNNNNNNNNNNNNNNNNNNNNNNNNNNNNNNNNNNNNNNNNNNNNNNNNNNNNNNNNNNNNNNNNNNNNNNNNNNNNNNNNNNNNNNNNNNNNNNNNNNNNNNNNNNNNNNNNNNNNNNNNNNNNNNNNNNNNNNNNNNNNNNNNNNNNNNNNNNNNNNNNNNNNNNNNNNNNNNNNNNNNNNNNNNNNNNNNNNNNNNNNNNNNNNNNNNNNNNNNNNNNNNNNNNNNNNNNNNNNNNNNNNNNNNNNNNNNNNNNNNNNNNNNNNNNNNNNNNNNNNNNNNNNNNNNNNNNNNNNNNNNNNNNNNNNNNNNNNNNNNNNNNNNNNNNNNNNNNNNNNNNNNNNNNNNNNNNNNNNNNNNNNNNNNNNNNNNNNNNNNNNNNNNNNNNNNNNNNNNNNNNNNNNNNNNNNNNNNNNNNNNNNNNNNNNNNNNNNNNNNNNNNNNNNNNNNNNNNNNNNNNNNNNNNNNNNNNNNNNNNNNNNNNNNNNNNNNNNNNNNNNNNNNNNNNNNNNNNNNNNNNNNNNNNNNNNNNNNNNNNNNNNNNNNNNNNNNNNNNNNNNNNNNNNNNNNNNNNNNNNNNNNNNNNNNNNNNNNNNNNNNNNNNNNNNNNNNNNNNNNNNNNNNNNNNNNNNNNNNNNNNNNNNNNNNNNNNNNNNNNNNNNNNNNNNNNNNNNNNNNNNNNNNNNNNNNNNNNNNNNNNNNNNNNNNNNNNNNNNNNNNNNNNNNNNNNNNNNNNNNNNNNNNNNNNNNNNNNNNNNNNNNNNNNNNNNNNNNNNNNNNNNNNNNNNNNNNNNNNNNNNNNNNNNNNNNNNNNNNNNNNNNNNNNNNNNNNNNNNNNNNNNNNNNNNNNNNNNNNNNNNNNNNNNNNNNNNNNNNNNNNNNNNNNNNNNNNNNNNNNNNNNNNNNNNNNNNNNNNNNNNNNNNNNNNNNNNNNNNNNNNNNNNNNNNNNNNNNNNNNNNNNNNNNNNNNNNNNNNNNNNNNNNNNNNNNNNNNNNNNNNNNNNNNNNNNNNNNNNNNNNNNNNNNNNNNNNNNNNNNNNNNNNNNNNNNNNNNNNNNNNNNNNNNNNNNNNNNNNNNNNNNNNNNNNNNNNNNNNNNNNNNNNNNNNNNNNNNNNNNNNNNNNNNNNNNNNNNNNNNNNNNNNNNNNNNNNNNNNNNNNNNNNNNNNNNNNNNNNNNNNNNNNNNNNNNNNNNNNNNNNNNNNNNNNNNNNNNNNNNNNNNNNNNNNNNNNNNNNNNNNNNNNNNNNNNNNNNNNNNNNNNNNNNNNNNNNNNNNNNNNNNNNNNNNNNNNNNNNNNNNNNNNNNNNNNNNNNNNNNNNNNNNNNNNNNNNNNNNNNNNNNNNNNNNNNNNNNNNNNNNNNNNNNNNNNNNNNNNNNNNNNNNNNNNNNNNNNNNNNNNNNNNNNNNNNNNNNNNNNNNNNNNNNNNNNNNNNNNNNNNNNNNNNNNNNNNNNNNNNNNNNNNNNNNNNNNNNNNNNNNNNNNNNNNNNNNNNNNNNNNNNNNNNNNNNNNNNNNNNNNNNNNNNNNNNNNNNNNNNNNNNNNNNNNNNNNNNNNNNNNNNNNNNNNNNNNNNNNNNNNNNNNNNNNNNNNNNNNNNNNNNNNNNNNNNNNNNNNNNNNNNNNNNNNNNNNNNNNNNNNNNNNNNNNNNNNNNNNNNNNNNNNNNNNNNNNNNNNNNNNNNNNNNNNNNNNNNNNNNNNNNNNNNNNNNNNNNNNNNNNNNNNNNNNNNNNNNNNNNNNNNNNNNNNNNNNNNNNNNNNNNNNNNNNNNNNNNNNNNNNNNNNNNNNNNNNNNNNNNNNNNNNNNNNNNNNNNNNNNNNNNNNNNNNNNNNNNNNNNNNNNNNNNNNNNNNNNNNNNNNNNNNNNNNNNNNNNNNNNNNNNNNNNNNNNNNNNNNNNNNNNNNNNNNNNNNNNNNNNNNNNNNNNNNNNNNNNNNNNNNNNNNNNNNNNNNNNNNNNNNNNNNNNNNNNNNNNNNNNNNNNNNNNNNNNNNNNNNNNNNNNNNNNNNNNNNNNNNNNNNNNNNNNNNNNNNNNNNNNNNNNNNNNNNNNNNNNNNNNNNNNNNNNNNNNNNNNNNNNNNNNNNNNNNNNNNNNNNNNNNNNNNNNNNNNNNNNNNNNNNNNNNNNNNNNNNNNNNNNNNNNNNNNNNNNNNNNNNNNNNNNNNNNNNNNNNNNNNNNNNNNNNNNNNNNNNNNNNNNNNNNNNNNNNNNNNNNNNNNNNNNNNNNNNNNNNNNNNNNNNNNNNNNNNNNNNNNNNNNNNNNNNNNNNNNNNNNNNNNNNNNNNNNNNNNNNNNNNNNNNNNNNNNNNNNNNNNNNNNNNNNNNNNNNNNNNNNNNNNNNNNNNNNNNNNNNNNNNNNNNNNNNNNNNNNNNNNNNNNNNNNNNNNNNNNNNNNNNNNNNNNNNNNNNNNNNNNNNNNNNNNNNNNNNNNNNNNNNNNNNNNNNNNNNNNNNNNNNNNNNNNNNNNNNNNNNNNNNNNNNNNNNNNNNNNNNNNNNNNNNNNNNNNNNNNNNNNNNNNNNNNNNNNNNNNNNNNNNNNNNNNNNNNNNNNNNNNNNNNNNNNNNNNNNNNNNNNNNNNNNNNNNNNNNNNNNNNNNNNNNNNNNNNNNNNNNNNNNNNNNNNNNNNNNNNNNNNNNNNNNNGAAUUCUAUUGUUGACGCCUCCCUCUAUAUCGCCAUCUUUACUUUGUAUGAUGGACUCUAUCUACAAUUUUCAUCUUUAAACUUGCAUUCAAUAUACUGUUGUCAAUUUUUUACUUAAGCAGAAACCAUGUGUUUCACAGGCUUGUCUCCACAUCUAUAUCUUUUAGUUUAUUUCUUUUAUCGGCGGUCUAGCCAAGACUAUAUCAUCUAUAAAAAGAAUACAAUUUGGCACUACCUCUUCGAUAUUUUCAAUAAGAAUAUCUAGAACCAAGAUAUAGGAUUAGAGCUCAAAGUUGUGAUCCUUGAUGGCUACUUAUAGUAACACCAAGCUAUGUUGUACCGACACUUUAGAUCGAAGGCGUGUCUUGUGUCCGAGACUGACACAACGCCGACACAUGUGAUUACAUUCAUUGACUUUUAUUUUCUUAAAUUAUUACUGGUGUUUUGUGUCGAUGCCGUGUUUGGUGUCCAUGUCCAUGUCUGAGUAACUGUUUCAUAGACACCAUGUGUCAGCUUUGAGUCCUUAUCUUUUGAAGUUAUAGAUGUGCUUAACGAACCUAUCCAAGAGAUGGUGCCACGAUACGCAUUUUUAUCAGAUGACAUAAUCUUGGUAGAAGAACCAACAGAAGAAAUAGAUGAAAAGUUACAGUUACCAACAAAGUAAACUUAAUAUAAAUGAGAACUCGUGACCAAACCCUUUACUCCCCCACUCCCGAAAGGAAGAAGGAUCAAAUCCAUGACUACAUAAUUUUCUGAUAUUUUACUAAUGCAUUAGGCCAUUGCUUACUAUAGACAUCAAUGACAGUGCCUUUGCUCCGAGAUGCAAGUGUAAAGAUUCUCUAAAUUAAUCAAGUAAUAUUAAGGUGAAAAACUAGUCCAAGGAACUAGAUUUACUAAAAAGGGGGAAAACCAGGUAGAUAAAGAAAGCCGCAAUGACUUUUUGAAUACUAUCUUGCAAUUUUUAUAGAGAUUAAACGUGGGUCGAAAAUAAAGAAUACAAGAGUAAGAGAACACCUUCAAAAUAUUGACAAGUUGUGUAUUGGUGUUGUCUUGCAGACGAUCAGGACAAUGAAGACUUGAAGGAUCGAGUCCACAUAAGGCCAAUUUAUCUGGUUGCUCGGUACCCUAUAACAUAUAUAGCACAACCAGCGAUUACAACACUGACAUGAUCGAUGAAGACAUUAACUCCGUUACAAACUAAAUGUAAUUUUCUUUCCAAUUAAAAGAAAAUUCCAGCUUGAAGAAGUAUCAAGAUUGAGAAAACCCAAUAUAAAAUGCAUAUCCAAUAGGGAAACAUGUGCAACUAACUUGUGAAUUGAAGUUGUGGAUUGUCAGUAAUAUUCUGGUACCUCCAAGUCCCUAAACAAAACAAAUGAUUGAAAACAUUGCAAGUGAUUUUGAUUUUGAUUUUAUAAAUAUAAAAACCAGAAACAGAAGAAUAAGAUGCAAUGAUGAUUUAUGUCACAACACACAAUCAGUCUUUGAAGUUAACGUUUUUCUCACAAUAAGUUCAAAAUGUAUUUUUUCUUUUUCUUGUUUAAGUAUAUCUGCAUUACCCUCUAUCAGAGACAAUAUUCUCCUAAUAGCAGACGCUUUAUAAAAAAUAACACAAAUUAUGAAAAUUAAAAUUAAGAAAAGAUACCUUGUUUACAAAUACAUCCCAGAAAAGAGGGGCAACAAUGGCAGUCUCCCAGUUAUGUAGAUGCAGUAUAUCAGGCUGCUUCCCACAUUUUACUAUAUAAUCCAGUGAGGCACGACAAAAGUAUGAGAACCUGACGGCACAAGAUUUCAACAUCAAGAUUAUUGACAAUUUUUUUAUACAUGAUAGAUACAAACAUAUCAGAGUAUAGUUUUUUAUAUCUCUUUUAUAAGACAGUUUGAGGGCACAAAAAAGAUGGUCACAAUGGAUUCCAAAAUAUCACAUGAUCAAAUUACACCGAUGUAAUGUAAUGCUUGAAUGCGGUUACACAAAUCAAUAACUUUUUCCCAGAUAUUUGUAUCACAAAACUGUUACUACAUUUACCUUUCAAAAUCAUCCGGGUAACCAUAUAUCAUCUCGCGGCUGAAAAACGAUGAAUGGUCCAAUGGCUCGAUCAAAGUGACUCCCACGCCAUAAACAACACUGUCACACACUAAGGGUAAGUAUAAAGGAAAGCAACAUCAGUAUAUUUUAAACAAGAAACAAGACUUGAAACAUUAGCUCUAAUAACUUUCAUUAAUUCUUUUAUCACCGCCGGUACAUAUUAUUUAACAUUCCUAUUAUAUGCAAAACUAUGGUAAUAAAAUAGGUGAACAAAGCCAAACUAACCCAGUCCAAAUUCUGUUUCCGUGUAAUUGACCAUUAAAAUAUGAGUAAACCUCCACAUUAACUUCACGCAAACCUUGCACUUCAUCUAGGUCUAAGCAUGCAUACCUACAUGGUAGUUUUAUAAUCAUACAUAAAGAUCACAAAAUAGCUUAAGACUCUCAUGUUUACUUUGGUUGACUUUAAAUUGAAGGAAAUAACAGAAGAAGCGAUGAAACAGAUGGACAUUAAUUUCUUAAUUACUUGGGCAAUAUAACCUCUGCAAGGUGACCUUUUCUUUGAAGUGCACGAGCUAUGCCGGUGACAUAUGAUGCUACAGAUCCUCUAGAGACCAAUGGUGUCAUUUCUGUGCAAAUGUGAAUAAUAUGAAAGCCAUUCCUGAAUGAAGUUUAUACAAAGAAUAACAAUCAUAUUUCCAAAAAACCAAUCCAAGAAAGCAAAAUCGAAGAGCAGGAAAAAUUAACAGACAUUUAAAUGUGAAAAAAAUAAACGAUCAACUGCAGGAAGGAUUUACUUUUUGCUUUGAUCUGAGAAGUGACGAAGUUCUCCCACCAGUUCAGAAUCUCUUUUAUGUGAGAUAACAUUAAAGACAUCAGCAACACUCACUUUAUGGUGCAACACCAAACUUCUAAAGUCAGAUGCCUCUGCAAGGCUAAUCACGUUGCCCAGGACCAUUGAGUCUAUUCGAAGCAGCAAUUCGGAACAAAUUGAUAGCUUAUCUGGUUUACAAAAUGCAGACAGAAAUAAUAGUUUAGUUAAUCAUUCUAGUGAUGAAUUGUAUGCUUCCAAGAAUAUAUAUAUAAACACAUCAUUGCUAAACUCAGAUUGAUUUUAAACAUAUCAUUGCUAAAAUCAAAUCGAUCAUCAUAGGUGUGUGGUCACUCGAGUGGAGCGAAUGUUAACCAUAUGUAACUCUAAUUGUGAUCGACAGAAAUCACAGUAGCAGCUCUGCUGACAGAAACAUAUGGACAAUUGGCCGAACUACGUGAUCAACUCAUGUGUCCACUUUAUCAAAUUUUUCGUUAUCUUGUUAAUCUUGGUUUCAAUUUGUUGUUUACAAGCACAGUUUAAUAGUAUAACAGAAGAUGGUCUAGAGGCUGUUAAUAACAAAUAAUAAGCACUAAUAUACAAUCACUUUUACCAGCACUCUCCUGCUUUACUGCUUCCAAUUUUUUUAUCUUAUCAAGUAUGGACUGUUUUUCUUUCUUUAUUUUGUUAAGUUCCUCGAUGGCACCUAGGCGUUGAUUGUUUAAGUAUAGUAUGUCUGCAUGAAAUAAGAAAAAUAUACCAAAAAUUACUAAAUAUUCUUCUACAAAACCACAAUUAUGAGUGUGAGGAAAGAACUAACUUUGUUGUGCUUCUCUGAACAAUUGCCAAAUAUUAUCAUGUUUCACAUUCUGGCCAUCAUCAGAUAAUGACUAAGAAAAAAAGGAAGGAAAAAAGCAACAAUAAGAAAGCAAUGAAACACUAGAGAAAUUAAGAUAGUAAGAGUAAAAGGGGAAUGUAAAAAACACUAUUGUUUGGUCUUAACCCUCAGAAAUCCACGGAAAAGGGCCCUGGUAAUCCAAAUUUCGGUCAGAUUAGUAAAACUUGGCUAAUGAUUAUUUAGCCAGAGUUCGAACUCAGGUACUCCCGAUCGAUUCAAUCUUAAUUUUAAAACAUAACAUAUUUGAAACAAAAAUUCAUACCUUGGAAAUGUCCUCAUUUUUGUUAACCUCUAACCUAAGAUACAGAUAUUCCAAAAUUAGUUGCCAAAUAGCCUUGUGUGUGAAGCAGCUGAUAUAUACAAUUAAAAAGAAAAGAAGGUUACCUUUGUUCAUGUAAGCCACUGACAUCUCCAUUAUUCCUGAAAACACAAUACAAAGAAUGAAAUGUGAAGAAUAGGCUAAAACCAAGUUAAAUUAACAUGUAGUUGAUAAAAGCUUCUCCAUUAAAAUAUAAUUAUGAUUAUUGACUUAAAAUAAAACCCUUAAUAAAUUUUAGAAGUGAUUAAAAAUUAAAAGCAAAUUCCACAUUUAAAAAAAUGUUCAAAAAUUCUCUAGUAAUUCUAAUACACCUAAUUUUUUUAUAUAUAUAUCAAUUAUCAACAGAAAACCAUAGUCUAAAUUAUGAAUUAUUUGAUUGAUGAACUGUAUAAAAUAUUAUGAAUGAUGAAAGUUAUUGAAAAAGUGGGAGUAGAAGAAGAGUAACCUGAAACAAGAAAGAGCAGGAAGUGAAAUGGGUUUUUGAAGAAAAGAGGAGGGAAUUCCCAAAAUAGGCAUAGUUGAGUUCAACAAUGCCACCAUAAUAAUAUCUGAACUGAACUGAUUUCAGCUUAUGUCAUGUCAUGAUACUGCUAAGUAAUAAUAAUGCAAGUGAAGAGUGAUAUUAUGUUAUUAUUAUUAUCAUCAUAAAUUGUUGUCAUAAUAAAAAUAUCAUCAACGUCAUCAAUGUUUUUAUUUGGAAACUUCUACGGCCAAAAAGAACAAGACAACAACAAACAAACAUGCAUCCUACACAACACUUGUUCCAGUUAAAAUCAAGUGUUACAAAGAUUGGUUAAGGUGGUCUCACGAUAAAUUAGAUUUGUUAUGAGGUGAACAUUUUUUUUCCUUCUGAUUAUAUAGGUUGGUUAUGAAGCGAUAGGGGGUUUUGGACUAAUUUUUUUUACAUAAUCAUCUAAUCGUUAUAUUACUUUGUUAUAUUAUUUUCAAAAAUAUAUUUGAACAAAUAUUUUAUGAUACAGUACAAUGUGUAAAACAUUUUAUUUUUAUUUUAUAUAUGUUUAAUACUUGAUUAAUAUACAUUUAACUAAACUAUUUCUUUCAAAAAAAAAUUGAUCAAUAUUUUUGAAAAUAAUAUAACAAAGUAAUAUAACGAUAUAAUUUAACUAUAUAUAAAGGGCUGGUCUUCGAAAGAGGGCGUGGGUUCAAAUCCCACUUCUGACAUUUUUUUUGUCAAAAAAAAUAUAUAUAAAGGGAUAGGGGUUUUGGAUUAAAUUUUUAUUAUUCCAAUUAUACCCCUAUAUUGAUGUCACAUUGUUUGUGUUAUUAAAAGGGUAAAAUUUUAUAUUAUAUUUGUAGAAUUAUUGUUGUCAUUGAAAAAGAUAAAUAUGAUGUGUUAAAUUUGUUACAAUUUGAAAGUCAAAAAUAUUUUUACUUGUACUUUUAAUUGAAAUCAAAAUUUAACACAAAAUACCGUUAAUAAUUUAUUGACACAUGUUAGCACAAUAAAAAGAGCGGAAAGACGGGCACGCGAGUCUCCGUCUUUCUGUUUGUAUAAUUAAAAAGAGUAUUUCAUAUAAUUAGUAAGUAUUUUAGUUUUUGUUAUUAGUUAUCACGUAGAGUUUAUUAAAAUUACUUAAAAGCAGUAUGUGAGUUUUUUCUUUUUUUAAUAAAUCAGUAUGUGAGUUUAUUAAUUGCCCUAGCUCCUUUGUCUGGUUCUCAUGACUAAUAUCUCUGAUUAAUCAUAUGGUCUAUUGAAGUUAAUCGGAGUUCACGAUUAAGAGGGUUGUGUGUAUUGAAGUUAGGGCAGAGUGUCGGAUGGGUUCAAUUCAAAACGGCUCACCUGAGAAAAAUCAAAAGUGCAAAACUCUUGCCCACUUUCUACCGUUUUAGACUUCAGUUUUGUUUGGUUGCAAUUUAUUCGAGUCGCGGGUUGGUCGAAUGGAUUUAAUCAGAUUAGCACAUGAAUAGAAAAAAGAUAGAGAGAAAACUCAAACCUUUGUUAAAUAAUAGAAUCAUUUGUUAAGAAGUCUAAAGAAAAAGUUGUCUUGUAAACGAUGCAUUUAAGUAUUCGAUAAAUUGAAAGUUUAAAAAGUAACUUUACUUUAUAAAAAAGUUUGUCUUUUACGUUUAAAGAACACUUGUCAGCAAGACCAAUAUCAAAAAGCUCUUGAAAGAACAAGUAUAUUAAACGAAAAUUAAUUGCUAUAUUAAUUUUAUUGACCGUUGAUAUUGUUUCACAACUUUCAGAAAAAAGAAUUAGCUAACGUUUCUUUAAAGUAUUUUAUCAGGAGACAAUUAAAUAAUGUUGUCUAUUUAUGCUCAUUAUCCUAUAUCAAUAUGCCAUCUUGUAUUGAGACUAUUAUUAUUACUUAUGAGAUGAGUUGAUUUUGUUUCUACUUUGAAGUUUGAAAGGUCUCAUACGUACUAAUGAGUAAUGACCAACCUAGUUAUUGAACUCAAAAAUCAUCUCAUCUAAACAAUUUACCAAAUACUUUAAAUUUAUGGUUGAAGGCCAAAUCAUCACACUAUCUCCCCAGCAUUUGCCCUCUUCGUAACAUAAAAAAUUGCAAUCAUUAGUUGUAUGAUUAGCAUUAUUAUAAAUAAAUUACAAAAUAUAAUACAAACUAGCUUAACAAAACAUCAUCCCCAUUGGACUGAAUUGAGCAAGUCGGAUUUCAUGAUAAUCAAACCGAUAAUCUCUUUGAUGUUACAAGCCAAGCUUACGCUUCUUUAACUUUCGCCUCCUUGCCGCCUCCUUUUCCGCCGCCUCCUCCGCCAACCUCUCACGUUCAUCCUCCUCUCUACCAAUUUUUGCACUGCACACACGUAAUAGCCAAUCAUCAGCACAAGAAAAUAUUACAUUUUUUUGGUUUAUUUUUGUUAGCUCAAAAGAUUGCUUCAUAACAUUUUCUAGCAAAAUAUUUCUUAUUUUUUGCUUAGCUACAAAUGAGUUAUUUUGUUUAAGGUUAAAGCUUAACAUUGAAAAGAACUUCUUAUAUCUUCACUACUUCAUAUAAAAAAAUUUAAAAAUAGAAACCAAAGUGGAAAUGUGUUUUAGUAAAUAAAUUCUAUACAAAAUUUUAAAAAUAAAGACCGAAAUGGAAAUGCGUUAGUAAAUGAAAUUAAACAACACUCCCUAAAUAUGAGAUACAAGUAAAGAACAUCGCUGACAUUUAUAAGUGCAAUCAAUAACAUCAGAAAAAUAAAAGAAGUCUCUCCCACACAGCACAGCAGCUUUUAAUUAAAAUCUUCCUAUUUUUGCUUAAUAUUCUCCCACACGAUACCUUCAAUCAUAUUUUUGCUUAAUAUUUUAUAACUUGAAAUACAUAUGGAUCUCAUUUGCAUUUAAAUAGAAAAGAAUGUGUCGAGAUGUGGGUGCUAGUCUGUUAGUGUGUACCUAGCACUCAUCUUUUCCUAACUACUAAACAAAGAAAGUGACAUGUCAAAAAAACUAAAGGUGUUAAAUAACUUUGUUUCCCAAGUGUGAACAUUAUUAUCAAGUCUUAGGAGUGUUAUUGAAAAACUACUUGUCAAGAUUAGCAUUACUCUGUAUGAAAAGAAAAAGGGAAGAGCGAAAAAUGGACACAUACAAAAGAAAUAAAUGGAUGAAAGUUAAGUCAUAGAAAUAAAUAGAUGAAGGUUAUAAGUUUUAAAUAAGCAUAAACGGGCAACAGAAAGACGUCCUGUUUUCAGAAAGGAAUGGAAGAAAGGUUUUUAUUAUCAAGUAAAUAUCAUAGUGUAAGCUUUAUAGAAACCAACCUCUUCCUUUCCUCCUUCAUGAUAUCAUCAAAGCCUGCCUCCAUAUUGGCGUCGUCAUCGUCAUCGGAAUAAUUCUUGGGGUUGUAACUACAAAAAAUCCAACAAAAUUAUCAAUAUCAAGUAUAAUAAAUCAUAUGAAAUGAAAGGACGAGGUCCAUCAGUCAAUAAAACGAGACUCCCCCAUUUGGAAGUUUACAAUUAUCAGUACACACGGCACAGAAAUCAAGCAUUAACAACUAGAAAAAAGGGGACUUAAACAUAGAGAACUUACCCAAACAUAUUUCUGAUCUCUCUGCGCCAAUCAUCCACCACAGGCUCAUCAGGGCGGCGUUUCCUCACUAUACUCUUGGGGCGCUGAUCAUGCAAAUCAGAACGCUUAGGAAUUUGUUUAAGUGGUGGCUUACUUACCUGUUAAACAAUUGAACAUAAAUAAUGAUAAGGAGCGGUGAAUCAAAUUCAUGGGUUCUUGUUGAGUAAGGGGGUUUAUAUAGUAUUAUACCUGAGUUUUUGAUGAUGAAACUGGUUGUUUUGGUACUGUUCUGGGUUUAUACUGUUCUCGUACAUCUCUUCUUUGGUCCACGCCCUGCUUCGGAACAGAUGAUGGAACCUUUGAAGGGGCUGGCUUCUGCACACCAUUUAUAGGAUUUCUCAUGCCAGGUGUGACCGAUUUACUCACCGAGGUAUUAACAUGCAUCUUUGAAGGCAUGCCUUUGGGCAAUAACGGCCGGCCUGGUCCAUUCACACUGUUGUUACCCAGCUGUUUUCUAGAAUCUACUGAUACCUUACUGGCCUGACUCGUAGAACUUAACUUGUAAUUGGAUCGUGGUUUAGGAGCUAAGUGACGAGCUCCAGCAACAGGUUUCCGGUUCUCACCAGAACCACGAACGAGCUUGCCACCAUUGCUAAGAGACGGUUUACUCUUUCCUGGAACUUGAGCUGCUUGUCCCACUUUAACAUCAGCAAAAACCCUGUAUAAGUUUCCUUAAUCACAGUAAAAAAUAUUCGAACCCGCCCCCAAUUGAACAGCACAAAAUAUAAACAACAACAUACCAGAACUGCGCACAGAUGUAUUCCUGGAGGGAGGCUCUUUUGAUGGAACAGGAAGAUCCGCAUCAUCAGACAAAAGAAACGAGUAAUCUCUAGUAACCUUGAGUUUCUCAGCUUUAACUAGCUUCUGCAUAAACACAACAGUUCAUCGUAUUAGAAUAGCAGAUAAUGACUUGUGUGUUACAAAAGCAAAUUGUAUACAGCAGCUACAAUACCUCGUUGACUUUGGGUGGCUGCUUCUGAGCUGAAGACUUCAAUACACCAUUAGAUACUUUACUUGUACUUUUGUUCUGUACACGGGAUAUUUAUGAGAAAGUUGCAUAACGUACGUAACACAAAGCGAAAAAGACAUCAAAGCAAUGUUGAUAGCAAGCAUAUCCCAAGCAAUGUGCGAUGAGCAUAAAAAAUAAAAAAUAAAAAAAUCUAUUAGAAUAAUGCUAAAAAAAGGAUUCACACACAAAAUUAAGAGAAGUUUAAGAACUUAGAUAUUCAGCCACAUCAUAAGCAGGAACAGAAUUGUCAUAUUUCUGACCAUAUUACACAUCAUGAAUCACUCCUAGAAGGAUUUUAUAACCGGAAGUGAAGCUUAAGGAAGUAAAUAUCAAUGUGAAAUAAAUAGUGAAAAAUAUGUUGUAGACCAUGAGAAAUUCUAGCAUCCCACUGAUUGUGUAAUCACUAAUCAAACAAGAACAUGUUCAAUAAGCACUUAUUACAUAGGAGCGUAAGUAUAGUGUUUCUACAAUCGUGGAGGAUAUGAGGGUAAACUAUACAUAAACACUCCAUAAGUUGUUUCUAUAAACUAUACAUAAACACUCCAUAAGUUGUUUCUAUAAACUAUACCAAGAGCUUACUAAAAUAAACUGAAAACAGAUAAUGAACAUAUCAUAAGAUAUUUUAUAAGCUAUUCAAUAACUUACACAAGUUCCUACGUCAUAAGUUAAGUCUAAAUAAGUUAUUUGUUCCAAACGCUUGCAAAAUGAUAAGCCCAAAUAAGUUAUUAUUCUAAACACCCACUAAAUGAUAGGAAGUGAUGACCAAUAGAAAAUUAAACUCACUAUAGAAGAUAUGAGAAUUAUCCUAUGGAUAAGUUGAUACACCAAACAGUCUAAGAUUAUAUAUACAGCCAUUAGAUAUAAAAUCAGGAUUGUUUUCACUAGAAAAGAUGGUAGAAUCACAACUUGGGUAGUUUAGUCAUGUGUAAAUAAUACUCAUAGAAACGACGCUGAAGAGAGCUGACUAAACAAAUAAGGUUCAAUAGUUAAUAAGUAGAGGGAGGUCAACAGAGUUACAAUAAAUGUAAAACAUCUAAGUAUUAUUUGAUCCAUAAAGCUGACCCCAACAAAUGUAAAAAGGCACAAUGUUGUUUAUUAGUUUAAAUUUUGGUUGCAUUUAUUAGUUUAAAGCCACAAGACGCCAUAUAUUUAUUUACCACACAAAAUCACAUUUAAAAAAUUCCACAGAUUAAAUUAUUAAUCAUAACACCUUAAAAAGAAGAUCGACAAUAUCACACAGAAAUUGAUAAACCAAUAUUAAAAGGAAAGUAGAAAAUAAAAGGUGUCGAAUACAUACAAUUUGAGGUGUGUUAGAAGGCAUGGGCACCAAAUGUCGGUUUUCUAGCAAUGAUUUGCUCUCUUGGAUUACUCGCUGUGCAAUAACCGGUUGAGAAGGACCAAAAAAAGACCCAUAACUGCAGCAACAAAUGAAUAUUGAGGACAGAUAUUUCAAAAUUAUUCCUCUUGGCAUAUUUCACAUAUUAUAUGUGCUAUGAAACAGCAAACCAUAUUAAAGAAAGAGGGCAAAACAUGCAUAACUAAUAGUUACACAAGCAAGACGAUAAAAAUAAUUGUGGCCUUACAAAUUACAAUGACAACAAGUUACAGAUAGGAAACAACAGACAUCUGAAAAAAGACACAUGUGCAACACCAACCAUGACGCAUUUAAAAAUACAAUUUCAGUUAAAACAAUAAAAAAACAUGGACAUGCAAUAGGGUCGUACAUCUAUGGGGAUAAUCAGAUCAUGAGAAAAGCCGCAAAUUUGUUAGAAAAGAAGCCUCCAAAAGUGAAGCAAAUAUGAAAAUGAGUUUGCAUUCCUGAAACGACUGACUUAGGGCCUGUUUGGAUAGGCUAAUUUUUUAGCUAAUGCAAAUAAAUAAGCUUUUAUGUUAAUUCAUAAGUUCUCACUAACGAAAAUGGUAACUUCAUAAGCUGUUUUUUCAUAAACUACCUUGACAAGCUUAUGAACAAUACAUAAAAGCUUAUUUAUUUGCAUAAGUUCUUUUACAUAAUAUCAGAAAUAAGCCAAUCCAAACAGGCCCUUAAUACAAAUUGCCACGCAAAAAAAGCAGUAUUUUUAACUCCCAUCAUGCUUCCAAGGAAAAGACAUAGGGUGGAGAGUAGAACAAACAAUAGGACUUUUUAAGAAAUGAGUAACAUAAAAUUGCAAUGCACUCAUAAACCAAAUCCCUAUUCCCUGAUUAUUUUGGAAUUGAGUCUCAUAAAAAUUAAUGUAAACAGAACCUAAGCAUUAUAUUAUGACUAUGUGUAUAUGGUUAAAAGAUGGUUUCAAUACUCACUUAUCACGUUGAAUUUGCUUCUUUCUACCACUUGAAUCUGCAAGGGAAGUACUAUUCUGCUUCUGCAUCUUUUUUCUGAUUGAUUCUUUCAACUUCUGCCUCAACUCAAGGUAGUCCAGUUCUUCCUUAGUGGGCUUCCGAGGCUCUUCUGCCACAUACUCUUCCCCUUCCUCCUCUUCAUAUCCCUCCCCUUCCUCCAGUUGUUCGUCCUCAUAAUCAUCGUAAUCCUCAUAUUCCUGAAAACAAAACACAACAAAAACCAUAUUAAAUUCAGAAAGAAAAAAACAAAGAUAACAAAAUCAAUAUAAGUAAUUGAAAUCUCAAAUUCUCAAAUCUUAAAGUUGAGAAUACUUACAUCUUCUUGAUCAUAGCCCCGCAUUGCGGCUUGAAUCAUAGCUACAGAAUCAAAUCAACAGCUACAAAAUAUCAAUAAAUCAAAUCAGAAUCCAAUUGACAAAAAAACACUAAUCUAUUGAUACACAUAGCAAUGCAAUUAACAUUAGAUUCAAACCUAAAUUUCGCAUCCACUGUAACUAACAGUGUUGAAAAAAACUGAAUUGCACAAAAAAACACCCCAGAAACAAAAUUUCUGAAAAUUAGUAAAAUUAGGGUUUUCAAAAUCUACGAUUGAUUUUUCCCCCAGAUUGAUACACACCAAUAUAAUCACCAACCCACCUUGCGGAAUUGAAAUCUCGAAUAGCGAAUAUGAAGAAAGACGUGUUAUAUAAUCGGAAAAAACUGAAUCGAAUGAAAAUUUGGGGCAAAAUUGAAAAAAAAAAUCGGGAAAAAGAAAAGGGGGAAAAGAAGAAAUUGGAAUAAUGGGUGAAGCGAUGAAGAAAAAAGAAUCAAAAUUUAGGAAGAAAGUACCGUGAUUGAUGAUGCGAUGCGAUGCGAAGUGAAAUUGAGCAGCGGUGGAAUGAAAUCGUGCGAAGAAUGAGUUGAUAAAGGGGAAGAAAUUAUUUUGUUGUUGUUCCAGAUUUUUCCACAGUCCCUUCCCCCCUCAAAGAGUUCAAUCUUUAAAUCGACAAAAGUGUAAUAAUUAUUGCAAGUGUAUUUGGGCUUUUACACGUUCAUUAGAUUGUUUUAUCUAGCCCAAUAAAAGUUUGAUAUUUUCUUUUUCCACCCGACCAACUUCUCAUGUACCUUUCAAAUUUUCUAAAAUACCUCAUUCAGAUUAUAUAAUUCAAACACAUUUUAAAUGAUUUUUUAUUAUAUAAUUUGAGAUAUUUUGAAACCCAUAAAACAUAUUGUAAUCGAUACAAAUGUCUUUGAUUAUCAUUGUACCAUCCCCGCAAAUAUUACACAUCAAUUUUGGAGAUGAUAUCAAUGGUUAGUAGUAACCAUGACAUCAUAACUCACUCUCAAAUGAAAAUUAAGAGUAAAUAAUGGAUAAAUAGGGGAUUUGCAAUGAAAAUAUAAAAGAAUGCAAGACUAUUUAUAGCCACAAACCAUCUUAAAGACUAGGAUUUGCUGCUGUAGUGAAACAACACAAUUUCGCACAAUUUUCAAUAGCAGUCGUUGGAUCUUAUUAAUUGGUACUGUUAUACUUUUGUCAAACCUAUCCAAUGACUAGAAUAGCAACUAUGUUGUAUUUUACAGCACUGAGUCCAUAUCCCAUCUUAAACUGUAACUACCGUCAAAUAAAACAUUUAAAAUGACCCAAAAUUGCAUUAAACACACCACCAACCAUUCAAACAUUUCUUGUAACACCACAACCCAUAUUUUGGACUACUUAGGGUUAAAUAAUUUGAUAUCAUUCCCAUAUAAGUUCAGAAUAUAUAAAAUGAAAUAUGUCCAGACUGUGUUAAACUUAAAACUUAAGCUUUAAGAGUUUGGAAGGUUUCAAAGUAUAUAAUUUGAACUGUGUCGAGAGCACAACAAAUUGAGAAAAACUACCAUUAAAUUAAAUUCUACAACAUACAUUAAACAUGAUAAUUUUCAACAACAUAACCACAAACAAGAUAAUUCCAACAAUAUAAUUCAAAAACGUAAAACAACAUAAUAAAACACAAACAAGAACUUGGGGUUGGUCAAGCUUAAUUCUUAUCCAUUCUAUUCAAGUAAGCCCUGAUUUAUCUGUAAGACUUGGACUGAAUUAAACUUUCAUGAAUAUCUCGUAAAGAUCCCACCAAGGAAAUGUAUAACUUGAUCGAUCCUUUCGAACUAUGUUGACUAAAUAUAGAUAACAUGGCUCAUCACAUCACCUUUGUUCUAGAACUUCAUAUGGGUAAACCAAAUGCGCCCAUCCUAGUCUAACGACGGAAGGCGAUACUCAACAUUGUCCACCAUUCUCGUCUCUACGUGGUAGAGAAGAUCGUUAAUUUGCUACAAUCGAUCCUUCAAAUUAGAUAGUGUGACAUCAACGUGGACCCUAAACAUCUUAGAUUUUUCCUCAUUGUAGUAACCUGCAACUAGCUUGGUGUUUAUAUCUAUUGGAUAAAUGUUAAUGGUUAUGUGGUGUGGUUUGCAAAUGAACUUAACAAACCAAUUUAUAGAAGGUUAUGUGUGUUGUGGACCACAAAAACCGUCGGUGCAAUAUAAACCACAAAAUAUCUUGUACUUGACUGGUUCAUAGUAUAUACUCUCAAUUGCAUCAAAUCCUCUAAAGUACAAGUUUUUACAUUGUCUCAACAUGCUUCAAAUUAUAUUCUCUGAACAAAUACUGGCCAGUUUUAGGAUUAAGUAAUCUGAAACAGUCCAUAAUUUGGACAAUGGCUUGGUCAACAAGUCUUUGGAAGUUCAGAUGAUUUCUGGGUCAAAUUGUGGUGUUUUACAUAUUUUGUUAACUGAUUUGACUAAUGAUACACUCUUUAUAGGGACUUUGCCUAUAAAUACACAACCAUUCUUCGCAAUUUUUCAUUUCAGCUCACAUUCUUUGAUUUCUUUCUUUUUCUAUCUUUCUUUUGUUUUAAGAGUGAAGUUACGAUGUUAUGGUAACAUCAGUGACCUUUCAUACACAUCGUCAAAAGUGACCUUUGUGGUAGUAGUUACGAGGUUAGUAAGAAUGGUCAAAGAUGGUUGUCACAUUUCAACUUGUAUUUCAGAUCUGUUUGGAUGUUUGGAUUUGAGACUGUUUCAAUCAAUUUCAACCUUCUCCUGCUCUGCCAUCUUGUUCUCCCAAAAUUUUCUAAGGAUGUCCGAAGGGAGUGACAAACAUUCUCCGCCUUCCACUUCCACAUUCUUCUACCACAAAUUUAGCUUUAGACGUCAAAGAUUUUGUAAUAAUUAAUGUUAUGUAUAUGUAAUUGUAAAUGUAUUUUGUUCGAUUAAUAAAAUGUGAUGAACUUUUACAUUUUGUUUAUAAUUUAUAUUAUAUCAUUUUAAAUUCUGUCAUUUACAAGUAUGUCAUUUUGAAUUCGGUCAAAAUUGAUUAAUCACAAUUUGAAUUAUAAAAUUCAAAAUACGACAAACACUCUUCGGACUAUAAAAUCCGAACAAGAAUAAAAAGGAUCAAUUCAAAGAGUGUGUGAGAAGAUGAUAGGGUGCGAAUUUUUUUUAAAGAAAUUAAAGUUUUAGGCCAUUCAAAUGAUUCAAUUAAAUUACAUCUGAUUAGUAACUUCAUGGACGAAAAUUCAAAUGACCUAUAUUUGCAGGGAUGAAAGACCUAUUUAAGCAAACCACCUCGCCCAAUCAUCACUUGUCACAUGGGCACCACGUCGCUAAUGACAGCCCACCUCAGCAAAAAAAUCUAAUUAGGACCAAAAGUCAAAUGAUUAAUAUUUGCAGGGGCAGAUUGGAAGGAUUAGUAACUUUAGAGACGAAAAUUCAAAUGACAUAUAUUUGCAGGGACGAAAGACAUAUUUAAGCCAUUUUUAAAAUAUCGGAAAAUUUGAGGACCUAAGUGUAAAAUUUGAAAAAUUAUAACACUGAAGAAAUUUGAAAUUUAUAGCAUUUAGGUGUAAUUUGAAAUUCCCAUAAAUUUUCAUUAUUUUAAAAAAAUUUCAAAUUAUUAUCCAAACAAUAGAAUUCACCUCAAAACAUUACUUUACGUCAAAACAUUCCCUCAUCCAAAGUCCAAACACAGUCUAAAAUUUAACUUAUAGGGUCAUCAUAUGUGUGUUUUUUUUUCUUUUUUACACAGGGUCAUCAUAUAUGUGUACCAUUUUUAAUAUAGAAAACUGGUACAAAAAUCUAAUUUACAACAUUUUUCUAAAAAAUAUAAAUUAAUAAGGUUUCCGAUUUGUAUAAUAUCUUAGAAAAUAUAUAUAAAUAUUUAUUUUUUGAACAAAACUCACAGUCAAGGAAACAUUUUUACUUAUUAAUUAGUGUAUUAGACAAAAAAAUAAAAUACUCAUAAAACUGCAGCUUAUUUGAACAAUGCUUAAGAAAAAAAACUCAAAUCAUUUGUUACUAAAAUCUAUGGAAAAAAUACAUUUAUUUUUUUUUGAGAGAAAGAAACUUAAAUCAUUUCAUUAAAGAUUAAAUCAGUAAUACAUGUUGGGAUUUCAUCAAAGAUACGGAAGCUAGAACUAGAUGUGGCUGCCUUAGCUAGAGUAUGUGCAACCUCAUUCGCUUGCCUCCUAGUAAACUCGACAUGAGAGUUUGUUAAAAAUGACCGACAGAAAUGGAUGCUACUGUCCAUUAUGGAACCAAAUUCGGUGACAUCUCCACUGCCUUUGUUGAAAUAAUCCGCUACUCGUUUCGAGUCAACUUCAAAAUCAACAUUUUCGAGUUGAAGUUCAUGGAUCCACCGAAUUGCAUGAUACAGUCCCAGCGGAGAGAAACACAUGAUUUUUGAUCGGACAUGGAAUCCUUUUGAAUCUCUAAUACACAUGCCCAAACCAAUCUUGUUGUUGACGUCUGAAAAAGAGGCAUCAAUGUUACACUUGAGUCUGCCACUUCUAGGUUUCCUCCAUCUGAUGUUUGAAUCUCCAUCUACUACCUGGUUAGUGUGAUUGCGAGGAAGAGUGGUAUCAAUGUGACUAUGAUUAGACGGAUUUUGCUUACGAUUAGCACUUCUCCAACCUUCUAAAAGAUGGAUAGCUCUUACCAUGAUUGUUGUGGUUGAAUCUGUCACUUGUUGCCACAACUUAAGGUUUCUAGCUUUCCAGAUACUCCAAAUAAUAGUGACAAUAUUCUCUAUUUGGGUUGUAGACAAUAUUCUCAACAAAUGGAAUAUAAUAUCUGAUGCAUUAUCAAACAGGACCAAAGAUGGAGAUAUCAGGUGCCAAACAUUAGCCGCAUUCCAAACAUCGACAGCUGCCUUACAGUGAAACAAAAUAUGAUAAUUGUCUUCAUGGGAUCUUCACACAUAACACAAUUUGAAGGGCAAUUAACACCUCUGCUUCGUAACUUUACCCCUUGUUGGGAAACAAUCUCUAGCUUCCAACCUUGUUUUCCAAGCAUAGCAACAUUAAAUGCUGCCAAAUCUUUGAAAUCCAUACCUCCGUAGUUAUGAUAUCAUCAAGCAACUAAUAUCAUCAAUUCAUAAAGUUUUUCGAAAAAGUCAUGUACGAUUUCGCCAUUAAUAAAGUAUAUUAGUCGUGAAAUUCAAGAGUUUGAUUUUCGCUACAAUCCGAAAGUUACUAAACGUAUAAAAAAAAAUCAAAAACCUUUUUUGAUAAUUUUUUUGAAAAAGUUAUAUUGAGUUUUAUGGUAAAAGUUAAAUUAAACAAACUAGAAUAUUAUUUAAUAAAUUUUCUGAAAAUUCUAUUCAAACACAAUAUUGAAACUUGAAAUAAAAUACUCCAUUUGUUUCACAAUGAGUGUCACUUUAACUAAAAAAAUUGUUUCAAAAUGAAUGUCAUUUUACAUUUCCAAUACAACUUUAAUUUUUUUUUUCCAACUUUACCCUCAAUAAAUACUCCAACUUUUCUCUUGCACAAUUUUCAAUGCAACUUUAGAUUUUUCCUUUUCUUGACCAGUUUAGUAAAAGUGUUGUGUCUAAUGAUUAUUUCAUUUCAUUCCUUAAUUUGUAUGCAAUUGGCUAAAACAACAUUCAUUUUAGAAUGGAGGGAAUAUUUCGAUGAAAAUGAAUUCAACCCGGAAAACUUGUAUAUUUAAAAAAAACUCAUAUGGGGUGAACCAUGCUAAAUUUAAAAUAGUUAAAGGUGAGAAUGAAAAAUGAAUGUGUAAAAAGUUAAAUGGUAAAAUUGACAUUUUUAAUGGUUUGUCAUGGUGCAUGUAUAGUUGUUGGGGUAAAAUGUAACUUUUUCUCCAAGCGAACAAGAGAACAUAUUAUGCGGUGGUCACACAACUUUGUAGUUUGUGGUCAUUCUAAUCAGAGAAAUGCUAAAGUGCACGACACAUUUUGUCGUGCAAAUCCCACGAACUAUUCAUUCUCUCUUAUAUGCGGCAGCCGCUCUCUUCAACACCAAAAUCCUCUUCGUUCCUUACCUCCACCAGGCAGUGAGAUAACAGUGACGGUGACAACAUCAACGGCGAUGGUCGACAACAGUAGCUACGACGUGGGAGAAACCGAUGAUAGUUAUAUGGAUGCGGAAUGAAAGUCUAGCUACUGAAAACACAUGUCGUGUUAAUUCGUGCUUGAUGGUUGUCGUGCCAUCUAGCAAUGCUCUUCUAAUCAUGACAGCACUGGAUUCCAUGUGAGUAACUUUGAGUUUUGUGACUUUGUUGUUAUAUCUCUCUUAACCAAUUAUUUCCUCUUAUCAAAAUAAUUUGUUCUAAUCAUUAAUCUAUCAAUUAGAUAUACUAAAGUCACAAAAACUCAAAAUCAUCAGGUAUUUUCAGAUGCACUACGGCCAGGGUCGGAAUCUUUUUUCUUUUAGAAAGGGGAAAAGUUUCUUGGUAUGGAAAAUGCAGCGACGAAAAAUAAACGAAUAUAUAUACGCCGUAGGAUAUAUUUUAGAUUGUAAAACAUUUAUGCUUUUAUUUAUUUUAAAAAUAUAACUCCACCGUCCGCAUUCAUCGUGCGAAUCCUGUGCUUUAGUUUUUCGCACUAUAUAGCGUUCCUCUUUGGAAAGACAUGGUGGUGUAAGACAUAAAACAUUACAUCUGAAAUUGCAACCAUACACAGGAUACAAUCCAUGUGAAACAAUUGGAACCAUUGCCUAGGAAAAUGGUUAAGCGUGGCAGAAUUGCAACAACCAAGGUACUUGUUCGGUUGAAGGACACUUUUUCUUAAAUAGGAACUUUAGAGUUUUAUUAUGAUCUUUGAUAUAGCAAAAUGUUCGAGGUCCUUAUGCUAUUAGCAAAUUGUUCGUAAUAAGAGAGAGUUAAAGAAAAAUGAAGGAUAUAGUGAUAUAAUUUAUUUAUAUACUAGAAUGAGGACAUGAAAAUGUAAAGACUAGUACAUAUGACAUAUGAAUAACACUCAUAGGAAAACAACUUCAAAAGCGAAGACAAGCACAAAUGUGAAGACUAGAAAUAUGAACCCGUCCCAACCAACCAAUAUAUUAUUAUAAAUAAGGCCACAUUUAUUCUACCCCCCUAACAAUCCUAGUCCCACACACAACACAACAUUGCUUCACUUCAAAAGAUUGGACCAGCUGCAAGAAUCUCUUCUGUGAGGUUGUCAUCACCCUUUCCAAUUUUGUAGUUGGUGAAGGUUUCAAAAUUCUUCUUGAACAAUCCACCCAGCUUCAACAAUGUCGCAUUGUAGGCGUUUUUGUCUGACCACUGGAAUCCAUCAAAAAUACCAAUUAUUAAUAUCCCGUUUCUAAAUUAGAAGUGUUUUAUUACCACGCAAGGUGAAUAAACGAACUGUUUUAGGAUAACUUACCGCAUUUAUAGGAUCCAGAAUUUCUGAAGGGACACCCUCCACUUCAGUUGGGGUCUGAAGGCCAAAAAUCUCACUCUUCUUGUAUUCUGCCCCCAGGAGGCUUCCAUUGUGAAUAGCAUCAAUUAUUUUUCUAGUAUAACUUAGUUUGAUACGAUUCCCGGUACCAUAGCUGGAUUAAUUUGACAUAGACAAGAACAUCAUGUUUAGCGCGAAAAAACAAAGAAACUCAACAAUAUUGCAAAGAGAAGCACUAAAAGCAUACCUGCCACCGGACCAACCAGUGUUAACAAGCCACCCUGUUGCACCAUGACUCUCCAUCUUUUCAGCAAGCAUUGCAGCAUACUUUGUAGGGUGUAACAUUAUGAAUGCUGCACCGAAACAAGCAGAAAAUGUUGCUUGUGGCUCCUUUAUACCAUCCUCAGUACCAGCCACCUACAUAAAAAUGGUUAGAAUCAUAUAACUGAAGCAACAUUGGUUUAGCAAAUAGUAAAAAUUAGUGAGAAUGAAAUUUAUUACCAGAGCAGUAUAUCCACUGAUGAAAUGGUACAUGGUCUGCGCCAGGGUUAGCUUACUCACAGGUGGUAGCACACCAAAUGCAUCACAUGCCAAAAGAAUAACAUUCUUUGGAUGAGGUCCAACACAUGGUAACUUUGCAUUUGGUAUGUACUCUAUAGGAUAGGCUGCACGAGUAUUUUCUGCAAUAAAAAAUUACCGCAUGUAACUAUCAGCAGAGAUAUAUUUUCUUUUGCGAUGAAGCACUAAUACACACACUAGACACGACGCUAAUAAUAAUUUUGAAAGAUGAAUUAAUUGAAUGUAGUCACAUGUGUCGGACACAUCUUCGAUCAGAAAUGUCAGUGCUACAGUGGUUUCUUGUAAUAGAUCAUUACAAUGUACAAAUCUAAUUAAAAAAAAUCAGCAGCUGACAAGUAGAGGUUUGACUUGUUUAUCUUUGAAAUUAAAAUAUUCGUCUCUUUAUUUAACACCGUCCUAUAAUCCUAUCCAUAGUGCCGUAUUACAGGAGGUUUGUAUUUUAAUUACAAGUGACCUUUCACAAUAACAUAUAGAUUACUUGUUACAUUACAUAUGAAGUACAACUUGUAAGGAUGUACGAAGUCAACUGUUAAUUGGCAAAGACAAAGUCACAGCUUAGUCCUCUUUUGUCAGCUAUAUUGAACAAAUAAUUUUAAAUGAAACCAUCUUAGUCUUUAUACGCAACAAAAAUUGAUGAAGUCAACCAUUAAACAAAAGAGUUAACAAAAUCCAAAUACUAAUCUUAAUAAAAAAAUCGUUGAUUACCUGUAACUGAUUUGUCAGAAUAAUCAACUUCUCUAGUAUGCUCAUCAAACACCACGUUUUCCAACACUGGCAAUGCAAAAGAGAAAACAAAUCAAAAAUAAUUUUCAAUGUUUCGAAAAUUAUAUACGCGGUUGGAAUAUAGACCGCGGUAUAAAAGUUUUUUAUAUUUGUCAAAGAUAAACAUAUACCUGUACCAAACCUAAUUGCAUUCCAGAUAUCAGGCUCUUUCUCCCGGGAGAGAUCGAUGCAUUUAGCAUAACAACCACCUUCAAUGUUGGAGACACCAUUCUCACUCCAACAAUGUUCAUCAUCUCCAAUCAAAUAUCUAUUAUGAUCAGUAGAAAGAGUUGUCUUUCCAGUACCUAUUUUAAAAAAAAAUAAAAAUCCAUUAGAAUUAUAAGAAAAUGAAAACAAAAGCCAUAACUAAUAUCCAUGGCUAAGUAUAUAUGAUAUAUCUAGUGGAGUAUAGGACAAGGAAGGGAACAUAUCGGGGAGCGCAUGGCUGGCUGGAAGAGGUAGCUACAUUGAAUACUAUACCUGAGAGUCCAAAGAAGAGAGCAACAUCGCCACCUUUGCCCAUAUUAGAACCAGAGUGUAAGGAGAGAAUUUGGCGCUUAGGCAUGAGAUAAUGCAUGACACUGAAAAGACCUUUCUUCAUUUCCCCGGCGUAUUGUGUGCCGAGGAUAACCAUUUCCCUUCUAGCAAGAUUAAGAUCAAUGCUAGUGGAAGAUGUCAUGUAGUGAGUGAAACGGUUACAUGGAAACUUUCCGGCAUUGUAUAUAGUGAAGUCCGGAGUACCAAAAUUCUCCAGCUCUUCAGGACUGGGUCGGAUACACCUGUAACCAACCCAGUUAUCGACUUUUUUUUACAUAGUUGGGAUGUUUUGCAUUAUUAUAGUGAUGCUUUUGCAUACCUUUUUAUUUAUACAUAUAUGAAUUAUAUACAAGGCUUUCAACAAUAUAGGAUACUUAUCUGGUGGAGCUUAUAUACCUACCUUUUUGUCUUCAAGGAACAAAAGAGAAACCAAACAACUAGUGUUGGCAAUUUUUUGUUAAGUAUUCUUUAGUUUACACUUACAUGUUGUGCAUGAACAAUGAAUGGUAUGCUCUGGCUGAUACAAUUCUGACUUUGAUUCUGUUCUCUGGAUCCCAAUUCAAGAAUUGGUCGUUCACAAACACCUGCGGUUACAUAGUCAUCGACAUUGUUAUUGUUUAUUUCUUACUUUUACUAAUAAGAUACUUGUGCAUUCGCAAAAGUGACUUUCUUUUUUAUGUAUGUUUAAAACAUUAUUAUAUCGAACGAAAUUUCGAGGAAUGCACUACUCUAUCUUGUUUGCCUUGAGCCAAGAUGACAUUAUAAAACUGAAAUUUAUUGUAAGAAUAAUAAAAUCAACUUGACCUCCCAAACUUGUCCAAUUGGAAUGAAUUAGUUUGAAUUAAUCAAAAAUAAAAUAAAAAUCCUCAUCUAAACCAAAAAGUUUAAUAAAUUUGAUCUUUAUCCAAAAUUAAAUUAGUCCAUCUCAACUUGUAGCCACCCUUAUUAUAAAAAUGGAAGUAAACUACUAAGUCUCUUUGUAGCAACAAAAUAAAUUCCUAAAUAAUCUUUCAACAAAAAGAUAACAAUGUUAACCAAUGAAUUUAUAAAUAAUUUGUUAAUUGAGAUAAGAGAAAAGAUAAUUAACUGAGACAAAGGAAGAGAUAGAUGCUUUUUUUAAUGGAGGCAAUCAACUCAUUGGUCAUAAUACAACAACACAUAAAAGGACAUGCCUUAGCACAGCAUAGGCAUGGUGCUCUAUACUGUGAAAGGAAUUAAAAGCAUAUAUACUUAUUCUCAGCAUGAUGAAUUCUGAGGCUGAGUAAUUAUUUUCUUAAAGAAUGGACACAUAUCUUUUAUCACUUAGCAAUAUGCAAAAUGGUGACAAAAAAUAUCCCCAUAUCCUACUAAAAUACAAAGCACCGCAAAGUAACAUCAUCAAGAUAAUAUUGUGUCACAUAAAGGGUCAAGUAAAACCCACUUGUACAAAAUGACAACAUGCACCAUUUCUAUGUCAUUAUCAUCUUAACUGCCAUGAAAUCUAAAUGUUUUUGGCUUGAAAAUAUUAAAAAAUGAUAUCACCAUUUUUUGUGUGAAAGUGAUGUUAUAUAAUCAUCACUUUUUAAAUAAAAUAUUAUUAAAAUUAUUAUAUAUUAUCACAUUUUUUUUGGAAAAAUAGGAAUCAUCACCUUGUCCAAAGAGUUCAAGUAAUCAACUGCCCUUUCUCUAUUCACCAUGAAAGUCUCCUCAUCCAUCUCAAUGUUAGGAGAACCCCUACAAAUUACAAAAUUUGCACAAUAUUAUUAUAGCAUUAAAUAAUACAUAAUAACCUAUGAAGCUCACACAGCAGAGACACGCAUAAUCCAAAAAGUAUAUGUAAUGAUAUGUGUCGGACGCCAAACAUAUCUAACAGAGACACGCAUAAUCCAAAAAGUAUAUGUGUUUCCUAAUAACAAAUAAAAUUGAAAGACAGAGAUAGAAGCAUCGAAUCAAAUAUUGUCCAAAGUAUGUACUUACUUUCCCCACCAAAGUUCAUUUUCAGUAACCUUAUCCUUAACCACACGCUUGUCUCUAGGAGAACGACCUGUCUUGGCACCAGAAAGUGUUGCCAUUGCUCCAUUGGAAGUGAUGAAUGAUCCUUUCUCAUACUUUAUCGCCUGCUCAUAUAGUUCUACACCAAAUCCAAACAAAACAGAAAACAACAAAAUCAAUUAUACAAUUUCACAUUAAUUAUUGCUACCAAUUAUAUUAAGGUAAGAAAGUGACAAUUUUUUACAUUAACUAUUGUCAGAUUUAUGAUUGAUAACUUUAUUAUCAUGUUGCAUUAUCUUUCAACUGUUAAAUGUAUAUUAAAUAAUAAUGACUUUGAUCAUAAAACGACAAGAUUUAAAUAACUAGCAAUAUUUCAAAUAAAUUUGUUAGAAGGUGACGUUUUAAACCAUUUCGUACACUACAUGUACAGAAUUGAAGAUUAUAACUAUAACUAUCAUCAUAAAUAAAUUAGUUAGAAAAACAUGACCAAAUAAAAAAAUCAUAAAGUAAAAAUUUAACUAAGGGAGGUUUAGAAAUGAAAUGAGUAUAGUACCAGCUGGGGAGAGAUUGUAGAGAACAUGUGUAAAUUUCAAAGCACUGUCACUAACAGCAAUGGUUGGAGUAGGAACAUGAUGGUGGUGAACAUGGUCAACCUUCUGGUUCUUGGCUGGAUCUCCCUUCACCACCUUUGGUCCAGUUUCUCUUGUCAAUGAUGCAAGUGAUGCACUGUUUCAAGAAGAAGAAAAAAAUGUUAACAUAUUCACAAUUUAUUUAAUAAACAUAUAAUUUACACCGCAAAAAAAAAUGAAAAUUAAUCUAGUUCAAAGUUCAUUUCAUAUAUCGUAUCCAAAGACGAUAGGGUGAUAAAUAUCAUUUAAAAUUCAGUGUCUCAGUCUAAUUGAUAUGAUCAAUCCAAAAAUAUCGAUUUUUUUAGGGAAAAAUAUCGACUAUUUUUUAAAAUUGAUUAUCGGGGAAUUUAUUAAAGUAUUUAAUGUGAAUAUUUGUUUUGCUAUUUUUUUUACAGAAAAAAUUAAUUUUCUAUGCAAACGUGUGUGUAUGGGAGAGACCCAAGAUGAAACGCUGAUUUGGUCCCACGCAAUCAGAGCAUUUGGCACCGUCAGAUCCAUCUCAUCAGUUUCUUAGUCAAGGCGCCACAUAAAAUGGGACCCACAAUCCCACCUUUUAGGUUGCCUAAACGGAUUUUCCGCUCGUCUUCAAUUGACUUAACGCUAUAUUGCAAUAAAUAAUUAGAUUUAGUGUAUUACACGUAUUAUAAAAUUUACGCCUUUUUUUCUUCUCUUUUUUGUAUUAAGAAGAUAUUUCUACGCAUAACUCAUAACUCCGAAGACUAAUUUUAGAGUUAGACACAACUAUGAUGUAAACUUGUAACAAAAAAAAAAAAACUAUGAUGUAAACUUCGCAAGAUUAAUACUUUAAUUAUAAGCAUUUUUUUUACAGUACCAAAAAAAAAAAACACUUUUUUAAGGAAGUUAUAAACACUUUUAGCAUCUCCAUCAAUUAGUAUAUAUUAUAACCUUUAAAAAAUCAAUUAUAAUAUUUGAUCAUUAAAAAAUUAAUUGUAGUUAUAACUACGUAAAAAUCCCACAUAAAUAAUUUAUGAUUUAUUGAUGGUAUAAAGUUUCUUAAUACAGUAUGAUCAUUCAAAAAAAAUAGUUUCUUAAUAUUUUGAAUUAAAAUUAGACUCAAAACAAACAAAAAAUUAAUCAUAAGCAAUUGCUUUUACACGUUUUAAGUGUAAUUUUUUAGUGUUUGACUGAAACGUGUAAAAACUUGAAAUUAAAGUGAGAUAAAUGCAGGCACACAAUUUAAUAAAAUCUAACUACAUCACCGCUUUACCACUUUUUCCCAUGACCAUGAAUCAAGCAAUUAUUAAUUAAAAAUGUGACAGAGAUAGUACCUAAUUGAUUGGAGUUGCAAUUUCUGGCGUUCUUGAUCAGAAAUCUGAGCAAAUGGAGUUGAAGUUCCUGUAUUAGGUGUAGAGGGUGCUGAUUUCUUCUUCUGCAGUGAAUGAAGUUCAUCAAUUGUUUUUGCAUUUACGGUGGGACCACUAUCAUCGUGACAAAUCCCGUUCACACUUUUCUUUGUCGUAAUUUUUGGAAGCCCAUUGCUCCCGUUCUCUGUUGCAAUACUUCCAUUUCCAUUUCUGUUUGAUGCCAUUUUUUUUCAAUUUUUUCUCUGCCAACCAAAAAAUAUAAUUAAAUAUAUCUAAUAUAAACAAUGCUUUGUUUGACACUUUCCAUGGUUCAAGAUCAAAGAUUCAAAGUGCAUGUGUUUGACAAAGUUUUGUCAAAGCUUUAAGUACACUUUUACAAAAUCACGGUGGUUUAACCCAAUUAUUUCAAACAUGCACAAAAUAUAUAUAAAGGAAAAAAAAAAAAAAAAACAUGACACUGAUACUACACGAUAUUGAUGUAGUGGUUACAUCCUAUCAUUUUAUCAGUAUUUAUGUGUCGUUGUGGUGUUUACAUAAAUCAUCCUUUGCAUGUUUGCUAUCACGGUGAAUUUGUCAGAACUACAUGUAAAGAGAACAACAUUGUACAGCAAAAUAAAAAUAGAACGAACCAAAGAAUUGUAGCUAUGGAUGUUGCUGAGGAAAUCUGGAAAAUGAGAAAACUAAAGAGAAACAAAGGAAAUAAUCGUAAAAACGACCAUAAGAAGUGCAAUAAUGAUGUAAUGUGAAAGACAAAUAGAUGAUGGAAAUUUGCAAUGUUGGUGAUGUCCUUUUAUAGGGUGCAGUAAUAGCUUCCACUUAACUAGAGUUAGAUAUUAACUAUGGUUAAGGGUAACCAUGGUUAAAUCCUAUCCCUCUUGUCAUCAGCGGUCAAUACUCGACUCAUCAUUAUUCGGAAAUAAGGGGCAGCUGGUUAGAUGACUCUGUAUGUGAAUGACCCAAAUAGAGAAGCCAAUCCUCUGUUUCUCAUAUCCAACGUAGCAUACACUCAUUCACAACUCAUAGUUACAAUAUGUUUAUUAAAUAAACAAGAUCAUGUUACCCUAUAAACAUUUUUCAAUCUUCUUUCUUUAUAACACUUGGAAACUUUGUCAAUAACAGCGUAUCCAUUUUUUAUACUUAUCUAAAACAUGAAAUUAAUAAUUCUUCAAAUACCCCCUCUAAAAUAAAAAACUUCAAAUACCCAACGGUUCUAUAUUUUUUUUUUGUCGGUGAAGUUAUGAUAUGAUUUAGAGCUUUUUUUUGAAGUUAACCUAUAUACAAUUUUUAAAAAUUUAUUGACAAAGACUAGUUGAAAGGGGAAUUGAUUUAUGACGAAUUUUGUUUAAAAAAUCUAUUUCAUGACCAAUUUAAAUUCAUCCUUUUUUUAAAAAAAAAAAUUAACAGCGUAAAAACAUCAAAAAGAAUAUAAGAUACUUCAAAAAAAUUGAAAUUUGUUAUAGACUUUAAUCAUAUGAGAGAGGGAGAGAGAGUCAAAUUUCACGCAUAUAAUGUUAUAAUGUUCAAUGUCAUUUUACUUGAUAUAUAUUUUUUUAAUUUGGUCACUAAAUUAUUUAGAAGUUUAUAUCGUAUAGAUUAUUCAUGUAAAUUUUUACAAAACUCUAAAAUCAUUUGAUAUAUCAUUAAGAUGCACCAAGAUUAACGAUGUUAUAUAAAAGUGUAUAAAUCGUUAAUCUUGAUGUUUUUCAACCACAUAUCAAAUGAUUUUAGAUUUGCGUAAAAAAAUUCAUUAAUGAUCUAUUUGAUAUAAAUUUACAAUCCAACGAUCAAAUUUGAAAAUAUGUAUUGAGUAAAACUCUCAAACUUACAAAUUUGUAUAUACAUACUCUAACCUGCCUUGUAAAUACUUAGAAAUACAUUCAAAAGAUAUAAAAUUUAGGUGUAUUGUGAUCAUAUAGUUUACUACUCUUUUAGUUUGUAGUAAACACACAAAGUUAUUUAUAAAUCUUAUAAUCCUCUAGGUUAAGGUUCGGAAGUCAUCUAGGUUAAGGAAAGAAAUUAUAGGACUAACUUGCCUUAGUGUUUAUUGUUGUAAAAUGUUGGAUUAUAUUGAAAUCUUUCGGUAGUGCGACAUGAUUGCACUAACUCCAUAUUAUGGAGCGAACAAGUAUAAUUUUUUGUGUCCUUUCUCCUUUUCCUUAACUCUUUACAAUAUGCACUUUAUAAUUUGUCCAAUGAUAAAAAGGAUCUUACCUAUCCUCGAAUAAUAGAAUAUAUUAUGCCAAUUUAUCAAAAAUAAAUUGUAUCGAACCACAUCGAUUGUGCUUAGUUUCAAUCGUACUUAAAUUUAAAGAAAUUCUAAAUCAAAUUUGUAAAAAUGUUUUGGUAGUAGGAUCACAAGUAAAAUAUGAUAAGUUUGAGAAAGUUGUGUUGGAAUUAGACUUAGAUAACUUCUCAUCUAAUGGUUCCUCUUAAUCGAUUAUAUAUUUUUCGAGCUUCACAUAUAACUCUACCUAUCCAUCAACAUACAACUCCAUUCCUUGAUGACGAUGCAAAAUCCAUUGAAUAAUCCACUUCUAAUGCUCGGUGGCAAAAUAAUCGAUUGAUUCAAUGGCAAAUGACCGAAUAGUUAUGCAUGAAUAUAGACCUAAUUGAUAUUUCUAGAGUAUUAGCACUUAUACGUGGCUUAAACCAUAUAUGUUUGAUACAAAGUUGAUUCCUUACACUUACUAAAUCAAAAGAACAUUUGUUAAGUGCUCGUCGACAAAAGUAUUAAGAAUAUAUUUAAACCAAAGAUUAUAUUGAAUGCAUAAAUCAUAUACAACUAGCCAAAUUAAGAGUAAUACAUAGAAUCUUAGAUAUUUACAUCUAAUCCCAACACGAAAGAAAUUUUAGUUACAUAUGGAGAGCAUAACUACAAAAACAGGUUAAUUAAUGUUGGAAAAGCACGAAUAAGCUUUAAUCCAAGCUUUCUAGCCCUCCAAUGUUGAACACACACCUCCCUCUUUGUUCUCUCUCUUAAAGUAUUGUAUUACAAGUGAUAAAAUGAAAAUUCUGACUACACUCUUUGGAAAUGGAGUUUUUGCAAGUGUAUGUUCGCUAGGUGAAGUGGUGCUCGCCGAGCGAAUCGAGCUUUCUUUUUUGGACGGAAAAGUUAAUUGUCCUUUGUACUUUUCAGAAACCUUCUUAUUUCACCUAGCGAAUGGACUUUAACAUUUCUCUCUAAAUAUCUCUGUUUUGGCUCGCUUCCACUUCAGUGCAAUCAUGUCAAAAACCUACAAAAAAGCGUUAGAAAAUUUGAACUUUUACUUACACUUAGUAUUUGGUUAAUAAAAGUUACACUCAUUUAAUAAAUGAGUCAAAUUUAAGUAACGAACUUUUACACAAAUCAAAUUCAAACUCUAAGUGCAAGAUUCCACUCGUUUACACACCCCAUUAAUACGUGUACAUAAAGUUAGUGAAUUUUCAUUGUUUCAACUAAUUAUAUUUUUUGGUAUAGAUCGUGUAUUUUGUACACGCAAUUAUAAAGACAAAGAUCGUAAGAAAAAAAUUAUGAAGACAAAGCCGUCAAGCAAGGUAUAUGAUACCAAUUGAUAGCCAAUAUGAUCUCUUAAGAAUUUUAACUUUCUUGCAUCUCUAAGACCAAAUUUGAACUCGAUAAAUGAAUUGAAUCUUCUCAUCUAAACUCUCCUUUUUCUUCUUCUUCUUAAUCUCAUUGCAAAUAGUAGUUUUUAUCUUGGUAGUCAUUCUCUAUAUCAUUCUGAGGCCAUAAUCCUCAAGCCUGCAUGAUAUUUCAUUCUUUUGACAUGGGUUUGAACUACCUUUCAAAUGAGUGACUACAAUAAUAAAAUAGACUUAAGACCUACUAUGAGUGUUGAGACUAAUGAGUGUGUUUCUUACUUCAACUGACCCCUCCGUUAGUAGGCGUUGACUAGAUAUCGUGUUUCCUAAACCAAGAUUGCAAUAGUAUGUAAAGUGAUCUUACAAAUAAGCUAGCUAAAUUAAACUUAAAUGGUUAAUAGUGUUUUUCACCCCUGUAAUAUAUGUCAUUUCCGAUUUUCACCCUUAUAAAAUUUUCGGUUUGAUUUGCACUAUUGUAAUUUUUUUCUUCGGAAAACACCCUUAAUAGGCCAUUCAAAAACCAAAAUUUCUUGAAAAUGGCCUAUUAGAGGUGUUUUCCGAAAGAAAAAAAAAUUACGAGAGGGCAAAUCAAACCAAAAAUUUUAUAGGGACGAAAACAAAAAAUGACAUAUAUUACAGGGGUGAAAAACACUAUUAACCCUAAACUUAAAUGAGUGCAAAAUCUUCAAGACUGCUAUCUUGCCACACCAUUGCUCAUGAUAGCGCACACAAUCAUAAUUCAUAAAUGAGAAAUGAUCAUGGUUUGACAUCAAAAUUUGGAUGUCACAUGCGAUCUUUUAAUUUUUAUUUUUUUACUUAUUUUUUUAAGGAAUUUUGAUUUUUGUUUAUAUUUCUGAAAUAAAUGCAUGUAAAUUGAAAGAAAUAAAAAAAAUAAAAGAGAAAUAUACAAUUAAUAUGACAGGUAUUUUUCAGUAAUAAGAAGAUAUAGGUAUUCUCUCUCUUCUCUUUCUCUCUUGUGAGCUGUCAUCAAAAUCUUAGUUUAUUUUCCUUCAUUCAUCAAAUCAAAGAGGGAGUGAUUUAUGGUCAUUUUUUUUUUUUUUUUUUAUAAAAAAUCAAAGGGUCAAAUUUUGACCCAAAAUCACCCCAACCUCGUUUUUCUCUUUCCCUUUUAUUGAAAUAAGUGAUUUUCAAUUUUCACAUCUAUUUCUUUUUUUCUUUCGUGAUUUCGUCGUCUUAGUGCAACGUUGUUUUAUUCGUCGUCUUUGUGCGACAUUGUUUGUCUUUCUUGUUCGUUCAGGUAUUUGUUCGGAUCAAAUUAUCAUAUCAGCUUAAAUCCAGGGCAUAUCCAAUCAUUGACUUUUGCGUCAUCAACGUUGUAGAUCCGGAGACUUGAAUAUCGUCAUAUGUGUAUGUUUUUGUACUUUGUGUGAGUUUGUUCGCAGAUUCAUCCUUUUUGAUGUUAGCGAAUUUGCAUUGUAUCAGUAUACUCUAUCAAUCUGAAAGAAUGAAUAUCAUUUCUAUUAUAUACCUUAAUAGGCCAUUCAAAAACCAAAAUUUUUUGAAUUUUUUUUUUUUUGAAAAUGGUCUAUUAGGGGUGUUUUCCGAAAGAAAAAAAAAUUACGAAGGUGCAAAUCAAACCAAAAAUUUUAUAGAGGCGAAAACCGAAAAUGACAUAUAUUACAGGGGUGAAAAGCACUAUUAACCCUAAACUUAAAUGAGUGCAAAAUCCUCAAGACUGCUAUCUUGCCACACCAUUGCUCAUGAUAGCACACGCAAUCAUAAUUCAUAAAUGAGAAAUGAUGAUGGUUUGACAUCAAAAUUUGGAUGUCACAUGCGAUCUUUUAAUUUUUAUUUUUUUACUUAUUUUUUUAAGGAAUUUUGAUUUUUGUUUAUAUUUCUGAAAUAAAUGCAUGUAAAUUGAAAGAAAUAAAAAAAAUAAAAGAGAAAUAUACAAUUAAUAUGACAGAUAUUUUUCAGUAAUAAGAAGAUAUAAGUAUCCUUUCUCUUCUCUUUCUCUCUUGUGAGUCGUCAUCAAAACUUUAGUUUAUAUUCCUUCAUUCAUCAAAUCAAAGAGGGGGUGAUUUAUGGUCAAUUUUUUUUUUUUUUUUUUUAUCAAAAAUCAAAGGGUUAAUUUUUGACCCAAAAUCACCCCCAACCUUGUUUUUCUCUUUUCCUUUUAUUGAAAUAAGUGAUUUUCAAUUUUCACAUCUAUUUCUUUUUUUCUUUCGUGAUUUCGUCGUCUUAGUGCAACGUUGUUUUAUUCGUCGUCUUUGUGUGCGACGUUGUUUGUCUUUCUUGUUCGUUCAGGUAUUUGUUCGGAUCAAAUUAUCAUAUCAGCUUAAAUCCAGGGCAUAUCGAAUCAUUGACUUUUGCAUCAUCAACGUUGUAGAUCCGGAGUCAUGGGUAUUCCGGAGACUUGAAUAUUGUCAUAUAUGUAUGUUUUUGUACUUUGUGUGAGUUUGUUCGCAGAUUCAUCGUUUUUUAUGUUAGCGAAUUUGCAUUAUAUCAGUAUACUCUAUCAAUCUGAAAGUAUGAAUAUCAUUUAUUUUUGUAAAAAAAAAUAUAAAAUGACAGGUAUUUUGAUUUUGGACUACUCAAAUAACUCCCAUGCCAAAUUAUCAUUCAUUGUAGAUCAUACCAAGCAAAGAUGGGUCUAUAUCGAAAUCAACCCAAAAUCGAACCACAAACAAAUCGAAAAACAACCAAAAAAGUAAAAGAGCUAACGGCGGCUGAUAUGAGCCCAAUUCAGAGGUCACCACGGGCAGAAAGUGAAGGAAAGAGCCCAACAAAAAAGUAAUUAAUUUUAUCUAAUAUUUAUGGUACAAUUUUAUUUUAUGUUUUAAUUAUAGAGGAAAUAUGUUUGUUUAAAAUUUUUAAAACAUUGUAAGAAAGAUGAAAACAUUGAAAAAUGAAUUGGGUUUCAUUUGAAACGUGGUGGCAUGGCCAUGGUUGGUAUUUUUAAAUUGAUUUUUUUUUUUUUUUGGAGAUGAUUGAUUAUGUUUCUGUAGUGUUGUUGUCUUGAUAAAAAAAUGUUUUGUACUUUCCCUUUGCAUCUGGUCAGAGAUAUCGAGAAGUAGUCUAUUGAACCAAUUAAUAAAAUACUACUAAUAAUAAUACUCCUAAAAGGAUAUCAUCAGUGACGUUAAAUAAAAGUCAUUAAAAAUAUAAAUUUGAUUUUGGAAAAAUUAUAUUUUUAAUGACUUCUAUAAAAUAAUACUAUCAAUUUUGAAAACGCUAAAAAGGUUUAAUGUAAAUUAGAAUUGAAAAGUAGAAAUGUAAAGACUUAAUUGAAAAGGUUUAAUAUAUUUUUUUUUUUGGCAGGGUUCAAACCUCAAAUCUUAUAUAUAUUAUGCAUUAUUUUUUUUCAACUGAACUAAACUCACGAGGACCGCAUAGUGUAUGUUUAUGAGUAUGGUACCAGGUUCGAUUUAUAUUUCAUUCAUAAAAUGUUACUACCAUAUAAGACAUAUCUUUCUUCCUUUUUAAAAAUUUGUCUUUAUCUUUCAUUUAUUUCUAUAAGUUAUUUUCUAUGUUCACACACUCAUGUUUUGGAUCACAGCUGUAAAUGAACUUCUUUCAAUGGUUAGUGGUAAUUUGGAAGGCAGACAUGAUCCUAUUCACGUGAAAUUAAUGCACAUUAAAAUUGGAUCAAUGGCUAUGAUGUAAUAUAUGCUGAAAAAAAGUACAAAGGACUAACAAAGAAAGUGAAUAUUUAGUAAAUCAAAGAGGUUACAUUACAUAAUGGUUAUGGAGUUGAUAACUGAGGGAGGGGAUAUGUGGUAGAGGUCGCAUUGUGAGUUGUGAAUCUUUACUUUUAUUUUCUCUGUUUGCUUUCAUUUUCACCAUUCCCGUGUGACGGAAAACUUGAGGUGAAGGAAAUCUGUCUGGAAUCAAAUACUAACACUUGUAAAGAUAUCAUUAUUUAUCUUCCUCUAAGAGGAUUAUUAGUAUUACAUUGUAAAUGUCCUUGUAAACAUAUAUCCAUCCGUAAGAACAUUACAAUAUGAUACUCGCGAGUUUAACUUAAUUAAUAGAACAUUACAUAAUAUAUAUAAAGGUUGAGGUUCAAACCCGAACAAGUCACUUAUUUACCUUAAAAAGUGAAUAAUAUAACCACUAUAUUACUCGGAAGAAGAAAAAAACCGUUGUAAUAUGCAGAUGUAUAUGUUUAAAUUUGAAAUUCUUCACUUAUUUACUUUCAAUGAUGAAGUUCUGAGCACAAUAUUAUUGUUUGGGAAAAGAAAAAAAAUUACCUUAUUCUAUUGAGAGGAAAAAGGUAUUACGUUGUGUACUUGUAUUCGGUAUGGCAAUAUUUUGUUCCAUUUAGGGGAGGUUUUAUUUACGUACUAGAGUAUGUCAUAUCUUCUUGGAGCAAUAAAGUACUAAAUACAUUAUACUCCAUCUCUCUGAAAAUAAUAUUAACCGUUUAUGUUUUUGUCAUUUUCACAUAUACCAAAUUGUUCAUAUAAAAAAUAAAACUAAAUAGUAUAUUUAAUAUAUCUAAGAUUGAACAUUUUAUUAAAAUAUCUAUUAAAUAUAUUUUUAUUAAAAUAUCUGCUUUUUUUUUUAGGGGUAAAAUAUCUGCUUUUGUCUAUUUUGUUUUUGUCAUUUUCAUAUAAACAAUUAAUUUAACUUGAAAGAAGAAAAUUCAAAAUUAGAUGUGUAGUAUUUUUUUUUUUUUAUUAUAAGAAUCCAAACUCGGACCUUUAUUUCUCAUCUCCUUUAAUCUUUUAGCUCAACUAUGUGAGCUACCCAUCUUUUUAAUCUCUAAACUCAACUACAUGAACUACUUAAUAUUUUGGGGCACACCUUUCAAAGAUGUUUAUAACAAUUAUUUAAAAAAAAAAAUCAUUUUAUUUGACUAUAUUAACAACAAAAAAAAAUUGUUCUUGUAUGCUUAGCUCAGGGACCCCACUUAUUCACCUUAAAAAGGAGAAUUUCUAACCACUUGACCAAAAAAAAUUACAAUUACAAAAUUAAUCUUAUUAGAAUUAAUAAUUAUCAUAAAUAUUUAUUAGAGUACUCAAUUCGAUCUUAUAUGUGAAUUCUGAAAAAUGACAAUGUAAUAAAAAAAACAUAUAUUAUAAUCUUGUGAAAAAUUAUAUAACAUUUCAACCGCAAAAAAUUAAACUUUUAUGAUAAAUUACUGAUUAAUUAUGAAUUUUUAAAGCACUAAAAACUCAAAAAAUAAAAAAUGGAAAUUUCAGCUGAGAAAUUGAAUUUUGAGUUGAUUGUUUUUAGAGACAUCUAAUAAAAUACAUAGAAAUGAUCUACAAAAUUUUAUAGCAUUUCGAAGACGCCAUGGUUUAUUUUGAUUUUUCAACAAAAACUUGCUAAGUUGCAAUUUUGAUCGGAGUAAACAUUACAACUCUUGAGUCAAAUCAUGUCCUUUAAUUUUGUGGUCAUGGUUAAAAUAUCGUAAGAACCUUCAUCAUGAAAUUUUUAAAUAAGGGACGACAUAAUUAUGUAUUGAUUAAGAAAUUCUCAAUUACAGGGAACAAAAAUUCAUAAUUAAUCCUCACUUUAUCGAAUAUUUUUUUUUUGAUGGGAAACAGUAUUUUAACAUUCUAAAUAUGCUUGCUAAAACAUCAUGAAAAAACUCAACCUCUAAAUCACUUCUCUGAUCUUCGUGUAUAUUAUGUGGUAAAAAAGAAUGUGAAUAUCAAAUUAUAUGGAUAUAAUAUGAGAAAUAUGUUUUUUUAUUUUACAAUGUCAAUUUUCAAACUUCGCGUAUAUUACACGAUCAAAUUAACUCAAAAUAAUAAAAUAAUCAUGCAAAUUAUCAAGCAAGUGCAUGGAUGGCUUUUAUGAAAAUAACAUGGGUUAAUGGUGCUUUACCCCCUGUAAUAUAGGUCAUUUUUUGUUUUCCCUCCUGUAAAUUUUUUUUUUUGGAAUACCCCCUAAUAGAUCAUAAAAAAUGACUUUAUUUUUAUUUUUUUUCAGAAUUUUUUCGUUUUUUUAUGACCUAUAAAAAUUUAUAGGGGGGUAAAUCAAAAAAAAUAUUUUACAGGGGGAAAACCAAAAUGAGUAAAGCACCAUUAACCCAAAUAACAUUGAUUAUCUUUCUACCUUCUUUCCAAUUUAUGUAGGGCUCACCAAACUCAGUUCUUGCAUUCCAAAUAAGGGAAAUCCAAUUCCAAUGAUUUUUCUUGUCCUACAUGGAUCUUUUUAUGCAAAAUUAAGGGAAGUCCCCUUUUAAUUCUUUCUACUUUAUUUUUAGGCAAAAUUAACAAACACCCCUGUCUUGGACGCAUAUGUACCGAUACGUAGAAAAAUAUCAUCAAGUGUUUCACAUCAAAUGUUUUUUUGAAGAAUACAUCAAAAUAUUCAUAGUUUUUAGCCGGAAACCAACAUUGACAUCUAUCCAGCUCAAUAAUUAGGAUUAUGUGGUAGCCAGCGGCGGAGUCAAAAAAAAAUGUCAGGGUGGACCACUAAAAUUAACUAUUGAAAAAUUGUUUAAAGUCUCACAAAUUAAACCUAUAAUUGAAUUAUUUAAAUUUUUCGGGUGGACCACUAUACCAAUUUGCGGAAAUUUGGAUCAACUGAUACCUAAAACCGACAUAAAUUUGUAUAAAAUCUCACAAAAUAGACCUAUAAUUGAAUUAUUUAAAUUUUCGGGUGGGACACUGCACCUUUUUGUAGAAAUUUGGAUCAACCAAAACAUAAAAUCGAUACAAAAUUGCAUAAAAUCUCGCAAAUUAGACCUAUAAUCGUUGAUUUUUUAAUUUUUCCGGAUGGACAUGUUGAAUAGUUCUCACCAUUUAUUAAUAUAUUUCAUCUGGCUUUUUUAAAAACAAAUGUGGAGAUAUUUUCUUGACAAGAAGACACCAAGGCUAAGAGCACCCUACCUAGUAGAACAACCUAAAGAACUUGGGCCCCACCCAAACUCUCAAAACACAAAUCAAAUCCAUCUCCGACCAACACACCGAACCUUAUUGGUUUCAACAAGGACGAGCUCCACCUUCCACUUAUAAAGUAAGCAAUGAUGUGAAUGGUGUAUGGCAAAGAACCACUUCCAUUAAUGAAAUUGGAUUCUAUCGAGUAGAUGCUCAACCUCAACAAGUCUUCCAAAAAAAAAAAAGUAAAUUAUUUCGGACUUUCCAAAUAGAUCACACAGUUGCAUGCUAGACCAAAAGGAAACCUAGCCUAUACCGCCUCUUUGCCUUUAAGAAUACAAACACCUGAAACAACACCACCAAAUUACCUGACAAGACCCACUCCCAACCUAACCGCCUGCAAAUAUCGUACCAAACUCUCGCCACAACUCAACAUGACACAAAUAAAGAUCCACCGGCUCCAACCCUUUCCACAUAUCCCACACCAACAUUAACUAUAACCUAACGAUUGAAAAAAUUAUGACGCGAAGGGACCUUAUAUAUGAGAAAUUUCCUAGAAAAGACCUGCAGUAUUUAGGGGUCCCAACUCUUCAUCAAUUAUUUAUAUUCUGAUUUCACUUGAUACAAAAAUACAAAUUCAAAAUAGGAUCAACCUAAUCUUCUUCAACCAUCCUACAAGUAUAUAAGUUUAUUGGAAAAAUUACAUGUUGCUUUACAUCAAACCAAAUCCCUCUAUCAAUAACUCUACAUAAAAUGACAUAACACACAACCAUUACGUGAAGUGAUUAUAUUUGAAAAAAGAUGUACUAAAUUGGUUGAUUUACCACACGAGUUUUGCCCAAGUUAGCACAUUGUUGAUCAAAGUUCCUCAACUAAACUCUCGUCUCCUUAUAAAUGCAUUUCGAUUCCCCCAAAGCUAGUAGAAAAAUUAUUCAAGAGGUAUUUUUGAAAUAGUAUAUGCGAGGGAGUGAGAAUAUCAAAAUUAUAGGGUGCGAAUAACAAACGUGAAAUAUGUUUAGAAAUUAAGAAUAGUUGGGGUCAUAAGAUUAUAAAUUUUUUACAAAAAAAAAAAAAAAAAAAAAACUAAAGAUGCUUUACAACAUGUAUCUUCGAAGAUUUGAUAAAAAAAAUAAAAUAAAAAAAAAACCUUGUAUCUCCAAAGAUAUUAAGCUCAUACAUUAGUUAAACUGAAAAAUAUUUUUGUAAUAACCAAAGUGAACUACCAACCAACACAAUUAUAAAAUUAACAUAGUCUGAAAUGUAGUUAAAGCAUGUUGCUGACCUUAAAUUACAGUAAUCUUUUUUUUUAAAAGCUACAGCAUAGGGUUUGCAGCUUAGUGAAUAGCAUGAUCAGAAGGAGAACAAGUAAGAACACAAGAAAUAGCAAGCCAGUUUAGAAUUUGCAUCCAAAUGAUCCCAAAAAAUUCAUAUUCAAAACACAAAUUAUUAACAUAUUCAUUUAUCUCCGGAAGUAGCACAAUUGUUUCUAAUACUUUUUAUAUGUUAUCAUUACAUUUAAACUUUGAGGUUAAGUUCAUUAAGGAAUAAGCAAAUAUGGUUGCUCAUAUCCUUGUAAAGACAACAAUUUCAUGGCUGGUGAAUGUAGUUUUGAGCUUGUUCAUCCUUAUAUUCAAUAUGUGUUGCGUGAUGAAAUGAGUUAUAUAUGCUUAUUUUGGUAUAAAAAAAAAAACUGGAAAAAGAAAUACUCAACUUAGAUUAGGUCCAAACAAAACUGAAAAAACAAACCAAAUCAAAGCAGAAUUACCCAUUCUUUUGAAUUUUGAAAUCCAAUGAAUUGAUGAGUUAUAAGUUGUUGUUUUUUGAAAUAUAUGAUAACCAUGGACCCAAAAAAAUUACACCAUGUUAAUUUUUAUGCUCAUUACUUACGGACACCACUUGUGUACCAUUAAGGUACCAAUGUUAUAUAACAUUGACCAAUAAGAGUGUGCCACAUACCAAUGUUAUUUUAUAAAUAUUUUAUUUGAUAUGUAUUUUUUAAAGUGUGUGCCACAUGUCACACCUUAAUUAGCUAAUGUUAUAUAACAUAAUGAUAAGCAAGUGGUAUCCCAUUACUUACACCCACCAAGACUUAACCUAGGGCCAAUAUGAAAAUACAUUACAUUAAUGGCUUCACACGGUCUACUUCUAUUUUCCGAUUCAAUCUUUUUCUCAAACAACACUACUCAAAACAAAACCCUAAAUUUAUCAUCUCUCGUUGAUCUAGUGUCACCACUUCAAGCUCCAGUGUCGCAGCUGUUAGUAUCUCUUUAUGUUUCAAGCCUUAUAUCUUUGUGACUAAAUUUAGUUUUCUACUUUGUUUUCACCUCCUUCCGUUUAUGAAGUUUUAAAUGGUGAUAUUGCAUGUUGCAGUUGUUUUUACGUUUCUACGCACCUUCGUUUGGUUUUACAUGUUUUCCUAUCGAUUAUGUCUUUUUUAUAAAGUUUGCUUUGUUCCUUGAAAGUUGAUUUUAAGAUUGAAACUCUGUAUUCAAAAGAUGUUGUAUUUUCAGGUGAACUGAACAUCAACAAUUUAGUUUGGUUUGCUACAACUACUUAAAAAGAGUUGAAAAUCAAACCAAAUUGAUAUAGAUUCAGUCGGUUUCGUCAUUUUUUAAAUUGAAAACUCAACCAAACGUUACACCAAAGUUACCAAACAAUGUGUCUAGAAUUGUGUUUGAAACCUAAAACAUAUUGACUUUUACUUUUUCCAGCCUACGCUUUACUCACACACCCAAUUUUUUUUUUUUACCAAAAUAUCUUUUGCUCGAAUUCUUUAAUCCAAACCAUGUUUCAUACUCCCUCCGUCCCAUUUUAAUUUAAUUGAACCCUUGGCUCAUUUCACACUUAUUAAGAAAAAGUGUAAAAGUGAAAGAGAGAGAAAAAUGAGUUUGAGUGUCCUUAUCAACUAUUGGUGCAUUCUCUUUAUCAUAAAUGCAAAGUAGAAUAUAUUGAAUUGAGAGUGGUGAAAGUAAUAUUAAUUAGUUUUAUAAUCGAAAAAAAAGUAAUUAAUAUUGUAUUGAAAAGUGAAAUGAGUCAAUUUUUUCUGAAACAAUAUUUUUUUGAAAAUGGUUCCGGGGUAUUAUAUAAUCUGAAUACUUGUAUUGCUCAAGAAGACAUAUUUUUUUUGUAUGAAAGGUCAACGGUUAAAGCUCAUUGUAGAAGAAAAGAGGAGAGAAAGUGAGAUGGGAUGAGAAUUUAUGAAGAAUGAGUGAGUAUUUAGGCAAUUUCUAUGGUUCACCCAAUAUAUUUGAAGUGUAAGUGUGUUUUCUUGUGCUUUCUCCACCAAAAAUCAUCAAGAGUAAACCGAUCUAUUGUUGGAUCAGAUUUAUUAACAUGGCUAGUUUUGAAAUUUGAGUCUUCUGUCGUGGUUCUCGAUUCAUAUAUGUUGUUGGAAAAUAGUAAUUUUUGGAAUUGGAUGAUUUUCGGUUUGUAUUGUGGAUUGAAAGUUUAUGAUUUUUCUGGAAAUCCAAAAACGUUUUCAACCUCAUGGAUUAUGAUUAACAUGAAUAAUAUGCAAUUCAAUGAAAAAAAGGCCAUAAUUGUAUGAGAUUCAAUUCAAUAAAAUAAGGGUAAAAAAUGGUUUGUAUGAGAUUCAAUUUAAUCAAUUUUAAAUUUGCAAAGAGGCACCAUGAAAAGAGAGACGAUGGCGAGCAAUGGUUGAAAGGAAGUAACAUGCUAUGAUUGUAGAAAUUGAGAAGAAACAAUGUGUUUCCUUCUUCUUCUUCUUUAUUGAAAAAUCAUUCCAUAAUUAUUAAGGUUUUUUUGUACGUAGAUGUAAGUUGAAGGUUUCUGAGAAUUACAUAAUAUCAGGUAAGAAUAUGUAGGGGUGAAUCCAUGGCUAAUUAGGAAAUGUUAAAAAUGAGUGAAAAAAUAAAUGGGUUAUAAAAAGGGUAAAAUUGGAAAUAUAAGUAUUUUGUAGGGGUGAAGGUAUAAAUGUAUGGGUAUAGGGUACAAUUUCCUUUAUCAAAACAUACAAAGCAUUGGGCUUUGAUAGCAUAUAUCACAGCUUGGGCCUUACAAAUGGAAAAAAAAAUGAAAAUUGCUUUUCAACACCUCGAUUUUCUUUUUGAUCGGAUCGUAACUUUCGAUCAGCUAUUUUUAUGUGUUAAAAGCCGAUCGAGUGUAACUUUGGCAAUGUAUUUUCAGCAAAGCGAACAAUUUUAAGGUGCCUAAAAAGCAAUUGUCAAAAAAUAUUUUUCUAAGCCCAGCAUGAGUAUGUAUGGUAACGACAAGUUGGGCAUCCACUUGUUUUCUUUUUCUGAAGGAUUGGGUAUCUACUUGUUGCGAAGGCAAAACUGAUAAAUAGAUGAUGCGUGAAACUUGAGAAAGAUCUUACAUUAAAAAAUGUUUAUGAAAACACAAACAUUUCGUCAAAGCUAAGCUUAAGCCAAGUUCUCAUAUUUUUGGAUCUCACGAGCUGAACAUGAUUUUUGUCUACCAAAAGUAUGACCAAGUUCAAUUUAUUUGCACAUGAAGAAGCAACCUAUCAUAUCCCAGCAUUUGUUACUUGUAUGGACCAUCCUCGUGGCAAUAAGUUUAUGCUUAGAUAUAGAUGUAAAAGCUUAGAAGAAUUUUUCUUUAUUAUUGGGAUUUACAAUAUUUUAAAUUUUCAAUAAAAAAACAAAAGUAGUCCCACACUCAUGAGCAUCACCUAAAAGGGUUCCAAAAGUGGGCGCAAAUUAAGGAAAAUUCCUCAAUAUUCCUCAAAAGUGAAAGAAACGGCCUUUGGUCCAGCCAUAAAGAUUAAAAUUAUGACUGUAUUCAAUGGGAACUUUCCAUAGCUUAAAAAGUUAAAUGUCAAAUUCUUAAUCCAAUGUUAUUUGAACAACCAUUUCUUAUGACAACCUUUUGAACAAUUAAAUUAUACAAAGAAAUUUAGGUAGUGACACAAAAAUCAAAGCAAUAGAGAGAUAAAGUAGAAUGAUAAUGUGAGUAUGAAAGAGAAAGUUGUCACAAAAGUUGUCAAAAAAUGGUUGUUCAAAUAUCAUUUCUCUUCUUAAUAUAUACUCCCUCCAUCCCAAAUUGUAUGACGUUUUGGACAUUUUACACGUAUUAAGAAAUGUAAUUAAUUUUGUGUUGGAAAGGGAUAUUAUGAAUUGUUUUAUAAAAUUGUCCUUAGUAAAUGAUAUAGGAAAAAUAAAUGAAUGACUUGGAAGAAGAGAAAGUAGUAAAUAGUUAAGGAUAUAAUAAGAAAAAUAAUAUUAAUGCUUCAUUGGUAUUGUAAAGCGACGUAGAAUUUAGGACAAAUUUUUUUCCAAAGCAACGUACAAUGGAGGAAUUAACUCACUUUUUCUUUGUUCCACGCAGAUGUUGCUUCCAUAUUUUACUACAUAUAUAUUUUCUCAAUCUUUCAUAAAUUUCUGAUUCAGAUAGGGUGUGUAUUUCACCAGUAGUACUGCUAGUAAAUAUAGAUUUUAUAACUAAAGGAUUCAUUGAAUCAAAUAUGGAUUUUAUAACUAAAUGAUUGAGUUCCUCUAAAAAAUUAAGUGAUUGAAUUUACUUAGUUAACAUAUUUACUUUAUAUACAAAUUGUUUGAAUAUGUUCCCUAUAAAGAUAAAUUGUUUCAAAAAUCCAAGUUUAAAUUCUUGUUGUAACAUUUUUUUGUUGGACUUUGUUUUUUACUUCUCAGAUGACUCUGGUUGUAACAAGAUUUUACGGUAACAUUUAAUAAAAGAAAAAGAAAGAUUUUACGAUGAUGAUUGUUAUUUUUAGUGUUUAUUAUCCCUACAAUUCUUGGGGAAAAUGAAUCAUGAUAAUCCAGAGUUUGACUGAGAGGUAAGUAACGUCUGAUAAAAACUAUUAUGCACAAAAAUUAAACUCAAACUCUUCUAAACAAUUUAUCAGCAAUUACUUGGUUACGAUGACGAUGAUAGAAUCAUAUAAAAAUAUCAAUUUUCAUGUGAUAUAUACGAUGUAAAAAUAUUAACAUAGUCUCUUGAGCUGACACUAAUAAUAUAUAAUUCUUAUAUAGUUAGUUCAAUGCAAGUCAGUUAAGUGGAAAGAAUGUGACUUCUAUAAAUCUAAUAUGACAGUUGUAAAAUGAUAAUUAAUAGGUAAAUUCUAUGGUACACCCAAAGAUAUGAGUGUAUUGGUACACCAAAUUAUUAAAUUAAUAGUUAAAUGUGUUAUUUUUUGAAGAGAAAAAUUGUUUUCUAUCACCUAUAAUUAUAAUAAUUAAAUCUUAUUUAUCAAAAACAUCGACGAAAUAAAAUUUGAUUUUUCUGAAUUUUUAGUACUCGUAAUAGAGAAUUUUGAUUAUUUUUUACAAUAAAUGUAAAAAAAUUAGUAUGAUUUUUAUAAACAAUGAAAUGAUGUUUUUUUUCUUAUGAAAUGAUAUUUUCUAAAAUAUAAAUAUCAACAAAUAGCUUUUUAUUUCAUAAAAAUGAUAGUUAAUUUAUAAAUUUUUGAAGUAAGAGUACCGGUACACCUUAAUUUACGGGUGUACCGUAGAAGUUCCCUAAUUAAUAUUUGUAUAAUAAUAAUAAUUUUCUCUUUUUCAAGCCAGAAGCCAAACUAAUGAUGGAGAUGUUGAGAAAGGUCGUGACAACAAGGUGAAUAAAGUACUAUUAGGGCAUUAGUUUAACUGAUUAAAAUAUGUUAGAUGUGGAGGUGCAAUAGAAUUUUACCACCUUGCUGAAUACUAAGGUUAAAGGGUGCAGAAAUAAUUGCACAGUAGGGUAAUUAUCGUUUUUUAACUAAGAACUCAAUGCUGCAAUUAUUGAAUUCAUUCAGCUCCAUCCCAUUCCAAAAUGGUUAAUAAGUAGGCUUUUAUCUUUUUUUAAAUAAAAUUGCAACUAAAGAAACACACCAACUUGUACCCAAAAUAAGAAAACCACACACAACUAAUAACCGUUGAUUGAUAUAUUAAUUAUAUAUGCUAUAAAUAAGCACAGCCAUAUGUUUUCCGUUGAAGAUGCAUAUACUUUUCAUAUCCAUUAUCUUGUAUGAAUGAAUUUCCCACAUUUAAUGCAGAAUGGAGUAGAGCACAUGUACACUUCUAUAUAAUAAUGAUUUUGUUGGAAGUAUAGAUAUAUAAGUAUAAAGAAAUGAAGAAAAACUGAAUGAUGACUUGAACUAUUAUUGAUGAGGAAUAGAAUAUGUAUACAAAAAAAAACUGAUAAGGUUGAACACCUAACCAACCUACAAGUAAGAUAACUACAAUAACAUAAUAAAAGGAACCUCUAACAAACUAGCUAGUGAAUUGUUCUUUUAUCCAAUACCCCCACAAGUUGGAGUAAAUGUCAAAAACUCCAAAAUUGGACGUGAAAUGAUGAAAAUGUCAAUAACCAGAUUAAAAAAAACAAGAUAAGGUCUUUUUUUUAGAGGCGGUAAGAUAAGGUUCUAGUAGAAUUUAUAAAGAGAAGAUACAACUAUAAUUUUAUAAAUCGGUUUUAUACGGAUGUGUUUGAUCCAUUAUAGUCAAUUAUGGAUAGCGAUGCGUAGCAAUCGAUCCUAAAAAAUGGAUAACGUGAUAGCGUAAACAGUAUGAUAAAUAGCGGUCAUCGUAUUUUUUGUAUAAAUUACAUGAAUAAUAUUAUAAAAAGGAAAUGCUAAUGAGUGCCCUUGGAACAUCAUAGAAAAUAUGGGGGUUAGGAUUGGAUAACGACGCUCUAGCAAUACUAUAAGCAACCUUAUUUGCUUGCCUCCGAACAUACGACACUACAAAGUCGGGUUUAUCUAACAAUAGAUUCCUACAUUGUGAUAUGAUAUCUCGGAACUCAUUGCUAGGAACAUUUGAAACAGAAAGUGCAUCAACUAGGGACUUGCAAUCUGAUUCAAAGCAAACAAUGUGCAAUCCCUUUGAUACUGCCAUUUUGAUAGAUUCAAGCAAACCAAUGGAUUCUGCUUCUAGUAUCGUGGCGGUGAAAUGUGACACAUCUGAUUUUUCAAAUAAUAGUUGACCCGAGGAGUCUCUAAAGCACAUACCGUAUCCCAUGAUAGAGUUGUCGUUGAAGGUAGCUGCAUCGACGUUACACUUUAUCACACCAAUCGGAGGUUUUGACCAAGUAAAGGUAUGAUCUAAGUUGCGUUCUUGAAUUUUGACUCUUUGCAUACAAGUCCAUUCAUGGAGAGCAUCCUUGGCACGGUUGACAAUGAAGGUGGGAGAGGUGUCAGUGGACUCUCAAAGUUUAGUGUUGUGGCUCUUCCAUAGGCUCCAAAGGGUCAUAGCGGUUAGUGUUUGUUGUUGCGUCGAUAGCCUGCCAAGUAAGUCAAACAACAUUACAGUAAAGUCAUUAGCCUCGUGGAGUAGCUCAUAUACAAUAUUAUCAAUGCCAAUUAUGCUCCAACAAGCUGCAACUUUUGAACAAACAAAAAAUGUAUGCAUCUGCGUUUCAGCCAAGAGAUUGCAAGACAUGCAAGUAUCAUCACAAGGAAUACCACGGUUGAUAAGAUUGGUGCGUGUAGGAAGACAUUGGUGACCUAAGCCCCAAAGGAAGGAUCGAACCCGGUGUGGAACUUUUAGGUUCCGUAGGAACUGCCAUGGAACACUACCUUGCAUAGGGACGGAUGCAUGAAGAAGGUCGAUACAGAUUCGGUAAGCGGACUUGACCGUAUAGGACCCAUCUGUUGUUACCUUCCAAAUGCGAGAAUCUUCUCUUAAGCGUGCAUAAAUAGGAGUGGUGAGAACAGCAGCUGCAUCCGAUUGAUUAAAGAUAGAAUUUACCAUUGCAUGAUUCCAAGAGUUCAAACCCGGAUUCAACAAAUGAUUCACUGUGAGAUCUUCAUAAUAAAGUGGUGGACGAGUAGAAGGCUUGAGGGAGGGGAGGUUACGGAUCCAAGGCAUAUUCCACACAUUAAUUUUCGUACCGUCACCAAUUUUCCAUCUAUAACCCAAAGUAAGCAAAUGUUGAGUACUCCAAAGAUUCCUCCAAGUAAAGCUUGGAUUAUGACCGAGGGAGGCAUCCAAGAAAUCCCUUCGUGGAAAGUAUUUGUCUUUGAGGACACGAGUAAGUAAGGAGGUAGAGUCGGUCAAGAGUUUCCAACUUUGCUUACCAAGCAUAGAGAGAUUAAAUGCUUCCAUAUCACAAAAGCCUAGAUCUCCAUGACUUUUGUGUAGAGUACUCACAAAUUUAUAAUUUAUAUAACACUCAAAUGUCAUAAAACAUUCAUAAAUCAAAGCAUCAAAAUACAGAAGACAGAGGAACAAUUAUUAACAAAAAAAAAAAAAAGAGGAACAAAUAAAAAAAAAUCAUAAAAUAAGAGAAACAAUAAAACAAAAGAAAACAUAGGACGAAAAAAAUUGAGAAAGAAAAAAAUGAAAACAAAUAAAGAGAGGACAAAGAAGAAGAAAAUAGAGAAAGAGAACAUAGAUCAUGUGAGUUGAGAACAUAGAAAAGAGAGAAGAGAUCUCUAAGUCGUGUUUUCCAGUUUGUUGUGUUUCAAGGCACAAAUGAGAAGAUAGAAAGAUUUGAAAAAAUGUUAGGGUUUACGAAAUUUUCAAAAUGUAAAAAAAAAAAAAGGUUUUAAAAAUAUGGUCAAUUUGGAAAUUUCCUAGUAAAAUCAAAUAGUCGCUGAAGCAUUCGAUUUCUGCUCCAUUCUGACAUUAUAGCACCUGAAGUGGCCACUAUUUGAUUUUGCACUGCUAGCGGUUCAUCGCCGCUAUGCCACGUGCGACCGUUAUUGGUAGUUAUUGACUACUUUGGUUUGACCCAAUAUAAAAACGUCAUAUAGUAUCAAGUUUAUGAAUAAAAACCUUGUGUGCCAUCAAAGCUUAUCGAAUCGGAUCACCGUCUAUUUAUAUACACGCACCAAGCUACAUUGAUAAAAGAUAAGGUAUGAUUAGUGUUUAUAAUGAGAUGUACAAAAAAAAGAGUUUAUAAUGAGUUACUGUAACACCCCGUUUUUCCAACUUAAAAAUUUCAUAAACAUUUAUCAGAGUAAACAACAUAUAACGGGAUAUCAGACUUCUUAAAAAUCUUAAAUAGAUAAAUAAUAAUUUAUCCUUCAACAUAAUUCAUCAACGUCAUAGCAGCGGAUAAAAUCAUCAUAAAUUGUCUUGGCACGCAGGCCUCAUAAAAAUCAUCUCAUAAGUUCAGUUAAACAACAUAAAAACAUAGCAUAUACGCAAAGGAAAGAGAAAUAGCCACUAAAGAUCCCCUCUCGUUACGUAUCAGAGCAACCUAAGACUCAAUGAGGAAAGGCCACUCACGACAGCAACCUAUUCUUGAUCACCUGCAAGUUACUCAUACGAAGAGCAACAUUUCCAAGCAGAAGGGGUGAGAUUUCACAAAACAAUAAUAUUAAGCAUAUAAUUCAACAAUUAUAUUUAACAACAUAAAAACAUCUUAUUAUUCAUCAUAGAUAAUAAUAUAUCAUAAAUCACUUCGUUAACAAUUCAUAUGAGUAAUCACAACUUCACAACUUAUCAUCUUCGACUCGACAAAUGCAACUAUCCAACUUAGACCUCUUAUAUGCAUGUGGUACCAAUACAGGGCAUCAAGCCCUCAUCGCUAUUUGAGUAUUAAUAUACUUCCAGGGCAUCAAGCCCCCAUCGCUAUUUGAGCUAAAGCUCCAUCCUGUUGAGUACAAAGCUCCAGGGCAUCAAGCCCCCAACAGUGAAAUGCUAAUGCAUGGACUUGACCUCUUAAACAUCUUAAUUCGACAACCUCUUAUAUAAUCCAAUAAUUUGGAAACAUCAUCAUCUUCAUCAACUUAGACCGACUCAUGCAGCAUAGUUAAAUAACAAUAGCAACAUAGGCAGUAUACAAAACAGCAUGACAUAUUGAUAUCAAAUGCAAGUCAACAACAUCUUAAAUAUUCAAUUAUACUUCAAAUAAUGUACAUAACAUUAUAUCACAUCGUAAUCAACAUCAACAUAUCUUAAACAACUUCACAUAUUAUAAUUAACAUCAUCAUUAAGUCUUAAUACUACCCCAAGGUUCAACUCUCAACGACUCGUGCAACAAAGGUCGCAAAAACCUAACAAGUCACUCUGUUUCUAGGUCACUCGCGAGGCGAGGGCCUCUGCUCGCUGUGGCGAGUUCAGGUCAGAAUCCCACAAGUUUCAUUCUAAAUCUUUCCAGGUCCAAUCUCAUCCUACAUUCUUUCCUAAUCAUUAUUAGACAUGUUCAGGCUUUCAAAAGCAUCUAAGGAUCAACUCAAAAGUCAAAAUCACGAAAUCUUGCAUGCUCUCUAGUCAAUCUCGCAAGGCGGGGAAAGGUUGCUCGCGUGGCGAGCGAUGAAGUUCAUCACUCGCCGUGACGAGGAUCGUGGCUCGGGAGGCGAGCGAUGAAUGUCUCUACGGGCAGAAGUGCAGUUUUUCACAAAAAUCACCAAUUCUCAUGGUUUUAAGCCUAACAUUGAUUCCAGAAUUCAUCAUAAUCAUUAUCUAAGGUCUAGGGACAAUUUCUACAUCAAUCUAACAACUUUUCACCGUUUAAUCAUCAAUUCUAUAGUUUUGACCUAGUUUCCGAUUCCUCUUAAAUUCAUCCUAAAUCAUGUUAAACCUAACCAUUGAAUCACAGACUUAAUAGAAUUGCAAAGUUAGUCUCACCCUUACCUUAGAAUGUGAAAAUCGCAGCCCCUCUAGGUCUUCUCCCUUAUCUUGGCUUUUUCUCCCUUUUCUCCAAAAACGAUCGUACGUACAAAUGUUUUUCUCUAAACUAGGUUUCCCUAUUUAUAUAUCCUCCAUCUAUCUUAUCUUAUUUCUCUUUCUCCCCCAACACUCUAUAAAAUCUCAAAACAACCCCUAAACUCAAUAUUUAUUUUAUUUUCAAAUCUUAUUUUAGUAAACAAUAAAAUAAGUCACAACUCCUCAUAAAUCUCAUAAAAUCACCUCCAUCAUAUAAAUCAUAUAAAUCACACAUAUAUUAUAUAAAUAUAAUAUAAACUCAUCUUAAUAAAUUCUAGACUCAAUUAAAUAAUUAAAUAAUUCGAAACGGACGUUAUAGUUACAUUCUUCAUACUCUCACCAACCGAUUUUGUAAGAGUAAGUUAGGACUAAUAUAAAGUCUUACGGUGGCUACAAGUUCACAAUAUUCGACUUCAAACGAGGAGAGAGAUACAAUGAUUUAUUUCUUUGACUUCUAUGAAAUGGGAGAGUUGUCAAGGAAGAUACACCAGCUAGUGGUAGAUCGACAAGUUUUAGGGAAGUAGGCCAAUCAAAACCACUAAAAGCUUUGAGUUGAAUUGAUUUGGAUAGGGUCAUUAAAAAUGAUGGAAGAAGCAACUAAUUGACCUUAGUUUUAAAGAACCGAAGUAAGAAUACAAAAAUUGUGCGUAGGGAAUGCAUCAAAAAAGUAAACCCUAUCUUAUCAGAAGUUUCAUUCUUUUGAGUAAGGAUUCCAAUCUAAAAUUUGUGUCAAAAAGUAAACCCUAACUAUUGUUGUGCGUGCUUGAGUCCAACAAGAACGAUACUUAUAAAUCAUAAGAAUGAUAACAAGUGGAAGAUAUGAGAUGUGGCAUUUCUAGUUUGUCGGUGGUCGAGGGGAAGGCGACCAUGGGGGAAGAGGCAGGUUGUUGAGAAGUAUGGUAGAGCCCGAUAAAAAGAUAAAUAUAUUGAUUUAAAAAUUAAUAGAAUGAAGAAGUAGAUUACAAUGAACAUUGUAUAUAGUAAUCCUAAAAUAACUAAUAUCAUAACCAACUAACAACAAAUCACAACUAACUUUUAACUACUUUAAACAAUGUUAAACUAAGUAUACCAAAUCUCUAAUUGUAUUUAAUAGAGUAGAUGGUCGAAAAAAUAUUAUGAGCUUCAGUUAAGAGUAUUUUCUUAAAUCAUUCUUCUAUGAUAAAUGCUCUUAUUCAACAUGAGGACUGUCAUGUCCUUCCUCAUAUUUGUGGCAUCCACCGACUGAUGAUUAUAUCAAAGUUAACGUGGAUGGUUCUUUCUUUGGCAACCAAGGUAGUGCGGGUUUUAGUGGUCUCUUGAGAGACUCUAAUGGGAUUUGGAUUCAUGGUUUUUCUGGUUCUUGUGGUACAACAUCUAAUAUAUUUGCUGAACUCUCAACCAUUUGGGUAGGUCUUCAGUUGGCAACGGACAUUGGUCAUAAAUUUAUUAUUUUUGAGUUUGACUCUAAAAAUGUUAUGGAUUUGAUUGAAGAUGUUCAUAACUCUAAUUUUCAUCCUCGUUGGACUAUUCUUUCUCUCAUUAGAAAACUCUCAUCUCCUCUAUAACACACUAUUUUACAUAUGCCUUGACGGAAGGCAAUGAAUGUGAUGAUCGACUAGUUAAAUUUGAGGCUACAAAUGUCACUCAUUAACCACAUGGACUUCUCCGUUCUAAUUAAUUCUCACUCUAUUACCCAACUCCUCCGAAGUCUUUAGACAACCAAGUUGACCAGUUUGUCUUUCUUUUUCCCAAUGAUAAAAGAAAAAUAUUUAAAAACAAUGUUACUAAAUGAAUAUAAUUCUUAAAUUUUAUGUAUUUAAAAAUUAAUUAUAAACUAUAAAUGCUUACGAAUAUCGUUUGAUUAGUUUAUUAUUUUUGAUGUUAUUUUGCAAUAGAGGAUCAUUUUUUAAUAUUUGAACAUGACCUCUGAUUCUAUCAGAAUCGCACUGUUCUUUACUUUAACCUUCUUUUCUCUAACUUUCAUUCCUUCCAACUUUUUUUCCGAUCUAAACAAAGCCUAAAACCAAACACUCCUAAUAAAGAUCAUAUAUUACUGAAAUUAACAUACGAAUUUUGAAGAACUAACUUUAUUCCUUAGUCAGAGUUUCACAGAUUUGUAUUAUGUUUCCAUAAAAUCGCAUAAGUUCACCAACAAAAAUUCGUUACCGACAAGCAUAGCAUUGAUGAUUGACGUACCAUCUCACUAUUUGUUUGUUAUAUACUUUGCUCCCUUUCUCUAAAAAAGAUACAUCACUUGUGCCACAAACCAACAUAAAUCCAAACUUCAUAAACAUGAAAACCGUUCUAUUGAAAGUUAUGUUACAUGAAUGAAAUCUAUGAAAGUUAUUUUAAUUCCUAUCCAUAAAACUCCCUAAAACAUUUCCUAGACAGAAAAACAAUGAUUAAGAAUUGCCUUGUAUUUCAGCAAAUGUUAACAUCCUCUUUGGAUUCACCAUUAGUAGGGUAGUUUUUUACUUUUUAGCACUCAUCAUCAUCUCACUAUAACCUAACAUUUUGGAAGUUCUUUUUGGUAUAAUCCUACUUUUCCAACACAACUUUGCAUUUUAAUAGUUUUUGUUCAGCACCAUGGAAGCAUAACCCCACUACAUAGUGCGUUACAAAUGAAGAACACUAUGCUAAAUCUAGACAACCUCUUCACUGACAAUUGUUCUUAAUCUUAUGAUAGGAUAUUGAUGCAAUUGCAGUGUCAGAUCAGAAAGCAGAAUUUCACAUGCAUUGUCUUUGGAUAAGAUUAGAAAGUAAAAUUCCUAAAAACAGGAUUAGACAUUAACAAUUGUCAUUAUCUUUUCUAACUAAUCCAACCGUCAUUUUCAUUAACUAAUUAAUUGAGCUAACAGCUCUUACAAACACACAAAAAGUGCUGUUAAUUUAUACACUAAUUUUUUAUCCUACAAUAUUGAUUCAGACCUUUGAACAGAAGCUAGUAUUAUUAAUUGAUAUUUUGUACACAGAAUCAACUUAGGAUUCUCAAUUUAAUAUAUCUAUACUAUUCUCUGAACAGAAUACUCUUUUGGAUCGAUGUGAAUUAAUUGCAUGAAUAAAUUUUGGGUUUUUCGAAAUUUAUAAGAGUAAGAAGUAAAAUGACAAAGCACAAAAAAACAAAACCUCAUAGCCCAAUCAACUUCAUGUGGGUUCACUCUGCCAUGACUCUGCUAACUAUACAGGAAAAAAGGGUAUAAUCGUCUGCUAACUUUUGUCACUAUUAUCGCAUAAGAUUUUUAAGUCGGUCCAUCAAAAAUAAAAAUUUCUAUUAUAAUAUUUUUCCCUAUGCACAAAAAUAUAUAAAAUUUAAAAAUAAAAUUACAAUUAGUGUCUUUUUUUUUUUCUUUUCUUCUAAUUCUAAAAUCUUGCAUUCUCAAAGCCAUGUAAAUCACUAACUCUAUUCAUAGACUUUCUCAUGAUAGCAACUUUAGCCAAUCUCUCAGCAGCUCUCCAAGCCGAUGUCGGCGUAAGCGGCUCUAAUUUCUCCUCGGAGCGACUAUUCCUCCGCCUUUGAUUUUGCCCUUGAGUUCGUUGUUGCUCUCGACGCUUUUGAAGCUCAGCUUGCUCAACUUCAAGCCAACGCAAGUAUUCCUCCUCGACCGGCUUGGUAGAUUGCAAAAAUAGAGCUCGAGCCGAAGAAAGCAAAUGAUAAGCUCCAGACACAUCGCUAUGUUGAGCGAGCCGAUUAGACUCGGCUACGGCUCGUAUAGUGACAUGGAAAUUUCUGAGCCCUUCGAUCUGAGAAGAUCGAACGGUGUGGGGACGAGGAAUCAACAUUGCUUGCUCAAAGGGUUUCACAAUCUCACGAGUUACUGUGUCACGGUAAGAAGAUAAAACUGUUAAAACAUGGUGGGACCCAGCUGACACAGCCGGCACUUUAAGCUCCAAUAAUAACUCCCUUUCUUCUUCAGCGUAUAAAUCACCAAUUUUAAUUGAACCCGGUUCAAUUGGAGCGGGUUUACCCGCGAGUGAGUACACUGCCGCAAUCUCAACCGGACGCGCGCGUGAAACAAUCUUUAACUGAAUCUUAACAUCCUGAGCCACCACGGUUAAUAAACUGUUUAUACACUUCGAAAGAAUUUCAUCUGGUAGCGCGUGUGUACACUCGCUUUCUUUAGGAAAACGAACCGCGUGAAUUGGAACUUCCAUGUUCGAAAGGCGCGUGGAUGAAACCAGUGAUAUUUUCUGAAACGACGCGUUCACGGCGCGUGAAUCAACAAUAUCAGAGAGAACAACGAUGCAGGCGACGGGGUUUUUUUCACGGCGAUCUUCAAGAACUUUUGCUGCCUUUUUCAACGCAUCAUUCUUCGCUGGAACAGCGUCUCUAAUUUGAUCAAUAGCGGCGAGUGCUUCGACAAUUCGACGCGCCGAUCUCUGUCCACCACCGGUCAUUCUUUUCAACGGUAACAAUCUUUUCGAUCCACCGGAAAAUGCCACAAUCGAUAAACGAUCAGUAGCAUUCAAAGAAGAAAUCACAAGUCUCAUCGUAUUCUUCAUCAAACGAAGCUUCUGACCUGACAUAGCUCCACCAACAUCAAGAACAAUAACAACAUCCACCGGAGCACGACGCAAAACCUUCACCGGCGCUGGCGCCGGAGUUUUCAACUUCAAAACAACAACAUAAGUCUCAUAAUUCCGAUUCGCAGCAACAACAGCAGUUUCCGGCAACAAACACACCUCAAGAUUCUUCCUAACCACCGGCGAAGAACGAUUAACAUUAAAACCUUGAAACUGAACAUUAUCAUCAUCUUCAUCUUCUUCAGUUUCGUUUUCCGAUUCAGGAAUAGGAUUGAAUCUCGAUAACGAAGUUGGUGACAUAAGAGGUUCAUCAUCAUUGUAGACUUUGAAAUUUCUUGAAUCUCUGUUUUCGUUCUUUUCGUGUUGAAUUGAAAGCACCGGUAGUUCCUUCCAAUUCGUACCACAAACUGGACACACGUGCAAAGGUUGCUUCGUCACGUGAGUUGAUAUACAAGGAAAAUGAAAAGUGUGAGAACAUUCAGCUGUGAAAAUUGCUGUUCCUUGACCACUUUUCACACUUUGCAUACAUAUUCCACAUCGAUUCUGCACAAAAAAUAAACAACCAUGAUUAAUAUUAAACAUCAGAGUAUAAACAUUAAACAUGAUUAAUUUGAUUUGGGAAUAAGAUUAGGAUGAAUUUUGUUUUAACUUACUUUGGAUAAGCGUAGAGUGUUUUUGAGAAAUGAGAAACUUGAAGGUGAUUUGGGUGAAUUGGGAUUAGUGAAUGAUUUAGGGGUUUUUGGGUUAUGAUUAUUGCAUUGGAGUUUAGGACUAUUAGGAACAGAACAAGUUGUUGAAGAAAUUGAGGUUUUGCAACGAAGAGUGGAGGAACCAGUUGAGGAAGGUUGAGAUUGAGUUCUAGGUGUUGAUGGGUUUGAGAAAAAACCAAACUUGGAAGUUAUUCUAGGACUUUGAUUUGUUGAGGAAUUUUCACAAUGUUGAUGAUGUUUUUUCUCUGUUGUUAUUUUUGGUUCUUUGUCUCUAGGAAUUGAUGUGCAAAAUGCUUUUCUCCAACCAGUAACCAUUUUCACUCUUGUGUGAUUGAUUGAUUUCAAAUGGGUUUUGUUUUUGGGUAUUGAAGGUGAAGAGUGGAUGAUAUAAUGGGUUUAUGAGAAAGGAAGUGUGUUAGAGAGAUAUAAAGAGGAUGAAGAGAAAUGGAUUAGAUUCAAAGAGCCUUUUCAUGUUUCUCUUUUUCUUCUUUCUAAUUCAGUUCCUUGUUGUCUAUUUAUCUAUGUCUUGACCUAGGUCUAUUUUUCUAUAUUUCCGUUUUGAGACCCCCAAAAACACUACCCCAAUGAAAAAAGCCUUUUAGGCCACACCAUUUAUUUGGAUGAAAUGGUAGGCCAUUUUUAAUUUAUUGUAUUGCACAUAUUUAUAUUUUUACUUUUGGUUAAGAAAAAAUUACAUAAUUAAAGUGAACUAACCUUUAAAUUUGAUUUUAAGUGCUUGUUUGGUUUGGUGGUAAGGAGGGCAAUAUCACAUCCCUAGGCACAUUUUGAAGAGGGCAAUAUUCAAACCAUUGUUAAACAUUAAAAUAUAUUAAUUGGUUAUGCGGUGAUAAUAAUUAAUUUUGAGUGAUUGAUUAUAUAAAAUUGAUUUAGGAUAAAAGCGAUUUGAAUGUGAAAGUGGAAUUAACAAUGAAUUUAAGAUUAAAAUCAAUUAUAGAAGUAAAAAUGUACAAAUUCUUAUUUCAUAUAUGAUAAAAUCAAUUCUACCACAAAGUACAUUUUUAACUCUUCAAAAUUAAAACUAAACAUGUGUUAAAUUUAAACACCUGUCAAUAAUAAUUUGAAAAAAAUUGUUUGAACACCAUAUUGUGUAGUUAGCUUUUAGAAUCUAAUCAAUUUUGUAGAAUCCAACUUUCUUUUGGUUUGAAUAUGUUUAAAAGUAGAUAAUUCUGCAGUCUGAUGAAAAUUAUUUCACCAUUAUUAAGAGCGUAUUCCCUCCGUCCUAAAUUGUAUGUUGCUUUAGGAAAGAAAAAUUGUUCCAAAUUAUAUGUCGCUUUACAAUAUAUUAAUGUUAUUCUUUCUAUUAUAACCUUAACUAUUUAUUAAUCUUUCUUCUUUCAAUUCUUUCAUUUAUCUUUCACAUACUUCCUCCGGUCCUAUUUAUAAGAGAAAUUUAGGUCAACAAAAGUGAAUGUAUUUGGACUGAAUUUUUAAAUAGAUACAUCAACUUUUGUUGACCCAAAAUUCUCUUAUAAAUAGGACCGGAGGGAGUAUUAUUUAUUAAGGACAAUUUUGUAAAUCAAUUCAUAAUAUCUCUUUUGCACACAAUAUUAAUUGUGUUUCUUAAUAUGUGUGAAAUGCCCAAAACGUCAUGCAAUUUGGGACGAAUGAAGUAGUACACCAAGUUAAGUAGAAGGGUUAAGGAGCGUGUUCACAUGUACUCCAUAUUGUGCAAUGAUAAUCUGGUUUAGACAAAAAUAAUGAAGACAACUUCUCUUACUAUCUUAAAUGACGUACUCCCUCCGAUCUUAUAUAUAAGAAAAAAUUCCUUUUUUAAAUACAAUGAAUAAUUAUGUAUCUAAUUUACAAUGAAGAUUAGAUACAUUAAUUAUUAAAUAUAUUUAAAAAAAUAAUAUUUUUUAUGUGUAAGAUCGGAGGGAGUAUUAAUUAACAAUAACAACCAUUGUUAAUAUCUAGAAAAACACAAACUUUUUUCCAUAGUUGGCAAUAUUAUUAUCUGGGUAAAGUGAAAAAAGUUGUCAUUGGGAUUAACAUUAGUAACUGGCAAAUAGAGGUCAUUAACUAGAGUAAGUAAAGGUAUAAGUCAACCCUUUUGUCUUGGAAUUGUACAUCACUAUCCUAUUCCCACGUUAUGGUCACCACCGACCCAUGCAAACAAAUCUUGACCUAAAAAUGUUCAAAAAAAUCACAUUCAUUUUCUUUUGCUAUGCACGAUCAUAGUUUACCUUACCCCAUGAAUCAUGAUUCAUCCCUUUCGCCUUAAUCUUCGUCAGUUUUUCUUUUUUCCACUAAACAAAAAACCAUGUCAAGGAUUAUGAUUCUGAUUCUUUCCUCAAUAUUUUAUUUAACUUAGGGUAAUAAAUUGAUUGAUGGGUACCUGCAUGAAUCACUGACCAAAAUUGAAAUUUCAAUGAGCUGUAUGUAUGGUAAGGGUACUGUAAUGUACUACUAGCAUUAAGUUGUAGCUGAACUAAGUUUGAUACCUAUGAUCUGGUUCGUUUUUAGUGGGCUCCAUUUCGUUGGCAAUUGUGUUAUUACAAUAUGGUGUGGGAAAUUGUGAUGUUCAGAAUAUAGACCAGUUCUUCUCUAGGGAAGGGUGUAUUAGUCAUUUCAUCUCUGCAGUCCAUUUAUUACUAUGACAAUAAUUAUUGAUUUUUGUGUUAUAGUCGUCGAGAUAUAAUUGAAUAAAAUAACGGCCAUAAGAUGGGUAUGAUAGUUUUUAGUGUUUUUAAAUAGCACAUCAAUCCCUAGGACACGCCCAAGCAAAACACUGUAGAAAAUUGACCUUAUAAUCUUUGUUCACCCUAAACUACUCCAACUUAUUUUAACGUCAAAAUUAAUUCAUGAUGCCAUUAUCAAAUUGUUGAGCCCCCCUAUUGCAGCACAUAAGCUAUUUAUUGUUGAAUUUUGGCACUAGGGAUAUUGAUGACAUAAUAACGCAGUUGUAUUCAGCGCAGCUUUUAUUUAAUGGGAUUCAUGACGUAUUUACCAAUGGUUCGAGGGGUGAUAAUAAGUUGGGGGGGCAAAUACUCCGUAGUACUAGACUACUAUUGUUGUGUAUCAAAAACAAAGGUAGUUUUUUAGCCAAAAUUAUUAAACAUACGAUGAUUCCGUGGUUUGGAAUGAACGAAAUCAUCGGAAAAUAUUAUAAAAGAAAAUUAGGUAAUCAUAUCGAUAAUUCGGAUAUAUAUAACCAAGUUUACAUGGAAAUUAGGGUAGCCGAAUUUGCAUGGAAAUUAGGGUAUUCUGUUUGUAAAAGUAUUAAAUAAGUAUAGAAAAUAUUGUAAAAAAAAAGGCAACAUGAUAGAAAUGAAAUAAAGGCAUGAAAUACAAAAUAUUGUCAAAAAAAUCCAAAAAUAGAAGGCAUCAAACGUGAUCAUUGAUAUGCUCAUAGUUUCUAGAACAAAAAAGUAUAAAAUAGAAGGCAUCAAACGUGAUUAUUGAUAUGCUCAUAGUUUCUAAAACAAACGUGCAUCAUCAAAUAAGUGUAGAAAAUAUUUUCUUUGAAAAAAAAAAGGCAAGAGGAUAUGAAUGAAAUUGGUGCGAUGCAUUUUUUUAGAUGAAAUUUGUUAGGUUAAAUAAAUAAUUGCAAACCUAAUAAAACUAAUGAGCGGAAAAAAAUUAGGUUAAACUGCUGCAGACCAUACAAAAUUAAUAAAUAAGAAUUUUUCUAAAUAAAGAAUAUAAAUAAUAAUACUAUAGUGAUGAAAUAAAUAAACUAAUUUAGAAAAAUUCUAAAAAAAAACUUGAUUUGAUUUUAUUAGUUAGGAUAAUAGUAAAACAAGAAUCCAAUAUUUUUGGGAGCAAUGGAAUUUUGACCUUUCACCAGGAUGGGGCUAUUGAAGUCUGAAUGUUUAGCUGCUGAGCACAUUUUAAGGAAACGCUGACUUACUUAAAAUUGCUCAUAAAAACACAGUUCUAUGAGGGCAGGCCUUGCCUCACUGUGUAAAGUUUGAACUCUGAUUUUCCUGUAAAGUUUCCAUCAUCAUCAAAGUUUUUCUUUUAUGAUUUGAUUUGAUUAAAAUUUAUAUAUUUGUCUUUCACCUUCUAUAUAAUACUAUAGAAAAUGUCUGAGCAUAUGAAGUAUCAGAUUUAUAAAAACAAAUCUAUAUUACAAUAUCUGUUUUAUUUUCGGAUAAAAAUUUAUUUAGAAUUAAUUUAUUAUAAGCGUAUGGUUUUUUAGAUCAAAAAUAUAUAAAUAUAUAGAUUUAGUGCAUGAUUUAGUGAAUUGAUUUUAUAAAAUUGAUUUUAUAUGAAAAAGAGUUGAAUAUAAAAUGAUAUAUUAUUUUUUGGUAAUUAGAUAAAACAAAAAAAGAGAAAGCAAAAGAAAACUAAACUACGGCCUUAAGAACUGCACUCUAGAUAUAUUAACGAGAAGUAAGCUUCCAAACUCGAGAGGGGGUUCUCCAAGUAGCACCAAGAAGAAUUGUGACCAGCACAAUGCUUAGUUAAAAAGUCUGCACACUCACUUACCUAUUGAAAGGUGUGGGUAAGAUGCACAUUCCAAGGAAGAUUAAGGAGAUCGUUAAUAUUUCUAAUGAUAAUUGCAUAAACACGUCAAACAUUGGGAGGAGCUUGAUUCAAUUUCAUGGCAUGCAAACAACUUCAAACCAUAUAUGAUUGCAAGUAGUUCUGCAUGCAAGUUGUUCGAAAUAAUAUAUAAUUAAAUGUAUGUAUGUAAAAGUGGAUUUAACAAAAUUUACAGUUAAAUCUUAUGGUUAAAAAUUGUUGUAGAAGUCAAAAACUAAAUAUUCAGUUUCAAAUAAUCAAUAUACAGGCGAAUAAAUUUUUCUUUAAAUCAUCUAAAUAUAAUAAAAUAAAAUAUACAACAUUUAGAAUCAUUAUUAUCUUCUAAAAUCGAAACUAAACAUAUGCUUAAAUGCAUCUUUUCUCCAAAUAUUUUGGGUCAACUCAUAGUUUUGGUUCAUCAUUUAAAAAAAAAAAUUUAAUCCAUACUUCAUCCGGUGAUAUUUAUAAACAAAAAACUAUUGUUUAUGUUCUUUUUUUAAAGGUAUUCUUUAUGUUCGAUGAAUACCUAAUGUAUUUUUGUAUUUAAUAUAAGGCUUAAUUGCACUUUUGGCCCCUAUCUUUUUUAGCCUCCUAACUAAUUAAAAUACAAAACAGCCUCUUAUGUAUUGGAUCUUUGGCAGUUUUGGCCUCCAAUGCCACUUUUGACUUAGUCUUAACUGACGUGACACUCAUAAUGGUCGACAUGUGACACCUCUCACUUAAGGGAUAUGUGUGAGCAAUACAUGCAGUUGUUCCUCGGACGAUCUUGCCACAUAAUACACUCUUGGAAAGAGAUGAAGAACUAAUGGUUCAUGGUUCAAGCAUUCAUGACAAGAUAAGUCUCAUUGCGAGAUAAUGCAUCUUUGAAACAAAAGCAAAAAAUGCAUCUUUUUUUUUUAACUAGUUCCACUUCCCACCGGGGAUGUGUCUUUAUCAAAUUCUCCAUCAAUUAUGUGCAUCUUAAUUUGUUCACCACUUCUUCUACUACUAUAUUUGGGGAUUAAAAAGGGUUGGAAGUAAGAAACUUAAUGUACUUCUUUUUCCCCCUCAAAACAUAUAUUCUCUAAAGUAAUUACUCCUUCUAUGAUAUAAACACUUGUUUAUUUAUGGAAUUGCAUUCCCUAAGAGUCAAGAAUGAAUAAGUAAAGGUAUGUGGCCAAAAUCUCAUAAUGCUGUGAGAAGGACUUUGAGGGUAAUCAACCAGCACAUAGGGUCACUUAUAUUGAGAUGUCUUCAAUUAUUCAAAUCUAUCCAAAAAAUUUAGGUAAAAAAUGAAUGUGCCUUAUAGCUAUUAACUUAGCCAUUUAAUAAUUGGUAUGCUUGUGGUAGGGCCAAUGCCUACUAAACAAUGCAAACUAUUUCCUAAUUUGAUAAGUGGCUUGAACCUGUCCUUGUAAAAAGAAAAUCUCAAUGUUCUUAAAUAUUAAUUAAUUAGUUUACUGAAAUGAAGAAACACAUUGAAAUUUAUAGAGUAGGAUUUUCUUAAAAUAGGAAUUUUUUUGGUUACUGUCCAUUAUUGAUCCACACAGUUUUCUUUUUUAUUUUCUUCUUUUUCUGUUAAUCAAAUGGCAAAAUUAUGUUUUUUAUUUUUUAUUUUUAUAAAGUGGUAAGAUUAUGUUUAAAAUGCCAUCUCCUUCUUUUCUUAUUAACGAAAAAUGCUAAUAAUGUAUUUAUUUGGCAAGUGUUUCAUUUAUACUUCCAAAUGCAAUUUUGUCUUAUUAACUUUUAACCAAUGUCUCUCUAUGACAAACGUUAAAAUUACUUUUUCUUAUUAAAAAAGUGAUGAUCUCAUGUCAAUAUUUAUUUAUUUUUUAAAAAAUGUCAAUAUUUAUUUGAAUUUUUUUAACAUUAUACUUUAUUCAAUAACACUCAUUUUAUGGAACAAAUCUUCGUAGAAGGUCAUGAAAGAGAAUUAAAACACCAAAGGGCGAUGAUUAUAAAAGCUUAAUUAGUCUUCAUUAAACAAUUUUAAUGUCAGGUUCCUAAUGGAAUUAGAGGUACCUGACGUGGGAAUAAGCUUGUAAAUUAUGGUCACUCUGAUAAGGAGUCAAUUUGAUUGAAGAUUUUACUACUAUUUUUUAGGGAGGAUUUCUUUAGGGACCAGCUUAGUCAGUAUGUCUAUGAUGUUUGUCUUUUCUCUUAGUUCACGAAAAAACAAUUUUGAUGUCAUUCCCAGAAGGUGGUCAUUGGUGUGGCCUGUGUAUCGGAUGCCAUGAGUGAUAUUAUUGUCUAGAGGGCAUUGCAAGCAAUGUCUCUUUUAGUUAGACACAUCCUAUUUUGCAUCAAAGUAGGUGGUAUCAAAUAAGCUUUUUUUUUUUUAAAUUCAGUAUCCGAUCCAAGAAUCGACUAAUUCGAGGGGAUCAAUCCCACCGCCCACUUGCGGGGGCCCCGUUUAAAGGCAGACUUGCUCUGUAUGAACUUAGCCCAUCAAAAUUGGCACCAGAGGGAAUCGAACCUGAGAUCUCUGGAGGAGCAAACUCCAAGAUCCCAAGCCAACCACUAGGCCAACCCCAAAUGGGUUACACUUGAUUAAAUGAGUGUGGUUAGUAGCUCUUUUUAGAAUCGGCUAUAAUUAGGCGUAGAUUGUAUAUGGUUUGUAUUUGAUCUCUGGCUAACCUCUUAGUUAGUUCUUAUCCAUAAACUUCUAAUUAUAGGAAAAAGAAAACACUCAUUUUAACUUUGCUAAUUAUGUAACAAAUCAUAUUACGCACCCAACGAUUAAUACUAUGCAUAUAUAGUGACAACUUGUUGUUUGCAGUGAUUUUUGGUUUGAUAUUAAAUCUAUCUAAUCCAACAACAAAUAUGAGUGAACUUCAAUGCAUUUGUGUUAAUCUUAUUGAUAAAAGAAUGACUAAUUAGAAGAAGAAAAAAAAUCAACGCCACUUAAAACAUUGAUGUAUUGUGUCAAAGUUACAAUCCAUUAUCAUUAAUAACCUUACUAAAAUUUGAUCAAAAAGUAUUAACCUUACAAUUUACAAUAGCGAUCUUGUGCACAAUUUACAGUAUUUCAUACAACUGCAAUGUCAAGUUUAAAAAAAAUUCAAGUGUAGUAAAGUUUCACAUACAUAAAUUUGAAUGAAUGAAUGAUAUGUUUGUUUAUAUAAUUAGGGUUACACAAGGUGGAAAAAAAAAAUAUCAGAAUCAUUCCACGCGUAAGUUACGAAACUGCUUCUUCAACAAUGACCAAUAUGAGAUAUUUGCCUUUCAAGUUUCUCUUAAAGUUUUUUGGUUGAUUACAUGCCAUGGACAUUCACAAUAAUGUUUUUAUCCCAAAACACGUGAAUUGUAUUUCCAACUCUAAAAUCUAGUUCAUCUCAUUUGUGGUUCCCUACCUUGAUUGAGAUAAAUAACAUCUUCUUCUUCUUUUCUCCUGUAUAAAGAGUAUAUUUCACUUGAAGAUAAACCACUACAAUGAUUUCUCAAACUCUCAUUUGAAGUUAAACCACUCCAAAAAUUUCUACAUGUCGAAAAGCAGACUAAAAAUUAUGAUGAAACUUCCGUGUUGAUUUUCUUUAAAAGCCCGUUUGGUGCGCAGGAUAAAGAGACAAAAUAUGAUUAGUAUAUCCUAUCCUGUCUUAAUCCAUUGUUUGGUGCGCCCAUAGAAAAUGAUAAGUUUAACAUAUUUCUAAUCAUAUCCUAUCCACCCUUUGUUAUUUUUAUCCUUAGUUUUUGGUGGGUUAGAAUUUUCAUAUCAUGAUUAGCAUUAAAAUCCUUAUUUUACCCUUUCUCCCCAUCCAUCGACCUCAACCUCUUCCUCCAUAACUCUUCAAGACCAUCUCUUCUAUUUAUCACAGAUCUAACCCCAAUUCGAACCUACAAUCACUUUUUUUUUCCAUCUGCUUAAUUUUUUGUUUGUUUCUUUAUUGAUUAUCAAUUUUCUAUUCGUGUCAAUUUUGAAAAGAAAUGAAACAGGCUGGAGUUACACAGGUUGGAGUUAUACAAGAAGGAAGAAGAUUGUAAACGAUUUAUUUUUUUUAAUUCAAGAAGCCGUGAUUUUUUGUUUUAAUUCAAGAAGCCAUGAUUUUUUUUAAUUGAAUUAUGUAAUUGAAGAAGAAGACGGCACCCCUAAGAAAAAGGAAGAUGAUGCCAUUUUUUUUUAAGAGACAAUUUUUUUUUUAUAAGAUCGUAUAAUUAAUAAUAGCUUGAUUACAUUUAAUUAAAAAAGUUAGAACAUAUAAUUAAUUACAAUGAUAAUUUUGUCAUUUAAUUGUGAUGUAUAUGAUAUUAUGUUUGUUAUCAUGUGUGCAUCAAACAUAUGAUAGGAUAAAUGUUUAUCUUGUCUAUAUCCUUUUAUAUCCUUAUUCAGUUUUUAUCAUAUUUUAUCUCUAUCCUAUCUUAUGCACCAAACGAACCGUAAAAAUUCUUCGGACCGUAACAUUGAGUUUGAUGAAGCGUUAUCUUCACCUUUCAAUAUUCCUUCAUCAAGAAUAAUUUUUCAGUCAACUUCAUCAUUGUUCAAAGUUUCUUUCUCAUAUAUCUAAACAAGUUUGAUAUGCCCAUAAAAAUAUGAAAGCCGCAUCUCUGACCAAAAAUUUGAAGGCAUAAAAUAUGAGUUAUUUUUUUAUUCAUCCAACAUUUAAAUUAAUCAUAUUUAAUGUCCAUUCACACUUAAAUCCUUCUUUUUAAUAAUGAUGAUGAAAGAAGUCCUUCAACUAAGAUUAAGAAAAUAAAACAUCCUCACAUGGGUAUGACUGACUGACCCUUUGAAAUAUUUUUAGAUGACCAAGAUUUUUUUUCUUUAAAGAAUUCAAAAUUGCAUUGAAAUUUAGCAAGAUUUGAAGAAACUCUUCUGCUAUAAGACUGAGUGGCAUAGCAUUCACAUAGGGUCAAGCACAUUACCACUCCUUAUGGACUUCCAUCGUUAAAUUUUAUUUUAAGGGACAAUUAGGAACCUAAAAAUGUACAUUAACUCAACAAAAUCUCCAUAUAUUUUUUAAUACAUAUAGGAGAAAAUGUCAAAUUUUGUUUAAUUUACAUGCAGUGUCAUCUUGUUUCAAGUUGCAUGUUGAAAGCAUUUUGGCAGUAUUAUAGGAGUGAAUAUCGAAAGAAUCCAUCAAUCCAAUCAUUCAAAAUAUGGUUGUACCGUCCGAUAUAUACCUCCAAAAACGACAGACACCAAUGAUAGGACCAAACAAAUUGCUUGACCAUGACAUUUCUAACUAAUUAACAUGCGAGAGAAAUAUAUUCUAUGAUAAUACUAUUGUUCUUCCCUUGACCUUUUUUUUUUGUUUCCAUUAGGGCGCACAUGAUUUACGGUUAGUGUUGUUAAUAAAAAUUAUUAUUAUUAUUCUCAUAAACUGUCAGUGGAGUACUACUAAUUUAAAUUCGUAAGAAAAAAUAAACAAAUUAUUUAGAACUUCUAUUUAAUUCAUGAUCGGAAUUCUCAAAUAAUUAUUUAGUCAAACUUUAUUUACAUUAAAAUCGAUCUCUCAAUUACUAAAGUUUUCUUUCCUGUCCUAUACAUUUCCCAACUUUAGUUCAUGCUAUUAUUCUUCCCUUGACCCUUUUAUUUUAGCAUUGUUGCUAUUUUAAUUUGUUUUUAUGUUUAAACUUUGAGGCAAAAUUCAUUAUAAGAUAAACGAAUAUAAUUACUCGUAUCUUUAUAAGAUGGUCAUUUCUUGGAUUAACUACCGCAAUUUCGAGUACUACUUCUUUAAUGUUACGCGUUAAGUUUACUUUGAGAAAAGAAAAUCGAAGGGUUAAAACUAACAAAUAAGAACAAACAUAAUCAUCUAGGUUCCACCUAAUAUCUUGAGGCCAAAAAACAUUUAAUUAAUGUUUGCACAAUGAAAGAUUUUUUUUUUUCAAAGGAUGAUGAUUGGUUGCGUGACCAACAUUAUUGGGGUACAUGCCAUGACUCAUAAAUGCUAGAAUCCUUGCCAACCGAUUAUAAUUAAUAUUAAUCUCACAUUGCAUAUAAUUGACCAUUCAAAAUACUGUACUACUCAUUCAGCAUAUGGGCAUGCAUGGCAGCUUGAAUUAUUACCUCACAAGUAUAUCCCCGUUAAAAAGCCAAAACAAAACGCGUUUAACUCAUAUUACACAAGGUCUCUUAGGUUAAAUAAUUGAUUUUGGAUUUUAAUUUAAAUUUAAAAAAUACUGAAACUGUUUGAAAAUCAAGUGUGAGUAAUAAUGUCUCACAUUGAUUAGAAUUGGAGCAAAAAUUAGAUAUAUAAGUGAGGAGACCCAAAAACCCAUCGUCUUAGAGUUUUUGGUAAGAGUGUGAUGUCUCUCUCUUAGCGGGUCCUAGACGUUUAACCCAUUGUCGCUCCAAGCGCUCCCCAACCUCCCCAACAAACUGAUAUUUGAGUCUGGUUAGGCUUGUUGGGGGAGUGGGAGUGGAAUCAUAUUGUGGGCCUUCCUAGUGAUGUGGAUGAGUCACACUUGAGAGGGGGUUGUUGGAAAUCAAGUGUGAGUGAUAAUAUCCCACAUCGACUAGAAAUAGAGCAAACAUUAGAUAUAUAAGAGAGGAGACCCAUAAACCCAUUGUCUUAAGGUUUUGGAUAAGAGUGUGGUGUCUUUCUCUUAGCGUGUCCUAGAUGUGGGUGAGUCACACUUGAGGGGGGGACUGUUGGAAAUCAAGUGUGAGUGAUUAUGUGCCACAUCAACUAGAAAUGGAGCAAACAUUAGAUAUAUAAGAGAGAAGACCUAUUGCCUUAAGGUUUUGGGUAAGAAUGUGGUGUCUCUCUCUUAGCGGGUCCUAGACAUUUAGCCCAUUGUCGCUUCCAGCGCUCCCCAGACUCCCCCAACAAACUGGUAUCAGAGCCUUCUUAGGCUUGCUGGGGAAGUGAGAGCGGGAUCCCAGUUGGAUCUUCUUAGUGAUAUGAGUGAGUCACACUUGAGGGGGAGAUUGUUGGAAAUCAAGAGUGAGUGAUAAUCUCCCACAUCGACUAGAAAUAGAGCAAACAUUGGAUAUAUAAGAGAGGAGACCCAUAAACCCAUCAUCUUAGGAUUUUGGGUAAGAGAUUGGUGUCUCUCUCUUAGCAGGUCCUAGACAUUUAGCCCAUUGCUGCUCCAAGCGCUCCCCGGACUUCUCAACAAAAACGUUAAAACUCUUUAACGAAAAAUUUACGAUUUAUAUAACCCUAUUCAAGAAUAAUUGUCUGUUUGAUAACGCAUCCCAACUUUAUUUAUUGUGUCUCAAUGUAUUUUGACCGUGAUUUUUCUUAAGCUACUAAUACUAGUUUCUAAGUUUCAUGCAUUUGAAUGAUGUUCCACCGUGAAAACAAACAAAGGCGAAGUCUUUGCCUAACCGAUAUACUAUGGUAUAAAAACUGAAUUUCACAGUUCUUUUCAACCAAUCCUUUUUUAUGUAAAAAUCAUGUCCUAUAUAUUUUGAUAGAGAUAGUAUAAAUACUAUGUACUAGAAUGAUAAACAAUAAAAACGGUUGUUCCUCCAAUUAUAUGACAUUGAUUCAAUCCAUUGAAUUUGAUCAACCACACCAAAAUGUCAUAUAAUAUUGUGUGUAUUUAAUUUCUGAUAGUGGCACAAGUGACAUGUGCCUCACAUACAUGACAUUCCAAACGGAGUGGUAGUUGAGGAGACGCGUACAAUCAUUAUUAUUGAAGAAGAAGAUCACGAAAUUAAUUGAACAAGAUAUUUGCUACCCUAGCUUAAUUAACGGUCGAUGCAUCAUGUUCGUGUGUGCAAUGUAGCAGUCUAGGCCAUAAGAAUGUAACAUACCACGAUGUUGAUAUGUGUCUAAGUGCUCUAGAUAAUGAUCUAAUCUUCAUGCAUCCUAAAUACAAGAUCUUCUUGAGAAAUUUUCUUAACGGUUUUAAUAAGAUUCCUUUCAGAUUUUCAAUUUCAUUAAUUAUUUCUCUAUCACAACACUGUAAAUUACUUUACCUCAUUUUCUAUAUUUAAAAGUAUGGGUGGGUCUUUGCCGUUCGGUUUGAUUUUGAGUUUAAAAUUCAUCUGAUCAACAUGAUGAAAAACAUGCGGUUUAAUUUGAUUUAAUUGAUUUUUUUUUUUAAAUCGAUCCAAACCAAACUAAUGCCGUUUGAUUUAGUUUAGCUAGUUUGAUUUUUUGCAAGACAACAUAUAAUUUAAAUAAUCUGUCAAUAAUUUUGAUUAUAUUAGUUACAACAAUUAACUAGUUUGCAACGAUUAACAAUUAUUUACUUUAUUUUAUAUAAAUUUGAAAUUAGUUCGUAAUCAUUUACUUAAAUUAAUUGAUUAAUGAAAACGCCCAAUUUAUCAAGGUAGAUGAUUAAUACAUUCAUUAAUGAAAACGCUCUAUUGAGAUAGAGGAAUAAUUAGUAUUUACUUAUUUUAAUUUAAAUUGGAAAAAAAGAUGUUUUCGUAAACUUAUCUCAGUUGGUAGGAAUAAUGCAUAAUAUAUGCAAGGUUUUGGUUCAAAUCCUAGACACCAAAAAAAAUAAAAAUUGGAAAAAAGGAUUUGCUCAAAAAAAUUGGGGUAUAGGUGUAAACACGCAAUUAACAAAACAAUAGAAAAGCUUGUUAAAAAAAACAAUAGAAAAGUUAAAAAAGAAAAUGAUAAAAGAAAAAGACUCAAUUAAUUAAUAUGUUGGUUUGGUCAUUCGACCUAGCUGUGUACCCUAACAGAGUAUUUUUUAGUGAGUUUGCGAUGAGUAACAUGUGUUGAGUUAAGUUAGUUUUUUUUUUUUUAAGUAUGUGAUUUUGUUCGGUUUGAUUCAGGUGGUAAAAUAAAAUCCGCAAACCAAAUCGUUUAGUUGAGUAAAAAUUUGUUCCAAAUCGAAACCUUUUUUUUUUUUACUGUUUUUGAUUUGGAUUGGUUCUGUUUUCGAUUUUAAUUUGUUUCUUCUUCAUAUUUUGUCUCAAAUUUCUCAUAUUUUUUCCCACACUCUCCUUUCUCUAUUGCUGCCAUCCAAUUUCUACAAAGGGUGAACACAUCAUCUUAAAUCAUACAUAAGCAUUGCCGCAUUUUUGUUACUCUCCACACCUACAUCAUUUUCGUGCUUCAACAAGUUCAUAAAAAAAAUUGACCUAUAAGAUAGUGUCUUUUAUGGUUAUUAAGUUUGGGAAAAUUUGAAGAUUUAGAUUACUAUAAUGAUAGAUGCUGUGACUCUUAGGCUCUCAAACAAUUUUGAUUUUCUUUUUGUGUGUGGAGAUUUUUAGUCAAAUUCUAAUGUUAAUAUUGUGAUGUCUCUAUGAUGAAUACUUAAUGUAUUUGCGUCUUAUAUUUCUAUUUUUAUUUUUAUUUGAAGUUUUAAUAUCGUUCUCUAUUUUUCUUCAAGUUUGAGGGUUUUAAGUUUUUGUCAACCUUUAAUCUUUUAAAAUAAAUUGUAGUUUCUAAAAUAAUUUUAAAAAAUAUGUUUAUUUAAAUAAUAUUUUUUUCGCUGGUAGUGCUACUCGCAAAAAUCAUUGAAGUACAUUGACAAGUUGUCAAAUGAAAAUGUGUUUUUUUUAGAGGAGCUUGCUCCUUGCAAAUUUCACUGGGGCAUGCUCCUCACAAAUUUCUCAAUAUCAAACCUCUCGUAGAAAAUUGCCAUGGGUUGUUUUGUGGGCGCAUUGCACUCCGUGGAAAAUAGGUACUUUCAAGUUUUUUUUUUUUUUUUUUUUUUUUAAUGAAUUUUGCGGGGAUUUUGUCCUUGUGCAAAUGUCGAUUUUCUUGCAGUCGGUAUCAUAUCACUUAUGCACUAAAUUUUUAUGUAAAGAAUAUCAUUGCUUUGAUAAUGAGUUUUCUAUCUCGGAGUACACUACUUUGGAACUAAGCUUCCAUUAUUAACUUAAUGGUGGUUACUAAAUUUUAGUAAAGGUUAAAUUGAUCUUAAAUACCUAAAUUCAAUCUCUUUUUUUAUAAACAAAAGUUUUUAAAUGAUAGUACAAUGGUGACUCAACUCAUUACAAAAGAGUUGUUGCAUUACACGUUGUUAAGACAAGAUAAAGAGCAAUUUAAUCAAUCAAAAUAUAUAUAAUAUUUGCUUCUACCGUAACGAAAAACUACUUAAGAUAGCAUGUAAAUGGUAUCAAUCACCUCAUUCGAGUUAGCCAUUUUUCUAUUGAAGAGAAUGUUGUUACUUUCCAACCAAAUACAUCAACAAAUAGUUAAUCAUAAAAGAUGAGAUAUGUUAUGCUUCUUUUGUCCCCUUUACAAGGGAGUUAAAUGACAUAAAGUUUUUCACCUCCUCCUUGCCCCACGACGCUAGAUUCCACCCAACCCAAUUAAAAAUGGCAUCCUAAUUAAUUUCUUUCGCGAUCUAACAUGAGAAACAAAAUAAAUUAUGGUGAGUUUCAAUUUCGUUGAAACAAAGCACACAACAUUCUUAAUGGAUGUUUUUUUUAUUACUCCUCAUCGCCAUAAAUUCACACGCGUUGGUAACCUUCCUUGAAGCAAACGCCACCCGAAAACGAAACAGAAUUUCCCACAACCGUCACAAGCCGUCGUGAUCGGAACCAUUCAUAAUUUACAAGUGCCACACUUACCAUAAGUCAUAAUUUAAUCCAUUGCAUGAUUUCAUGAUAUAUAUGAUGAUUUUGUUUUCCAACAUUUGCAUAAGGCCGUCGCUUUCCAAUUGGUACCAUGUGCCGCUAUUAAAUUAUGGUGCUUUAGAAUAAAUGUAAGGAAACAAGAUCUUGUGUAAUUAAUUGAAGUCCACCUUAUUAACUUUUCAAAUUAAAAUAAGAAUAUGAACACAUUGCCACUGAAUUGCUCACUUUGUAUGGAUCUCAUCAAGUAUAUAUCUUCAAAGUUCAAACACCUAUCAGUAAGUGAAUUGCAUAUAAAAUGUGGAAAAUAAUGAUAUGUACUUUUCUUAGUUGAAUUUCAUCCCAUAUCAUUGACAAAAUUCAAAUUUCUUCAUAAAGUAUAAUUACAUUACAUGGUUAUACAUUAUUAUCACUCACAUAUUGAAGUUUGCUUCCGCACUCUCUUAUCACAUCAAGGUUAAUAAAAAAAGGGUCAUGUUAACCGAUGUUUCUGGGGACACCGGUUAAUAUUAUCCAUAAAAAAAUAGGAUUAUUGUAUCUCUUAUUACGUAGGGUUGCUCAUAAUGAUGUCCAUGUGGAUUUUGAUUAGUGCUUUUCAUUUUGUUUGGUCUUAAACUCUUGCUAUAAUUAACAUUGGUGUUUAAGACAUAACAACAUUUAAUUUGUGUUGAUUUCAAUGGCAGUUAACUUGUGCUCAUCACACAUACCAAAAUAAAUAUACACACCGAAGAGAAAAAAAUGGUGAUCUAAAUUCAAAUUCAAGAUUCCACAUAAAAUAUCUCAAAAUCAAACCAUUUAAAAUAGAUUAAAUAAUCAUAUAUUAAUGGUUGAGAAUAUUCCAAAGCAAGUUAUAUACCAAGAACAUUGUAAUUUUGUAACAUAAUUAAUGAUUAAGAAUAUUCCAAGCAAGUUAUAUUAAAGUCCAACUUCAAUGAAUCAAUUAUACAAUUGACACACAACCUCCCCAAAAUACAGCUUUUCUCCACUAUAUUAGCUAAUGAUUACAAUUAAACCAACCAACGCUACUACUUUCAUUUUAAGAUUCUGGAUUUUAUCUCUUACUUUUCUUCUAAGAUUCUAGAUUUCGAUUAUUAUAUAUCUCUUAGACUGUACUACUACUCCAAAGUCUUAAACGCACCCUUCUCUAUCCAAAUAAAUAAUUAAAAUAAAACCAUGAUCAUUGUGAAAAAGAGUUUUAACCAAAUUAAGCUUUGAAGAGAGGUAUAAUACUAAAAACAAGUCUUGUAAAUGGUUUGUCUAAUGAGCAUAAACAAAUUAACCCUUCACCAUACAUAAGUUUGUUUUCUAUCAUUAGAUUAAUACCUCAUGUCAUAUCACAUUUGAUCAAAUAGUAAAACUUGUUAAUCAAUGGUGAAAAAAUGAUUGAAUAUGGUGCAAGAUUUUUUUUUAUUUUUAUUUUAAAAGAAUAUGGUGCAAGACUUGUUAAUCAAAUAGUAAAUGUUUAGCUUAAAUAUCAAAGAAAUAACAAACUCUAAUGCGAAAUAACAAACUGAAAACAAAACAGAUAAAUAAUAAAAAUUCAGUUUUGGACAUCAUAUCCCUUUUCGAAAAGAUAUAUUUUUAAAUCAAUCGAAAACCGGAUGUCAAAUAUUCUCAUUGAGCCUUUCUUACACGCCACUUCAUCUUUCAACACUCGUAGCCAAUCUGCCUACAUCACUAUGUUUGAUUUAUAACUCAAAAUUUGGGGAAUGAGACUCAAAAUUAAAACAUGAAAUAUUUAUAAUUUUCCAUCCAUCAAAUCAAAUCCUCAUAAAUUCUGAUAAUCUCAUAUAUGGCUCCCAUAUGCAACUAUCAUCAAGCACACUUACCCCACUCACUCCUUUCCAUUUAUGUAUUAUAAUCAUGUACUACCAUUUUCUACACGAUUCUACCUAAGAAAAGCAUAUGCCCACUAAUGUCAAAAACUUUUCUCAUGUAAAUGUUGUGUUUCCCUUAGAGGGAACGCCAUCAUAUUUCCAUGUAGGCGCAACAACAUUAAUUAUAGUCCAUAGUAUCCAGAAGAAAUGACAAACAAUAAUCGGUGUACUUAUAUUAUUAUUUAGUGCUUUUGGCCAAUAAUUAAUCCUAUGCACUAUAACCUGGGAAUAAUUCAAACCCAUUAUGCAUCACUAACAAUGUUAAACUAAUAGUAUUGGCAACCAUAAAGUUCGACAAUAAUGAGAAGUCAAAAGUAGAGAACGACAACAAUGCAAAGUUUAAAUUAUAAUAACUUAGAAUAAGAUGCAUAUUAACAAGGCAAAUUCUAUGGUACAUCUAAUAUAUUUAAGUGUACCGGUACACUCACUCUUUAAAUUAAUAGUUAAAUAAGUUAUUUUUUGAAGAAAAAUAUUAUUUUUUAUCAUUUAUAAUUAUAAUAACUAAAUCUUAUUCAUCAAAAAUGUCAACAAAAUAAAAUUAUUAUUUUUUGAAUUUUUAUCACUCAUAAUCGACAACAUUCAUUAUUUUUAUGAUAAUAUGUAAAAAAAUUACUAUAAUUCUUAUAAACAAUGAAAUGAUGUUUUUUCUUAUGAAAUAAUGUUCUAUAAAAUAUAAAUAUUGAAAAAUAGCUAUUUAUUAUAUAAAAAUGAUCGUUAAUUUAUAAAAUUAUGAAGCAGGAGUACCGGUACACCUCACUUUGUAAGUGUACCGUAGAAGUUUCCUAUUAAUAAUUGCUAUCAAUUCUGAUUAUAAAGUGAUGUUCGUUCACGACAAGUAGAUAAAGGUUGCUUAUAGUUUUGUGGGAGCUUCUAUAUCUUAUUUUACCCUUCACACAUUUUAUUCUCCUCCUUUGUAUUUGGGGUCAGUCAUUCACUAGUUAUAGUAUUAGUAUGUAAUUGUAGAUAACAUUUUGAAAUGCAUUUUUCCAUAUCUUACUUAGUGAGCAUCUGUCAAAAAAAGUUAUCUUAUAAGUGACCAAAGUGAGAAGGAAAACAUAACUCUUAAGCCAAUGCACUCACAUAUGCUAAGCUAAUUGAGUUCUCUAUAUGAACAAACCGUUCGAAGAUCUAAGUUAAGCAAUUUAUCAACACUACAACAAAUAUGAUCUAAUAAAAAAAGGGAGUUGAUGUUGAGGAAUUUAGAACAAGCUUUCAACAAAGUAUAAUUUAAACUUAAAUAAAAUAAUAAAAGAUUGGGAGGACAAAAAGAAUCGAGGAAGGAGAAGUUGAAAUAAGUUUUAAUGAAUUCCACUCAUUCAAAUCACCCCAUCCCCACUGCAAUUGAAGUAGAUACCUUUGAACUAUAUAAACACUAUCAUAGCAUUUCUUUUGGUCGAGGUGGAACAAUUUUUAGUGCCCCUUUUCUUGCUUUUUAAGUUUCAGUUCAGAUGGAACGUACAUCGAAACCAUAUGCUAUAUCUUGAUUUAAAAGACAAAAUUGAUCAACCAUAUCACUGCAUGGUUGGAACCGAAACUGGAGUACACUACUUGUAAUUAAUUCUUGUAUUUAUAGUUUAUAUUGUGUUUGUUACUUAUUCCUGAAUUGAGUCAUUGACAUCCAUGUGUUUUUCAUAUUUUGAUACUAAAUUAUUCAUGUGAAAUUUAAGUCAUAAGGACAUACACAUGUGUGCUUACAAAUAGAAAAACAAUAAUGGUAUGGACUCAUAGGAAAGACGUCCCAUUAUAAUUAUUAUGUCAAUAAAUAAAACCUGCUAAUAUAACCUAGAAAGAUGGUUGACCAUGUUCCAUAUAAUAUUGUACAGAUAAAUUGAAGUCAUGAGAGAAAUCAAUAAAAAAAAAAAAAGCAGCAUCAACAUUGGCUAAUGGCUAAUAAUACGAUAAUAACUCAUCGACUUUCCUGACAUAAUGUAUCACACAAAUAACUGUCAUAUUGAGCUUGAUACUAAAAUCAUCAGUGCCUCCCGUUAUACAGUUUUUUAAUAUAAAACUGAAGUAAUUCGGAUUAAAAAAUAUAUGAAAUCUCUCCUCUCGUGCAACUAAAGCAACUCUUCUUACUCACUAUAAACAGCCAUAACAUACCUGCUGCGGGAACUCUAUUCAAAAAGUGGACAUGAUGAACCAAUGUUGUUCAAUGUUCACAAUUAAGAGGAAAGAAAGAUUGGGAAAACACGAAAUAUGUUAGAACCAUAAGAGAGAUUCAAUUCAUCCAAACAAACAGGUUUUCCUAUAGUGAUUACAGACUACACAAAAACUAAUAUUAGAAGGUAACUUCACAAGAUAUUAUAGUGCUAACAAAUAUAACAAACUUUUUAGGGACGUAACAAUAAAUGACACCGGAAAUCUGUUUAACUACCAAUGCCAGGGAGUUGGUCAUAAUCCUUUACUUUUUACAGUCCUUGGAUCCAGCAUUAAAACUUGGUUGGACAAAGGCAGUCAUCAGUUCCGGACACCCUCUAACUCCUGCUUUUGGACUUCUCCAUGGCCCUGGGAGCUGUGGAGGAAAGAAAAUACACUUGAGCAAACAGAGGCAGAUAAAUUGGAGUUAUGGGAAAUUACAUCGUGUUAAUGUUGAUUAAACUUAAAUUGACUUUGGUUUAUGCUAUGGGAACUUAGAAUCAAGGUUAUAAUGUUAUGUAGGAUUUGCUAAAACAAGAUAAGUUCCCACAUGUUACAAAUAGCAAAUGAUGAUCCAACUAAAAUACACUUCUUUUGCUGGAUACACCCAUAGCUGAAAUCUCCAAAUAAAAUUCCUCAAAAACUACAAAGAUAAAUCCAGUAUAUAUUUUGCAACUCGGUAUUUACUUGCAGUAUUCAGUUUUGCUUAUUGAUUGACCCAAAUCAAAGGCAGGAAACAAUCUAGUCUAGAAGAAAAUUAAUAUUGCAAUUCAAAGAGCAUAAGGAUAUUAUUUUAUUUUUUUCUUCCAUAGCCUUGCAUUAUUAUACCCUACUAAAGUUUGAAGUACUCCAUGACAUAAGGAUAUACUUUUAUAUGGACAUAAUGUUUAUCUGGAUAUAUACUACAGUGAUCUCAUUUGACAUAUCAGGAUCAUAAUCCAUCAAUACAUGUCAGUGUUACCCAAAGAAAAUAAAGGAGACAAAUACAGAAGCAUGAACAUUCCAAAUACACUUAAAUAACUCGCAUGUUAAAAAUUAUUGGCUUGUUUACAAAUACACUAGUACAUGGAUAUUUACUGAUACAUAAAUACCACAUAUGUUGCUUGAAAAUAUAGAUGCAUGCAUAGGAAAAAUCUUAUGAACCUUCAAAUUUAAUUCAUUGCUCCAUUUUAAUUAAUUACUCCACAUUUUCCACAUUUCAUACUGAUUGUAGCGACAGCCAAAUGACCAUCACUGAGAACACAUACCUAACCCAAUGGCGUCAGAACCCUUCAUGAUUUUCAGCCUUCUGCAAGUAUCAAUGAACAUCCUGCACAUACAUAAGGAAUUGCAAUUUAGUGAGUGGGAUGCAAACCCUUUGUCAUUCAUUCAGUCCAUUUUCUUGGUUUUAAAAGAGACUAGAAUUUGCAUGAACACUUAAUGCCUAAAUAGACAAGCCCGUAAAUUAUAGACCAAUAAUCCUAGAGGAGUGCUAGCAACACACUCACACUUUUCAACAUACUCUCUUUGAUUGGGUAAAAUUCACAUGUGUCCCACCAUAUUACGUGGGUCCCAUAUUAUUUUGGUUGGCCGCAUGCAAAUUUUAAUCAAUCAAAGAUUGUGUUGAAAAGUGUGUUGCUAGCAUGAAAAGUGUGUUGCUAGCAUUAUUAAUAAUCCUAUUCAGCAACACAAUCCUGGUCAUGAUCAAAUUCUUCAGUCUGGAUACGAAUGAACAAGUCAUAGCAUACACGACACUUCGAUUGGAACUUGAAUUUCUUCAAAAAAAAAUGAGUUGAAGUUUCUUAGAGGGGCAUGCACAUGCGCCCUCCAUGCCAAAGCCCCAUAUCCUAACUAUUCCUCCUCACAUUUUCAUCAAGUACCCCUACUGAAUUCCCCGCACCCCGUUCAUACUAAUUUACCAAUGCCAUAUAGCCAUUGUGUUAUGAAGCAGAUAAUAUCUACAAUAUUCCACUUUUUGUCCAAACUCAAAUGCAUUAGUUUAGUAACAUCCCAGCAACAUUAUGCACCACUUCAGUACCAGAUGUAUCAUUACAAAACAGAAUAUAAGAUCACAAAAUAGACAAAAAUAACAUCAUUCAAACAUCAAAAUACACUUCAACACAUUGAAUUGAUUCACACUUUUAAAUAUAUUGAAUUAGCCAGAAAAUUCUGUAGCAGAAUUGAAAAGACAGGAAGAAACCUAAGGACAGUGCAUGCUGAACUGUGAUUUCUGAAUAAAUUUGCUUACUAAAAAGGGAAAACUUUCUUGAUACUUUUUCAUGCAAGUGGCAAGUUACUUAGAUGAGCAAUUUCAUGCAAUAUCCAUUAUACUUGGUAUCACAUCAGUCAAAAAUAUAAUUCGCAUUUAUAAUAUGUUAUGCGCCCAUUAGUUGUUUUCGGUAGCCAUGAGCCCCCUAAUUUUCCAUUAAAAUACAAGUUCAAUCAUUUGCAGUAUUAACUUUCUCGAUUCACUAUAUCAAUCUCUUAAUUUGACGAAUAAUCUUUUAUCAUAAUAUUUUGAAUCGAACUGACUAAUAUUAGUGCUUACCCAUGUUGAGCAAAUUUCAGGAAUCGCUAAUAAAACAAGAGCCCUUGAAUUUUAGGUAGUAUUUGAAAAAUAAAAGUGAUAUCAUACCACCUCUGUUUGGCAUGAAAAAACAUAUGAUUGAACACUAGACCUAGCACUCAAGGAACAGACACAAGCAAUUAAUUAAUCUUCAAAACCAUAAAUGUGCCUAAGUAUACAUGGAAAUUGGAUUAACCAGAAAACCUGAUAGACUCAACCCAACAAUAUUUGUAUAUAUGAUAUAGUCUCAAUUUGCAAAUUGAUUUAGGUAGAAACUAGAAGAAAAUAAGUCAACCCAGAAAUAUGGAUCAAUUGGUCUUUCGGGACUUCCAAGGGGGCAUACAAGUAGGACUCGCUCUAUAUGCAUUAUCACAAUCUCCAAUUCCUGAGUUUCACAAUGAGGUCUCUUUACCGGAAAAAAAUUGUUUCGAAAUGAAUGUCAUGUUCACUUUUCAAUGGAAACUUUUCCAAUUAUGCCCUCAAAUGAAUGUUAUGUACACUACUUCGAAAGUAAUAUAUUCUACUUUUGUGGGAAACACACCAAUAGUUAUUAGGGAUAGUUUAGGAAAAGGGUCAUGUCUUUUGACAACUUUUUUGUAUUUCUUAAUUUGUAAGCGGAAACCUUAAACGACACUCAUUUAGAAACGGAAGGAGUACAUACAUGUCUAGAUUCUGGACUCUCUGAUGACUAAAACUACUGAUCAUUAUGGCCUACAAUUACUUAGUAGUUACAAAAUUAAUCAUCUAUUGGCAAAUGGAAAUAUAUUAAAUGUUUUACUGAUCAAUUAUGAUUACUUACUUUUUUAGACUAUAUAUUUGCAAAGCAUUUACUCCAUUGGCUCAGAAGCAAAAUAGUGACUACUAUUACGUGAAAAAAUAUAUAGCAAGAAAACAAAGAUGUAAAAAACAGAGUUUAAAAAACAUCUUACUCCCAUGGUACGUCCCCUACAAGCAUCCAGUCUCCAUCUUUAUCUUCAUAAGUGAGAACAUAUUCUGAACCAUGCAAAAGGUCCCUCAGCUUGCUCUCACUCAUCAUUUCUUUUCCUGGAGCACCAUGGGAACCACACUGGCCUGCCAUUACACAAUCACCAAAUAUUUCAGAACAAAUAUAAAGCAACAACCAAAUUAAUCGUCAGCAAAAACAAAUUUUAUUUUUAAAGUAAAUCAAAAUAACAACGGCUCACCUAGGGUAAAACAGCUGAACAUCUUCUCAAGGGCAGAAGAUAGUUGCUGAUAUGUUGCAUAAGUUCUUAGAUCGACCUUCCUAAGAUAGGGAGCACCAUCCAUGCUGACCUUCACAAAGAGUGCAGCGGGACCUGGUUUUCCAUCCACUUCAUCAUUGUUGUUCUUGGAAGCGGUGGCCAUUGAGUUUUUUCUAAAUGAUCUUAUAGGAGGCCAACCAACAACUUGUGCCCUGUCACAUACGAAAAUUUACCAUAUCAGGAUUAGGAUAUUUAAAACCACAGAAAAACAAAUCAUACAUGUUUGUUCAGCUACUAGUCUUGUGUAAAUUAAGAUCCUUGAGUUGAUAGAUUUUACUUACUUUGAUGCCGGUGCACAACCAGCGACAGAAGCAGCACCUGCAUGAUUAUGACCAGCAGUUCCUCUAGCUGCACAAGGCCUUUCCUGCAAAACCUUACUCGGCAUUUCUUUCACUGUGCUCGCCUGAGCUCCAGCAGGUCUAGGCGAUAGCAUCACGUUAAUCCCCGUAUUACCAUUAAACUUACCCUGCAUAACAAAUAUUGUAAACAAUCAAUCUAACCAUCAAAACAAAAUAUGCACCUCCCAUCACAUAAACCAACUUCAUCAAACUAAUCACCUGAGAAAACCCAUCAACGGUAUCAGCAAAUCCUCUCUUAUUCCCCGAAACCACAUUCUUCUGCAAACCAUCUUUUGCAGGAAGUAAAGGGAACAAUGGUUUCUCAUCAAGCUUUGUUAAGUAAAAAUCCGAAUCCAUUUCCCUCUCGGGUGAUUGAGAUCCAGGAAGACCCAACCUCAACUCAGUAGCCUUCAAAUUCAAGUUCACUUUUUUCUCAUCACACAAACUUGGGAGAGUUGAAUCACAACUGUCCACCGAUGAACAAUCAGACAAUCCCAAGUAAUUCCGUUCCAUCGUCGACGACAGUUUGCGCCGCCCUUCGUCCUCCGUAACCACAGCCGUCGGAGACAUUUCGCUAACCAACUUCAAAACCACAGUUCACUUCACAAUCUUCCACCAAAAUACAAAAAAAAUGAAAAUCAACAUUAAACCAAUACCAAAAUCAACACAAAACUAACCAAAUAGUAAUAAUUAACAACAAUAAUUAGAUUGUAAAAAAAAAAAAACUAAUUUGCAAGAUCAAAAAGGCAUGAAAUCAUAAAAUCACACCAUUAAUAAGCAAUUUAAACAACAAGGAAUCACUAAAUAGUGCCAUGGAAUUAAAUUAAAAAAAAGAUAUGCAUGCUUUAAAUUAACUAGAGUUAAAAAGCAAACAUAAAUGAUUAUUUCAUAAACACAUUCAUAAAGAAAAAACAUAUGCAUGUCUUAAAUUAACUAGAGUUAAACACAAAAACAUAAACAUAAUUAUCACAUAAACAGAUCAUUAAACACAUAAUGAACUUUUUAAGCACUUAAAUAACAAAUUAACUUCACACAAAAUCAUAUCAUCCUAAUAACAUAACAUGCAUCACAACUCAAUUUUUUUCUUCAAAAAUAGCUUAAUAGAUCCAUAAACACGCACAGAAACAAAAGCCUUACUAAAAAAAAAAAAAAUACUCACACUAUCAACAACAACAAGAAGAUUUUGAAGAGCUGAAGAGAAUGAAAAGCAGAGAAUCAAUAGCACGUUUGUAAGAAAAUCGAUUAUUGAGUUAAGCAGAGAAAGAAAGAGAAAGAAAGAAAAGGUUUUAGAAAGAAGCUAAAAACGCAAUGAAUGGGAAGUGUUAAGACGGAAAAACCAAAAGUUAUUUGGAACGAGUAAGGGUAAAAUGGGAAAUAAUAUGGAAAGUAGUGUCGUUUAGUUAGUUUGAUAUUGAUUAAGUGGGACAAGGUUUGAGUGGAGUUUGACGGUUGUGAUUGUUUCUGACGGAGAAAUCGGGGCCGUUAGUUUAAUAUUGGUCUGAGGAGACAGGGAAAUUAAAUAAGUUGUCGCUGUUAACAGGUGCUAUGAAUGAUAAUCAUAAUGAGUCUGAAAACUACUGUUUAUGCUUUUGAGUUAAUCUCUCAUUUGGCCACACUAGUUACAAUUGAACUAAUGAUGCGUAAAAAUUGAUUUUAAAAGAGUUGGUUUUUAUAAUUUGAUUUUGAUGAAAGGUGAGUUGAAGGUAAAUUGAUUUAUAUUUAACUAUAUUAAUAUAAAAAGUGAUUUAACUUUAAAUUUGUGUAUAAAAAUCAAAUUAUAUGAUAAAAACUAUAAAUCUUAACUUGAAGUAGAAGUAAUUCUUGAGUCAAAAACUCAAAAUCAUUUCGACUUAAAAACAAUCAAACAUGUCAUAAAUAAUUAAUAUUAUAUAUCUAGAAUCAAUUUUGACACCCAUAAAAAGUACGACGUAAUUUUCAACGAUGUGCUUUAGAUACCGUCUAAUCUUACUUCUAGAUAUUGAUAGAAAUAAUGAAAUAUUUUUGAACUGUAUUUCAAAUUCUUUAAAAAUGAAAAUUUGUAUUUUAAAGUGAAUCAUCUUGUUAAAAAGGUAAAAGGAAAAAGUCUGGAUAAAAAUAUAUCUAAGUAUACAAACUUUUUUGAAUUUUUGUCGAUAUAUCCCCUAAAAAAAUCGAUAUAACCUUUUUUUCAUUUUUGUCCAUACAUAUUUGAUUAAAAACUGUACGAAAAUGAGAUAAUUAUGUGUGAUUCCACUCUUUGAUAGUAGGCCACCCCACUUUUAUAAGGUAUUUGUCUUGGCAAAUUCUAUGGUACAUCUAAUAUAUUUAAGUGUACCGGUAUACUUACUCUUUAAAUUAAUGGUUAAAUGAGUUGCUUUUUGAAGAAAAAUAUUAUUUUCUAUCAUUUAUAUUUAUAAUAACUAAAUCUUAUUCAUCAAAAGUGUUAACGAAAUAAAAUUAAUUUUUUUUGAAUUUUUAGCACUCAUAAUUGAGAAUAUCGAUUAUAUUUUAUGAUAAUAUGUAAAAAAAAUUAUUAUGAUUCUUAUAAACAAUGAACCGAUGUUUUUUCUUAUGAAAUGAUGUUCUAUAAAAUAUAAAUAUUGAUAAAUAGUUAUUUAUUUCAUAAAAAAUUAUCGUUAAUUUAUAAAAUUAUGAAGAAAGAGUACCGGUACACCUCAUUUUGUGAAUGUACCGUAGAAGUUCCCAUUUUUCUUUAGACCUAAGUCAUUUACGAUUUUGGUUUGUAUAAAAAGCUUUGUAUUUGUUUAUGACUAUGAAUGUUGUUUGUAAACUACAUUUCACCUUGAUUUUUAAAGAAUAUAGAACAUUUAAGUUUACCCCUAGUUGAGAUGAAAAUUGUUAGUAUUAUUUGUAAGUUACUCUUAAUCUCGAUUCAUAAAAAUAUGAGAUACUCCAUUUUAAAAGUAAUGUUAACAACAUUCAUUUUAUAUACAAAAGAACGAAAGUUGUGGAUCUAUGCUACUAUUAUAUGCAUCGUUGUGUACGUAUUAAAUUCAAAUGUUCAUUAUGAACCUCACAAACACACAUCAUAGUAGUUUCAUUUCAUGAAUGAUUAAGUUAUUUCAAAUCAUAGAGUGAUAUUCUUGCAAAGAUUAAGUUAUUUCAAAUCAUGUAAAUGUAUGUAUGUUUAAAUUUGAAUCAAUAGGAAUAGCACUAGAUGACUUGAGGACAACGCAUGACAAAUUGUUAGCUGACAUGAAUGAUUAUUACAGGGCAGGGGUGAUCAUAGCACAAUCCUCUGCGUUACAUACAAUAUCAGAACUUUAGCUGCAGGAGGAAGUCAACCGUAACAUUAUACUACUUCUUGUUUAUCCGUAACAUUAUAGUAUUAUACUAUUAAUAUUCUUGUUUUACAUACAAGAAAGAAGGAUGAUUAGAAGAGAUUAAUCAUGAUACAGCCUGGUAUAUUAGUUGAGCUUACCAGGUCAUGAUUAGAAAGAGUCAAAUAUUAUUAAAGAGAAUAAAUGACUAAAUGGAGGCUUGAGAUAGAAAAGCAACAAGUGGAGCUAUAAGAAAUAAUUAACUUUUUAUGUUUAUUGAAUAAUUAAUAUAUCUCGUUAUAAAUAUAGACUAGAUGCAUCACUUACACAAAAAAUCUAAAAAAUCAGUUAUUUUAUAUAAUAAAAAUUAGAGGAAAUUCUUAUUAUUGGUUUUUUUAACAAGUGUCUUAGAGACGAUGACUUAAAUAAAAUAAUAAAAAGGGAUUAGAGAAAGAUAAGGAGGGGACAUACUUAAUCAGGAUAUGAGGGGAGACAAGAAUGCGGCAAUGAAAAUAUGUCUGCCGGGUCGUGAGUAGGACAUGUUGUUACCUCCCCUCUCAUCACUAUCUUUUUCCAUCAUUACAAAUUUCUUUCUCUUUGAUGGAUUUUCUUUGUUUGCCAAUUAGACUCCUUUCUUUAAAAUAAAAUUUUCCACUAUAUUGAAAAAAUUGAAUUAUUUUAUUGAAAGUAAAUUUGUUUAAAAAAAGUUCAAGAAAGACUAGUUUUAGUAGUUGGUAGCUAACUUUAAGUUCCAUUUAUAUUAUUGUAUAGGUCAUUAUUUUAUUAUUUAAUUUUUCUAUAUUUGGUGGACUGUAUUCAUUUUAUUAUAUAUGUAAACUAUAAUUUUGUUGUCAGAGUGAACAUAUAAUACACUGUUACUAUUUCUAUGUGUUAGUAGUAUUCUUUUAUGUUAUUAAAAUAUGAUGAAAGAAUAAUCAAGAGGGUAAUGUAAUUAAAAGAUCUUUUUUCGGUUUAACCAAAUGUCUUUUGUUCAAAUUUAGUUUUAGGAAUGCAACGAUGUUAAAUUUUUAAAGAAAGAAGGAGAGUAUUAUCAUUUAUCAUAGUCUCUUCAUAUUUUAUGGAUUAAUCUUUGCAGUUACGCGUAAAUGAUAUCUAAUUCACAUAAAAAAAAAGGGUAUGAACUACACAUAUUUUAAAGAUACACAUGAAUAUUAUAUAUAUGCGCACGCGCACACAUAUACAGUCUUGCUAACGAAUGCCCUAAAGACAUUCUUUAAGGAUUCCUAAUUAAGAAAAUGUUUAUAGAAAAAGUUAAAACAACUCAAUUUUGAGUACAUCAAUUUCUCUAAAAGCUUACUGUCUAAAGGUUGUUGAAAGGUGCCCUUAUUACACUCGUUAGCAUAUAUAUAUAUAUAUAUAUAUAAUUGUUAGAUAUUUGACAGAAGGAUAUUUAUGCAAAUAUGAAACGGACAUGAAUAAUAUUUUUAUGUAACAAAGAGUGUAACAAAUUACCAUUCCCUUCAUAUUCUUUUUUGGUGUUAGCCUUUCGGUUUUUAGGGGAAAUGAAUCCUAGUAAUUCGGAGUUCAGUUGUGAGCCGGCCCGGCUCUGGGAAUAGGUUUGGGGUGUGACUGUGUAGGGUCCAUGGCUGUAGUCGGCAAAAAAAAUUAUAUAGGGGGUGUAUAUAUUAAUAUAUGCUUUAUAAGGGGAUAUGUAUAGCAAAUGCACCAAAAGGGUUCAAAGUCAGCAGCACCAAAGCUUCGUUCGGCCCAGUAACAUUUAAAUUGUUUGAAAUUUGCUUUUGACACAUCAUCAUUGGCUGAAAAACAAACGUAAAUGACCAAAAUACUUACGUGUCGAGGAUUCCAUCAGCAGUUAAGUGUCGAUGUUCUGUUAUAAGAACAUAACAGAACCUAGGAGUUUCCAAAACUCCAUUGUUGCGGAUUGAAGUUCAAGAGGUGCAAAAUUUCCCAAUUGUUGCGGAUUCAACGCCAAUUGCGAUCAAAAAAUCAAGUAAGUUGUUAUCAUCCUAUUGCAUUGCUGUUUUGUGAUUGAAUUGUUAGUUUUUUUUUGGUUAAAUUGUCACAUAAUUAGAUUUUGUUGAUUUUAUGAUUUGAUGUUAGAUUAGAGUUGAAUAUAAUAUUGUAGAAUUGUUAGAAAAUUGUGGUAGAAUUUUUAGGAUUGGUUUAGGUUUUGAUGAAUUGUUGUAGAAUUUUUAGGAUUAGUUUAGGUUUUUUAUGAAUUGUUGUUAUGAAUUUGUGAUAGAAUUGUUAGGAUUAGUUUAGGUUUUGAUCACCGAUUUCCUUGUUGUAGAUAUGUCUCAGAAUCAGGGUGAUGUGCAGUUGAACAAAAAUGAGGGUGAUGAGAAGAAGAAAGCAAAAUCCCGUGUGACAUGGCACAAAAUCGAAUGUGAUGGUUUCGUGAAAAAAAGGAUUUGAGAUAAGCGACGAGGGACUGUCGAGGACAUGUUAUUUUUGUCCUCAACCAAAAGCAGGUGUGCCAGGGACUGUCGAGGACAACACAA